GAAAGCAUAAGAUAGAAAAGAAUCUAAUUUUAUUGACCUUUUGACGACGACGAGAGAGCCUUCAACAUCCUUACGACUCCAUUGGCUGAGGUCGAUGUUGAACUCGUAGAAGGUGACAUGAGCGGCCGUGAUGAGGAUCUCCUCAAUGAAUGGAUCGAUUCACUGAAGAACUGUCAGGUUUAGGAGUUUUGUGCUCUGCUGGUCCAGAUUAGGCAUCAAUUUUCCGUUAUGCGACAUUUUUCAUAGUCGUUUUGGGCUCUGCCCCGAGCACAAGCCCCAGGGUUUUUCUGUGAGCUCUCUCUUUUGUAAAUAAAGUGUUUGAUGAGAUAGCCGAGAGAGAGUGAAAGUGUUGAACAGCCAAACACGGUCUCGAGAUUGAUCUUGCUUUAACUUCUUUUAAACAUUUGGGAAAUAGCAUUUAUUUCUUUUAGUUUCUCUACUUUUUUUUUUCCUUUAUGUCAUUUAGACCCCAAAAUUAGAUUUAUUAUAAUCCUAUUUUACCCAUACACUAUUAACCCCUUUUAUUUACCCCUUUUAUUUUUAAAAUUUGUCAAUAUUAAUGUGUUAGAAUAAUGUUAAAAAUCCCAAUUAUUAUCUCAAUGUUUCAAUCAUAACUAAUGUGAUGACUCAUUGGUAACUGCAACAUUAACUUAAUUAUUAAUGUAACACAAUAAAAGUUUGCCACUUCGGCAUUGGUCGGAGUGGUGGGAUGCUUGUGAGGGCAGCGGUUCAAGCCCCCACAAAAGUAUUUGUGGGGGCUAACGUUGUGGGGGCUAACGUGCUUAUUUGUUUAAUAUUUCAAAAAUUUCCUCUCCCUCGUGCAAUACGAGUGGAGUAUGGACAUCCCUCUUCUGUAAGGGAUUAUUUGUCUGGGCAUGUACUUCACAGAAUUCAAUGUAAUAAUAUAAGUCCCAAUCAUGUAUUUCUGAUUGUAAAUAUCAGUGUAAUAUAUCUGCUGUUGAUGCGAGAUUCUGGUUCUCCUCGUUCUACGACCAGGAUCUCUGCUCGAUCAACUUUACCACGACCAGGAGGUCUCCUAGUAAUGCUUCUUCUCCAGAUGUCCCUGCACACACAGACAAGUCAGAGUACGCCGGUUGUUCUCCCGGCGCAAACCCUCCGACGCUCAAGUCAGAUAUGAAGGUUCGGGGAACGCUUGCCACAGGUCUUAUGGCUUUUUCGUGGUUUUCUCUUUUAUCUUAAAAAUGCUAACCCUUUUACCUUCGUUGGCUACCUUUUUAUAGGCUUCUCCGAAUCCCCGUUUUCCGCUUUUUGCCAGACGGUAUGGGACUCUGACUGCUGCGUCAUGGGCGAAGGUGGGAUCUUGCGUGUUACGCCACGGUUCUGGGGAAAGCGUGGCUGUCGUGCCUAGAUUCUCGGGCUGGAGAGCAUGUCUUGCCAACUGCCGUCGACCGGGUCUCCUCGCUUCUCGACCUCUAGCCGGAAUGAUCUUAUGCCUCUUACAGGAAAUUGACCUCGCGGAUGACGUGCUCGUGGACGAGCAGGAUAUUUCUGCUCCUGUUCCCCCGCGCAUCAGGCUUUUACGGAACACACCGGCUCGAGGAACUCUGCCCCCAGAUAUCUGCUCACCAUGCCUGGUCUCAUCGACGUAUUUCUCCUAAACACCGGUCCCCCAGUUUCUGGUGUUGGGUAAUGUAGUGGACCAGCAGUAGAAACUCGAUAGUACUCGCUCACGUGGGACUGGAAAAGGCUGCCAAGAGUCGUGUCGCAUUUAAUUGCGGACGGGGUGACGUGGCGGAAAUCCCCCCUCCAUUUGAAUUUCAAACCGACGGUUAUGAGGCCCUCGGGAUUCGGCGCUGUUAAAUGCUGGCAACCCAAGAGUCCGUCCCCAUUAGAAAAACCAAAUCCUCUCGAACGGCAUAUUCAUCAUCCACUACGUCUCCGUCUCUGUCUCUCCGGCAAAGAAGUUCCGGCAUAAAAGUCCUCCAUCUCUGAUUUUCACCGACUGAACCAUUACUUCAGGUAUUUCUUCUAUCUCCUUGGCCUCGGAUAGUUGUAGAUAAUUUCUCUUUUCUUCUGUUUGGGUAGUAGUUGGUGGUGUUGUGGUUAGAGCUUAGGGAAUGUCGAAAGGCAAAGAGAAGGUCAUUGAGGUUGACGACGACGAGUUGGACUUCCUGCCUAGUCUGCUCACCGACCCUGCUUUUGACCCCGGGAUUCCCUUAGAGCCCACUAGGUCUAGUGUCGGGACUAGUGCUAGCAGGAUGUCUCCCCAAACAACCUCUACGAGCGGAAGUAGUGGUGAGGAGAGAUCUUCUGACUCUGAGGAUACGUUGAGUGAGAAUGGCGAAGGUGAUUCUGGUGAGGUGUCUCCAUCUAGAACAUCACGACCAGGAGAACGGGGUACAGUAGGAGGCAGAGCCUUGUCGCGCGAUUAUGCCAUUGAUUACAUGACGUGCAUGACCUCGUUUGACGAGCUCAAGGACCUCCGGCUUAGGUAUAGCAUUCCUGGUGAGAUACCUCUCAAGGUCCCAGGAAAGAAGGAUGCUCCCAGCCGGCCUCCUAGGGGAUACGUUACCCUGUUUUUAGAGAGCUUUAAGUACGGGCUGAGGUGUCCCUUGCAACCCUACUUUGCCCGGAUACUUAACGGGCUAAACCUAGCUCCUGGUCAGCUGAAUCCCAAUGGGUGGAGAGUGCUCUCUGGUCUGUUCAUAUUGUGGGACAGAUGUUGCCAGAGCGAGCCCACGGUUGAUGAGGUGAGACACCUGUACCAGCUAAAGAGCAGCCCCAAAGAUGCCGGCUGGUACUACUUCCAAUCUAGCACCAAGAGCAGGAAACCUAUAACCGACCUCCCCACUGGUGGUGGUGGGAAUUGGAAGAGAAAGUUCUUUUUUGCUGGGGGUCCUUGGGGUCAGGUUGCACAAAUGAACGGGAAGGAUUAUCGGGUCCCACCCCGUUUCACGGUCCCAGGUUGCCUGCUUGCUUUUAGAUGUCUUGUAUCCAUAAGUGUUCUUGCUUUAUUGGCUUGUCUCUAACCAAAUGUCUGUUUGUGUUGUAGUUUCUUGGGGUGUUCACUUCCCGCUCCCACCCGACCAGCUCAAACGGGUCGAGGCUGUGCUCGUCAAUUCCUGCUCGAGCCGGGAACUGUUAACUACGUACAACUUGCUCGAGUCUCGCUUGAUACUUCCUGGCCAUAGGAUGGAGGACGCUGUGAUUGGGGCUCUGACCCGAAAACGUUCUCGACCCCCAACCACGAAGAGGGACCAGAGUAAGGAUGCCCCUGUGGCAAAGCGGGCCAACAUCGUGCAGCAGGUCCCACCCUUGAAGAUUUUACCUCCUGCUCCCGUAAAAAUUAGGGAAGCUGGUGGAGCUGCCACAGAUCCUGCUUCCUCUCCUCCUCCUGUCGGGCCCCGAUCUCACUUACCUGACAGCCGAGCAGAACAUCUGGUCCCCUACUUCAAUGAGUUAACUAAACUCGUGAGCAGGAAGGAUCUGGAGGACUUUGACGGCCGCACCUUGGGUGAGUUGGUGGGGGCCAUGCAACAUAGCGCUUUCCACCUCAGCUGCAUGACCACCUAUUACAAGGCUAAGGCUGGCCGCUAUGACCGGAAGAUGAAGGAGGAUAUUCAAUCGGCGACGACCAGAGCUGACGUUGCCGAGAAGAAAGCAGGGGAGCUGAAUCUCGAGAAUCUGAAGCUGAUGGAGCAAGAAUCACUUGCUCAAGCAAAAGCCAUCGCCCUCGAGGAGGAGCUUAUCAAGGUCAGGGAGGAUCUGCAAAGGCAGAAGGCAAUGUAUGAGGCUCAGCUCGAAUCUCUUCGCGACUCCCACCGAGCUCAGGCCGAGAACUUGGAGAGGGAGGCCGACAACCAGUACGACCAGGGACUUCGGUAUUCCUAUCGUUGCAUCAUGGCCGUCCUCGGGAAGCAACACCCUGAUCUGAAGAUGGGUGACCUUGCGGCUGGUGUUGCUCAACAUAUGGACGAGGAGGCGGCCAAGGAGGAUGCCAAAGGGGUAGAGCCGAUCGUGAUAGAGGAGGAAAACUCUCCUCCUCAUGUAGUCCCUGCUGAUGUUGGCGAGGCGAGCACCCACCCCGAUGCCUCUAGUGAUACCCCUCCUGCACCUGAGGAGGUCCAGCCAACCGAUGCCGCUGGGCUCACUGAUCCACCAUCUUCUUGAUAUAUUUCUUGUAUUGUAAUGACAAUGUUUAUGAAGAUUAUUCCCUCUGUUAAUUAUUAACAAAUUAAUAAAAAUGUUUUUGAUCACCUUCUUGUGUCGUAAUUACGAAUUAAUUUUCGUUUGAGAAUCUGCUUGUCUUUGUCUAAACGAGCAGGUUCCGGCUUGGCUCAUGGUUUUGCCACAUGCCUUUGAAGAUUUUUCAAUGCUUGGGAUUCGGUUUGCCUUCGCGCAGUUGAGCAGAUCCUGGCACGCUUGGCUUCUGUCUCGCCAUAAGAUAGGCUUUGAGACUUGACGAGCCUUUGCAUGCCUUGGAUUCUUCAAAGCUCAGGAUUCUGCUGCCUUCUCAUGGCCGAGCAGAUCCUGGCAUGCUUGGCUUCUUUCUCGCCAUAAGACAGGCUUUGAGACUUGACGAGCCUUUGCAUGCCUUGGAUUCUUCAAGGGUUGGGAUUCUGCUGCCUUCUCGUGGCCGAGCAGAUCCUGGCAUGCUUGGCUUCGGUCUCGCCAUAAGACAGGCUUUGAGACUUGACGAGCCUUUGCAUGCCUUGGAUUCUUCAAGGGUUGGGAUUCUGCUGCCUUCUCGUGGCCGAGCAGAUCCUGGCAUGCUUGGCUUCUGUCUCGCCAUAAGACAGGCUUUGAGACUUGACGAGCCUUUGCAUGCCUUGGAUUCUUCAAGGGUUGGGAUUCUGCUGCCUUCUCGUGGCCGAGCAGAUCCUGGCAUGCUUGGCUUCGGUCUCGCCAUAAGACAGGCUUUGAGACUUGACGAGCCUUUGCAUGCCUUGGAUUCUUCAAGGGUUGGGAUUCUGCUGCCUUCUCGUGGCCGAGCAGAUCCUGGCACGCUUGGCUUCUGUCUCGCCAUAAGACAGGCUUUGAGACUUGAUGAGCCUUUGCAUGCCUUGGAUUCUUCAAGGGUUGGGAUUCUGCUGCCUUCUCGUGGCCGAGCAGAUCCUGGCAUGCUUGGCUUCUGUCUCGCCAUAAGACAGGCUUUGAGACUUGACGAGCCUUUGCAUGCCUUGGAUAAUUUCUUGGUUUCAAGCGUAAAAUUGCUUCAUUAAUGGCAGGAUUCGACUUACAUAAAAUUGUUUGGGACAUAAAGCGUAAAAGAUAAACGAUAAUGAGCAUGAGCAGAAAUAGCUCUCAAAUGUGAACAAAUCUUACUGGAAGUAUUUUCGGAGGUGUGCUGCGUUCCAUGGGCGUUUCACCUCGUGGCCGUCCGCGCGAACCAGCCUGUAAGCUCCGGGUCCCGCUAUCUGCUUGACUCUAUAUGGCCCUUCCCAAUUCGGUCCCAGCACUCCUUGAGUCGAAUCUUUGGUGCUCUGAUUCACUCUUCUCAGUACCCAGUCUCCGACCCUGAAUUGCCGUAUGUUCACCUUCUGGUUAUAAUACCGAGCAACCCUCUGUUGGUAAGUGACUGAUCGCUCGGCUGCUUGCUCCCUCCUUUCCGUCAGCAGAUCAAGAUUCAAACAUAUCUGCUCGUCGUUCUCCUGCUCAUUGAAAUGAUCUGUCCGGUGUGUGGUCGUUCCUAUCUCAGCCGGCACGACCGCUUCGUGUCCGAAAGCCAAAGCGAACGGUGUCUCCCCCGUUGCGGUUUUGUGGGUUGUUCUGUAUGCCCAUAGCACACCUGACAGCUCGUCAACCCACGCACCCUUUUUUGCACCAAGCCUGGUUUUCAGAAGCCUCUUGAUGGUCUUGUUGGCUGCUUCUACUUGUCCAUUCGAUUGAGGGUGAGCAGGCGAGCAAUACUUCAGCUCUAUCCCGAGGUUCUGGCAGAAAUCCCUGAAGCUGUGAUUAUCGAACUGCCUGCCAUUAUCCGUUACCAAGGCAUAAGGGAUCCCGUAUCGACAGACCAGGUUUCUCCACACGAAGUCUGUUGUUUUCUUCUCCGUGAUCCUGCUAAGGGCUUCCACCUCUAUCCACUUCGUGAAGUAAUCUAUAGCAACUAUUGCAUGUGUUGCUGCUCCUCGUCCUUUUGGCAAUGGGCCGAUCAGAUCAAUUCCCCAUUGAGCAAACGGCCAAGGGGAGGCCAUAGAGGUGAGCUUCUCUGGUGGUUGGUUGGAGAAAUUUGCAAAACUCUGGCAGCUUGCACAACCCCUGGUCUUCUUUUGCGCAUCCUGGUGCAUUGUCGGCCAGAAAUAUCCCUGUCUUAGGACCUUGUGGGCCAGGGACCUCCCGCCAGAAUGAUUUCCGCAAAUUCCUUCAUGUACUUCUCUCAGCACGUAAUCCGCGUCGUCGUCAUCCAAACACCGAAGGAACGGUAAUGUGUAUCCUCGCCGAUACAGUACCCCAUCGAUCAUCGUGUAUCUCGAGGCCUGAGCUCUAAUCUUCCGAGCUCGCAGCUUAUCUGGUGGUAAUACCCCGUCUCUAAGGUAUGAAACUAUCGGGUCCCUCCACGAGCAUUUUUGUUCUAUCCGCAACACCCCCAAAUUCUGCUCGAUACUUGGGCUGGACUUCACUUCUAGAGGGACGGACUUUGGCAUUUUUGGGUCGGCUACUGCUGCCAUCCUAGCCAAAAUGUCUGCUCGACUAUUAUGCUCCCUGGGGAUUUGUAUCACCUCCACUACUUCGAACUUCCCCAUCAUCUGCCUGACUAUCUUCAGGUACUGUUCCAUCUUCUCCUCUCUUGGUUGGAAUCUUUCACUGACAUGAUUCGCAACCAGCUGGGAAUCAGUUCUGAUCUUAACUCUGUCUGCUUUCACGGCCCUAGCCAAUUCCAGGCCUGCUAUCAAGGCUUCGUACUCUGCCUGGUUAUUUGUGGCUGCAAAUUCCAACUUUACAGCAUAAGAGAUCUCCUCCCCCUCUGGGCCUUCCAGGACAAUCCCUGCUCCUGAACCCCGCUCCCCUGAUGACCCAUCUACAGACAUCUGCCAUACUUGAGUUUCGUCAUUGCCUAUAACUGCAUCUUGUUGACCUAAGCAUGUUUCGGGCUCUGUGAAUUCAGCUACGAAAUCGGCCAUUGCCUGGGCCUUUAUCGCUGCGCGGGGUUUAUAGUCUAUGUCGAACUCGCUCAGCUCCACAGCCCACUUGACGAGCCGCCCAGAGGCAUCUGGCUUGUGCAGAGUCUGACGCAAUGGCUGGUAUGUUAUUACCGAGAUCGGGAAGGCUUGAAAAUAUGGCCUCAACUUCCGAGCAGCAACCACAAGGGCAAGUGCCCAUUUCUCCAACGAUGGGUACCUGGUCUCAGCGUCGAACAGGGCCUUGCUGGUGUAGUAUAUCGGAUACUGAACUCCUUCUUCCUCUCUCACCAGAACAGAACUGGCGGCCCGAUCCGAUACCGCCAAAUACAGAUACAACUUGUCCCCAUUCCUCGGUGUGGACAGCAGCGGAGCUUGCUGCAAGUAUUGCUUCAAGUUCCGGAAGGCUUCCUCGCAUUCUGGGGUCCAUUCUGUUUUCCUUCCCCUCCUUAUCACUUGAAAGAAUGGCUGACACUUAUCUGUAGCUUUGGAUAUGAAUCUGCUCAACGCCGCCAACCUCCCCGUGAGGCCCUGCGUCUCCUUCAGGUUACGAGGAGACGUCAUUUGCACAAUCGCCUGGAUUUUCUCGGGAUUUGCUUCAAUCCCCCUAUGGCUCACCAUGAAUCCCAGGAAUUUCCCUGACUCGACCCCAAAAGCACACUUCUCCGGAUUGAGCUUCAUCUUAUACUUCCUCAAAAGCUCGAAUGUCUCCUCGAGGUGUCUGACAUGUUCCUUCGGGAUCUUGGACUUGGUGAUCAUGUCAUCCACGUACACCUCCAUGGUUUUCCCGAUCAACGGCUUAAAGACUUUGUUCACCAGCCUUUGAUAGGUGGCCCCAGCAUUCUUGAGACCGAAUGACAUCACCCUGUAACAGAACAAACCUUGGUUAGUGAUGAAAGCCGUGCUCUCCUCAUCCUGCUCGUACAUGGGGAUCUGGUUGUAUCCCGAGAAUGCGUCCAUGAAGCUAAGCAGACCAUGUCCAGCUGUUGAAUCUACUAGCUGAUCGAUCCUUGGUAAAGGGAAGCUGUCUUUUGGGCACGCCUUGUUGAGGUCUGUGAAAUCCACACACAUCCUCCACUUGCCGUUUGCCUUCUUUACCAACACCACAUUUGAUAUCCACUCUGGGUAACUGACUUCCCGAAUGAACCCUGCUCUCAGGAGCUUCUCCACCUCGUCAUUUACAGCCUCAUACCUCUCCUGGUUGAAACACCUCCUCUUCUGCCUUACUGCCCGAGCACCUUUCUUUAUUGCCAACUUAUGACACGCUACCUCAGGGUCAAUCCCUGGCAUGUCUUCAUGUGUCCAGGCAAACACAUCAGCAUGAGCCUGUAAGCAUUUCACAAACUCCUGCUUUUGCUCUCCCUUCAGUCUCGACCCGAUUCUGAUCGUCUUUCCCGGGUUCUCUGGUCCCAUGCUUACCGUUUCCAGAUCCUCUACAGGUUCUUGUCUGCCAGUCUUGUUUUCUACUCGGGUAUCGAGGGAUGUUAUCUGCAUUGCCUCCCUUGCUGCCGAGGAGUAGCAGCUUCUUGCGAUCCUCUGGUCUCCUCGUACCACUCCUACUACCCCAUUCACCCGGUACUUCAGAGCCAGAUAAUGGUUGGACAACACCGCUUUGCUCAUCCUUAAAAACGGCCGACCUAGGAUCAUCUGGUAAGGACCUUCCUCAUCCACUACGACAAAGUCCAGUAUCAUUGUUCUUUCUGUCGGGGGGCUCCCAAUUGUGAUAGGUAGUUCGACCACGCCCAGGGGAACCAGCUUCCCUCCUCCGAACCCCUUCAAGGAGGUGUUGGUGUAUUCCAACUUCCGGUCGGCUAUUCCCAUCUCUUCCAGGGUUGACUUAAAUAACACAUCAACUGAGCUCCCUAUAUCAACCAGUAUCCGGUCAAACUUCUUGCUAGCGACCGUAGCCUUGAUGACUAAGGCAUCCUCGUGGGGGUAUAGGAUCCCUUCCUCAUCCUCAUCCGUCCACAUGAUUGGCACUUGCCUGACCCUUGCCCGUUUGGCUGCUGGGGUGUUGAGGAGUACCUCUUUACUGGUCAUGGCGUACCUAGCAUAAUUUUUUCUCGAUCUGUUUGAAUCUCCGGCCAACGUUGGGCCCCCCGCUAUCACCCUUACUGCGGGCUGCUCGUGCCUCAAGAUUCUAUCACUCUGCUCCCCUUCAUCUGUUGUGGCCACCAUCGGGAAAGUCCCAUCCAUAAACUCGUCCAGGUACCGAUUUCUCACCAAAUCUUCGACUUGGGUCUUGAGAUCUCUACACUCUGCUGUGGUAUGGCCAUGGGUGCCAUGGAACUUACAAUAACGUCCUCUAUCCCUCCUGUUGGGUAGCUUUGUUAUUGGUGUAGGGAGGUGCAGCAGCCCUCGAUCCUUUAUGGCUUCGUACACCUCAUCCAGGGACAUCUUCAAGGGAGUGUACCGCCCAUAGUCCUGGUGCUGGUCGAUCCGAUGUACUGCUCUUUCUCUGUUUGCCCCGCUCUGAGUUGGGGGCGGUGGAAGUACUUCUGGUCUGCUCGUCCUGCUACCGUGGGAAUGUUGAUGAAGACCACCAGAUGCCGGAUCAUUUCUUGUCCAAGGUUCCCUAGCUGGGGAACGAGGAGGUUGCGCCCUGCUGCGCUGAUACUGUGGUGGCCUCUGAUGAGGCUGGUAAGCAGUGACCCUGCCUCCUGCUCCACUACCGGAGGCCUGGUGGUCCCUCCUCCUGAUCGGCCCGUUCCCUGGUAAUGCUUUCAUCUCUCUCCUCCCCAACCCUUCUAACUGGUCUGUCUUGAUCCGUGCAGCCUUCUCCUCUUCAAUCUCGAUGUCUCUUUUAGCCUGUUCGUAUGCGGCCGCAUACGUUUGAAUAGCUGGGCUUCUCAAAUUGUACCACAGCCUUCCUAUCUUCACCCCUUCUUUCAAUCCCCUUAACGCCUGAGGGUGGUUGAAGGCUCCCAAGUCGAGGACAGCCCGAUGAAACCUCUUGAUGAAUUCCCGAAGGGUUUCUUGCUCCCCCUGUUUCAUGCUUUUCAGCUCCAUCAUGUCAUCUUCCGGUGACAUUGCCCCACUGAACUGCUCCGCGAAUUCCUGGCACAUCUGCUCGAAGGUUUUAAUGCUGCCCCGAAGAAGUUUCCUGUACCAUUCUCGUGCACGUCCCUCAAGGGAUAGUGGGAACACCCUGCACCUUUGGGAUUGAGAUAAUCCUUGUACCCUAGUUAUGUCGUUGAAGCGCUCUAUGUGCAUCAGCGGGUCAGUUCUUCCCGCGUAUCUGAGGUCGGGGAGGCGGAAAUCUCUCGGAAUAACUGCCCUCAUGAUCUCUGCUGCGAGCGGUGAUUCUCCGUCCAGCAUUAUCCUCCAACCAGGGGCUCUGUUCCUCCCUUGCAUAUCGUCAAUUAUCUGCGCUAGUCUGCGCACUUCCUCCUCCAGCUGCCCUGCACGACCAGGGUCACGUGCUGCAACUUGAUCCCGCUCUUGCUCUACAUCUUGCAAGUGUUGCCUCAACUCGGUUUCCUCUGCAUUCACCACCCCGUCGUCCGCGUCACAAGUCUGUCUUGCCGGGGACCGCUCUCUUUCUCUAUGAAAUUCUCCCCGUAGAGGUGCGUUACCUCUCUCACCAUCAAAUCUCCCUGUGGUUUGACUUCUCCCCGCACUAUCGGGACCUGGUGCCACUCCACCGCCUCUCACCCUUCCCUCUUGAGUUACCCUUCGCUUGCUCCGUAGCUCAUGCAGGAUGGUGUUGUGCAAAUUUUAAUGUACUCGCAAGCGCACGAAUCUAUUGUAGUAUAGACUAAUGGUGACGAGUGUCGAUCCCACGAGGAGGUGGAUUUUUAAUUAUAUAUAGAAUUAAUUUUGUAAAUGGGUGGUUGGAAUUGUGGUGGAAGUGAUUUAAAAUAUGCUAAAAUUGGAAUUGCAAUGGCGAGAAUAAAUUGUAGAGAAAAUCGAUUAAAUUGACGUACUUGGGUAUCUGGAUCCGUAUCAACAUGCAUCAUGGGCUAAAUAAUCCGUAUUAAUGCCAAUUAAAUCAUGAGGGGGGAAUCCACACCUCAUGAACCACGCUCUAAUCAAUAUGGUGCUAAGGGCUUAUCGUGCCAAAUAAUAAUAACCUUAUACUAGAGAGCCGGUGUAACCAAGGCGGUAUCUAGACAAGAUCAGUAUUAUUUGUCGACGAAAAGUCAAAUCAUCCACAAAAACUAGAGGGGAAAAGAAAAUAAAUUUACCAAAUAAAGCCCAUGACUCAUGUUGAGACUUCACCUUCAACCCAAGCUUGAAAGGAAAUUAGCCACUCAUAAUUGAACUAAGGGCAAAAUGGGAAUUUAUUAAAAUACAAAGAAAAUACAAGAUGGAGAAGGAAUUACAGAAAAUGGAUCCCAAAAAUGGAUUCAGAGAUAUCAAAUUAGGGGGGAGAGGCCCCCUUUUUAUAGAUACAUGGAGUAAAUCAUGGCCAUCGGAUUAAAAACAGUUUGGACGCUCAGGAUUGCGCCACGUCAUCAGUCAACAGUCCACGGUUUGACCACGCGGAUGAACAGUAACACGGUUUGACCACGCGGAUGAACAGUAACGCGGUUUGGUUGAAAAUAAUCCUGUGUGAUGCAUGCACCGUACGCGAGAUUUUUCGUCCACUGAUAUGCUGCCACGUCACCAUCAACAGUACAUAAGAAUUUUAGUCCAACAGGAUCGUGACACCUCAUCAGUCAAUGCCACAUCAUCGGUCAAUGCCACGUCAUCGAUCCGUCUAUGUGAACAGUGUCGUGAACAGUAACGUAGACAGUACCGUAUACGUUAAUAGUACCGUACAUGUGAAUAGUGCCAUUUUUCCUUUUAUGCUCCUCCUAAGGUUUUCGACCGUCCUGAGUUCAAAAGUGAUGUCCGUUUUGCCGUCUGAUCUCUCCUUUAUUGUGAAAUGACUAUAAUACCCCUAAAAUACAUAAAAUACUUAAUUAAAAUAACACACACGUAAUUACAUCACAAGAAGGUUAAAUACAUAAAAGUAAGAGUUGUUAGUAAGACUUGAAAUAUAAAAUGAUGGUUUUCUCCUUUAUAAAUAUGCAUUUUCUAAUACUCAACAGAUGGUUGUCAAGGUCUCCAUCUGCUUUUCCAUCCGGUCGAACAUGACUUUUUCCCGUGCUUCACUGACUAUCUCCCUCAGCGUCACGGAAUCGUUAAGCCUCAUAUCACCCCCUUGUGCACUACUUCCUCCUGUCUCCAUUGCUUUUCGCUUACUCCACCCCUCUUCUUGCUAUCAACAGAAGCUUUUUGCUCUGGGUCCCCACAGACGGCGCCAAAAUGUUGAUGCGAGAUUCCGGUUCUCCUCGUUCUACGACCAGGAUCUCUGCUCGAUCAACUUUACCACGACCAGGAGGUCUCCUAGUAAUGCUUCUUCUCCAGAUGUCCCUGCACACACAGACAAGUCAGAGUACGCCGGUUGUUCUCCCGGCGCAAACCCUCCGACGCUCAAGUCAGAUAUGAAGGUUCGGGGAACGCUUGCCACAGGUCUUAUGGCUUUUUCGUGGUUUUCUCUUUUAUCUUAAAAAUGCUAACCCUUUUACCUUCGUUGGCUACCUUUUUAUAGGCUUCUCCGAAUCCCCGUUUUCCGCUUUUUGCCAGACGGUAUGGGACUCUGACUGCUGCGUCAUGGGCGAAGGUGGGAUCUUGCGUGUUACGCCACGGUUCUGGGGAAAGCGUGGCUGUCGUGCCUAGAUUCUCGGGCUGGAGAGCAUGUCUUGCCAACUGCCGUCGACCGGGUCUCCUCGCUUCUCGACCUCUAGCCGGAAUGAUCUUAUGCCUCUUACAGGAAAUUGACCUCGCGGAUGACGUGCUCGUGGACGAGCAGGAUAUUUCUGCUCCUGUUCCCCCGCGCAUCAGGCUUUUACGGAACACACCGGCUCGAGGAACUCUGCCCCCAGAUAUCUGCUCACCAUGCCUGGUCUCGUCGACGUAUUUCUCCUAAACAUCUGCUAUAAUAGCAGUUGUAAAUAUAUGUGUAAUGCAGUAAUAUGAUGAUUAAUCAGUAUUCAAAACACAAUAAAAGUUUCGUACAGAUUUUGAUAUUGAGAGUAACACAAUAAAAGUUUCAUACAGAUUUUGCAAACGAAAAGCACAUAAUACACUUAACUAGGAGGAAAAAUUAAGGUGUAUUUAUUACAAACUGCUAACAAUAUACAAUUGUAAAAAUCACUCUUAUGAACUCACAAAUACUAGGCAGCAAUAAGAGUAUGAUACAGCCAUUCUAAAUGAAAGAGAAUACAACUGUUUUACAACUAUGUCACAUCAAGAGAUAUGUUAGCAGGAUUAAUCCAGAUACCUUCGAACCCAAUUAACGAACUCGAGUCAGAAACCAGGGGCCCCCAACUAAACCUUACAAUCUUGAAGGAAGAAGGAGACUCGUGGUCCAGAUAGGUGACUUACUAGAUCUCCUGCAAAAGAGAAUAUCUAUUGCUUUGAACCUCCAUUGAAAUUUUUUUUUCCCUUUUUCUUGUUUUGACUUGGAACUUUCCAACAUCAUCUAUUUGAUCUUUUUUGAAGGUAAAAUAGCAAUCUAUAGGUUGCCAACAUGUUAUUCUGCCAAACCCUACCCCACCCCCCCGGGGGACAACAAAUCGACCUAGCACACACCUUUCUUCAUUGCCCACACCUACAGAACUAUAAUAAAAAGACUACGUUACUAUUGGGGUAGAGAAAAUAUACAGACUGUAUUAUUAUUACAUCGCAUUUUACUAAUUAACUAGUGCAAGACUUCUUUAGUGUCAAAUCAAGAACUAAUUAGAAAAGACAACUCAUGAUAAUACAGACCUUAAUAAGCAAUUGCUAACAACAUCCCAUAUACUCCUAUUUUAGCCUUCAUUAUCCUGGUAAAAACACAAAUAAGUCUUGCAAACGAACAUUUAUAAGUAAAUUCAACAUUAAUUAAGAUUAGGUAUCUACUGCACCUAAUAGCAUGGUCAACCAUCCAGUUCCUGUAGCCUUCCAUGUACCUAUGUUAGUUACAUUUUACAUAUUAAGCCACGAAAACGAAGAAUCACAGCCUGGUAAAGAAAGACAUUAAUUAAUAGUUUUUGUUUAAAAAUUUCUCCUUUAGAUCUUUCCUAUUCAAUGAAUCAAUGUAAUCUAAAGAGAACUCUUCCAUUUCAAACAGUGUUAGAAGGUAUUUGCAAAGCCUAAAGAUAAUAUACAAGGACCAAGAUAUACACAGAUGGUUUCUUUAUGGAAUUAAAGAGCUUUAUAGAUGUUAAAACUGUUUCAAACAAUUUUUCUUGUUUGGUUUAACUAAGGAAAAGCUUGUGGAAGAUUAAAAAUGAUGUUUCCUAUUCUCUGUAGGAAACUUUUAGGAGAUUUUUUGGGCUUUUUUGAAAGGUUGAAUUGUCAAAAAUACCUUGAUGUUAUUGUUUGCUAAAAGAUGUUACGGACAUCUAAACAACCAACAACAUUUUGUUAAAAGCUCUACUAAUGUAGGAUCUACUUAAAGAAGCUAUACCAAACAGACUCUUAGACUGAAUAACUCGAUCUUAAGUUUGUAAAAUUGGGCUCAGAAUCUCCACUAACAACCCCGCUUCGGUGAGAAAGCCCAAGCCUGUUACUUUGUAUAACCUUAUUCUGUAUGUUUGAUUGCAGGAACUGGCCGAUCAUACCGACGAGGUGAGUGUGCAACAUGAGGUGCUUGACGGGAUGUUUACUUUCUAUGAUUCAACUAAAGCUAGCCUCAACAUAUAUCAGGUGCCUGCUUGUUUUUACCUUCUAGAUACUAAUAUUGUUUAGACGUGUAAUCUCUCUCUCCAUUGAACGCUAGACGGCUCGUCUCAAGCCUUCUACGUACUUCAGAGUCCUUCACUAGCUUUUUAUGUAUAAAGUUUUGAUCUUUUUCCUUCAUUUGCUUGAAGCUCAUUACUGCAGAUUUUUUUUACAGGUUGGUAGUGUAACAUUCGACUUGCUGUUGCUUCUAGUCUUGGGAUCGUAUUUAAUUGUGCUUUUCAGCUUUCUUGUCAUCACAACUAGGGUAUUACUCUUUCUCCAUAUCAAGCUUGAAGUUCUAAAUUUCAGUUUUAUCUUGUAUUUGAUGUUUUAUAAUUUCAUUGCAAACAGAUUAGAAUAGAAACUUCAAAAGUUCCAACUGACUAGUCCCGUGUAACUUUUCCAGGGAAGAUGUUCUCUCAUAACAACUACGAACGUGUUAUGGUUUAGCUCAGUGUCACAAAGGACAGUUUCCAACAAUUGAUCCUAGGAAGAUGCCCAUAGCUUGUUGUGCCAAAAAUAUAAAAUCUAAGAUGCGAAAAGAUUUUGUUGAGAUUCAUUUUUCAUCCUGAUGUUACCGCUGGCCUUUUUUUUUUUUUGGCAGAGAAUAAUGCUUAUGUGAUUUCUGAACUUGGUGAUUGUUGAAAUGAGCUGAAAAUGAGCUGGAAAUGUGUUUGGUUACUGAGAAAGAGAGCAAGAAAAUGAAAGAAAUCUAUUUCACUUUUUAUUUAUCAGAAUGAUUACAUUCACAAUGAAUCUAAGCUGCUAUUUAUACUUAAAUGAAUACACACGAGAAUCUUCUUGCUAGAUACUUCUAGAAACUCUACACGCACACUCGCACUGAGCUAGUGGUUACCAAAACCGUGACAACAAUAUUGCCAGCUCAGCAUAACCAACUUAUAAGUUAUAACUAACACACUCAGCUGCAGGGGAAACCAUCAAGCUUACUGUGCAUCCUCUGUAAUCAAGCUUCUUUAAGCAUGCUCUGCAGAUCAUAUGUCUGAAUUAUCGAAACAAGAUGAAUUAUUUUUUGUUUAGCAGCAGGCGAUCUAUGAGCAGAAUUUCUUGCAACAAAAGAUGUGUGUCCCCCGGCUUGUAUUUAGUCUCGUAAUGCAUUAUAUAUAUGCACGCGAACACACUUUUGAGAAGAAUCAGACCAUUAAUUUUCUUUUGAGCCAAUCAACAGAAUGUACAUUUCUUCUAAGAGCUUGUAACCGAAACUGCAGUUUUUCAGGUUUGAUGCAUCUGGGAAAAUUGUCAGAUGGAAUAAAACCAUCAUGCGCCAAGGUACCAAUGAUGUUUCUUCCAGCUUAUGAGCACUUCAAAUAAACUUAGGUCAUACUUACACAAGGGCGCACAUGAUAUCAAUCUAAUGGCAAAUAUAUCAUCUAAAAUCCAAAACCAAGAGUCUCCCAUUUUCCCGUCCUCUACUCUGUUCAUAUUAUCAUAACUAGAAGAUUGCAAGGCAGCCGCAAUCUCCCAGAUCUUUGCUCCUUCCUCAUAGCAGUUAAUCAAACGAUAAAUAGAGAUAUCCCAUGUCAACAAGAAGGUAAUCAUAAAAGAACAACAGAAUUGUUGCAACAUAUUCAUAUGAAAUGUAAAACAAUUUUGAGAAAAAAUAUUGGGAAGAUAUUUUUUUUUCAUAGAAGUUGCAAUCUUUACGUUAUUUACUAGUUUGACUAGACUAUAUAAGGAAGCUAUAUGAAAUUAGAAAAAUAAGCUAUACUAGGAAAGAAUAAAUAUGUGUACAGAAAAUUAGGCUAUAAUUUUCAAAUUAGAUGCCAGUUAAUUUUAUCAUAAUUAGAUGGUAAGAUUGCAAAUUCUGCAGCCAAAGGUGGUACGGAACUGAAUGAAGGAAAUCAAAUAUGAACAUGUUUUCAAUCUUAAAAUAUGAAGAGUAGCAGAAGUAACUUGUGAAACAGUUAUAAGUUCAAGGGAAUUAGAUGAUGGCAUGGUUGAAUUUUAUAAAUAUUUGAUAUUUUGGACCGAACAGGGCAAACAGAUGGAUCCAGAUAAUCAAGAAAAACAUCAAUUCCAUGCAACCAAAUUAGUGUGGGCAAUGCAAUUGAGCAACACUAAAAAAUUAUUCAAAGAAAUCAGUAUCCAAAUAUAUGGCUCCGUCCGUUCCACCACCACAACCAAAAAAAUCAGAUCCCCCCAUUUGGAUUCGAUUGAUUAAUUUGAGCAUAUAAAAUCGGGUUUUAAACUUCCCUAAGCAAAAUUUAUAUUCCACAGAAUCAGUUCCUUUAACAUGAUGCAUUACAUAAUAUUUUGUUUGCAAAAUAAAGAAGAAAGAUGACAUAAUAGAAACACGCUAUUGCAUCUUUUGAAAAAGAAAAACGGAAUAGUUUUCCAAAAUUAAUUCCGAGAAGAAGAUUAACUAAUAAUGAUGUUAGAAAUUUUAAUAUUUGAGUCUUAAUAUUAUGUAUCACUCAUUUAUUAAAUAAUAGAUUUCAUAAUUUGUAAAAUUACUUAACCACUUGAUAAAUGUUAUAUUUGUUGGGACUAAAUUGGAACUUAAAUGUUGGAAUAUCUAGUAUUGCAUUAAAAAAUAAAUAAAAACUUAACAAUUUAUCUUCACUUGACUAAUUGUUUUUACAUCACAACUAACCUUAAUUAUUUUGAAGUUACAGUAUUAUUAAAUUGUCCUAACUGGUUAUCAAAAGUUGAAAGCAUGUUAAAAUAAAAAAAAUUACCAAGAAACAUGUGCUUAAACAGAGGUUGAGGCUAUGAACAAUUAAGAAGAAACUCUUAAUUUGGUCCCAAUUAGUAUAGUAAUCAUCUAUUGAGCGGUAAAAUAUUAAUUUUAAUAGUGAUGAAAUCCAAUAUAUAAUAGAUUACUAACACACAUAAAUUAAAACUAAACUGUCAGAAAUCAUAACAUUACUCUACUCUUCAGUGGAGUUCUCUUAAACAGAUUAUGUGAGAUUGCCUACAUAAAAAAUAUGUUAAGACUGCUUGUUGAAAGCAAUAUUCGCUUUUCCAUUAUAUCCAUAACUUUGAAUUGAUAAAGUUGUAUUCAACAGCUCUUGAAAAGACUAAUUUAUUUAAACUAGUCACAGAAAUAAGAGAGAAAGGGGGCUAUUUCUUGACUCAAAGUCAAUUAUAAUUAUCAAAACUUGAGCGGACAUCGCAUGCCUAACUUCCACGCACCCUAAAACGGUUUGAUUUGCUUUCACGCGUUCAUGAAUUUCCAUGAAAGAGCCUGCCUUUCGUCUCUUUCGGGACAGUGACUACAAUUAUGGAAAAAAUUAUAAUUCUCGUUAGAUUGUAACCAAAUUAUUAUCCCUAAUUUUUUUAAGUUAAAUAAAAUAAAAUUUAUGCUUAAGUAUAAACAAUAAUUUGGACAUUCUUGUUAUUUGUCCUUCUAAGAUAGACAGCAACCUAAUUAUUUAUUUGUUUGCCUGUUUUUGUUUUUUUAAAUAACAGUUUAUUAGCAUAAAUAUUUACCUGUGAAGUCGAGGAGGAGAAAAUGUUAGAAAAAAUAAAAAGAAAAAAAAUUAAGGGAGAUAGAAUCAGAUUUUCUUUUUUGAGCAAAGAACAUACGUAAAAAGAUAUUAAAUCUAUUAAGUCUAAUUGUCUAUAACCGUAAAUUGCAUAACGAAUAAAUUAUCAGCGUAAAAUAAAUUUUAUUAGAUUCUGGUUAUUUUCUAGAGUACGAAUUGUCUCAUCGUAGAACAAACACCGGAAAAUAUAACCUUUGCGGAGGUCUUUUGCUGUGUCGUUAUAAAAAGGUUAUUAGUAAUUUAAUGCACCAAUAUUGUAUAUUCCACCUUAUCAAUGUCUCUGGUUGCGAAAGAUUGUUAAAAGCAACGUGUUCUUUCUUUGUCUUAUGUAAUUUUUUCGUUGUCCAUGAGUUUUAAUUGAAAUACUUGGCUUCCAGUUAUUUUGUAAACCUGUCGAAAACUACCACAGUGGAUAAAGAUUAACCAGCUCAUUCUUUACAAUUGACUAUCGAUUUUUUAUUUUUUUAUUUUUAUUUAAAAUUGCUGGUUUGUUGCUUAAAAUUUUCAAUAAUAAUUUCACUUAUUUAGUAAUUAGAGAGAGAUAGAGAGGAUUGGCGGCCAAUGUUUCGCGAUUUGGGGUCAAUUCAAAGUCAACUAACGUGUAAAACACGUGUAUGCAUAGAAAACGCUUAGAUUAUUUGUGUUCCAAGUGCAAGAAAUUAAGAAAAGAAAAAUUGAUUUCCUUUCAUGAACUUCCAAGAAAGAAAGAAGACCCUUUACCUUCUUCGUGACAACAAAUGAAUGAAUGAUGUUGAUAUGACAAAUACAAGCGCUAUUGCAGGGAACAGCAUAAGACCGAGACUUGAUAAAGGGUUUGUUAAAUUACAUGUUAUUUUCUUUUGACUUGAAUGAUGUUGAAAUAAAAUAAAAUUGUAAUCAGGAUGAUGUGUAGAAUAGUGAAAUAAAUAAAAAGAGAAGAGAAAUUCUUUGACCAAUAUUCAAGAACUCAUCCAAGGUGAUCGUCCAAGUCUAGAGGUUCGGUGUGAUUAGCAUUUAUUUUUAAUUUUUUGGCUAACAUCAUAUAUAGUCACUUGUCGUGUGAUGUAGGGCAAGUUUAGAAAUCCUUUUAUUUUAACUUCCGUAUUCUUAUUAUUUAAUUAGUUAUAGGGUUUUUAAGUAUUUGAGUAUUGAUCACAUGUCUGCUAAUCUAAAAAUAUUUUUUUACGAUCGAGUACAAAUAACAAACUAGAAUUUUAACAGCCUUUUAUACUAAACCCUAAAAAUACAUGAAUUUAUCAAAAUAAGUAAAUUAAUUUAAAUUGGUAUGGCAUAAUAGAAGUUUUACCUGCCGAAACAAAUUAAAAAAAUAUUACACUUAAAUCAAAUAUUGACAAAAAUAGAUAACAAUCUAAUGAGAAUCUUAACUAGACAUUUUUACUUCUAUCCAAUUUAACUGGAACGAGAAUUAAGUCCUUUCAAUAGUUAAGACUCAUAACUCAUACAUGCUAGUUUGAGAGUGUGGGGUGUGACAAUGGGUCAAAAGACCAUUGACAAGUACAAAAGAGUGAUUGCAAUUAAUUCAAACCGCUACACACGCUAUAUUGAGGGCCCAUUUUUGUUUAUUUCGUUGAAAAGUAGUUUUCACAAUUAAUUCAAACCGCUACACACGCUAUUGCGUCUUUUAAAAAAGAAAAAUGGAGUAGUUUUCCAAAAUUAAUUCAGAGAAGAAGAUUUACUAAUAAUGAUGUUAGAAAUCUUAAUAUUUGAAUCUUAAUAUUAUGUAUCACUCAUUUAUUAAAUAAUAGAUUUCAUAGUUUGUAAAUUUACUUAACCACUUGAUAAAUGUUAUAUUUGUUGGGACUAAAUUGGGACUUCAAUGUUGGAAUAUCUAGUAUUGCAUAAAAAAUAAAAAAAAACUUAAAAAUUUAUCUUCGCAUGACUAAUUGUUUUUACAUCACAACUAACCUUAGUUAUUUUUUAAAGUUAUAGUAUUAUUAAAUUGCCCUAACUGGUUAUCAAAAGAUGAAAGCAUGUUAAAAUAAGAAAUUACUAAGAAACAUGUGCUUAAACAGAGGUUAAGGCUACGAACAAUUAAGAAGAAACAACUUACAAUCAAAGGUUAAGAUUAUGAACAAAUUAAGGAAGGUAGAUAAAGGGACGGAAUCAUUGUCUGAAUUGCCGGUGACAAGAAUGCUUGUGUUGUGAAAAGAAACCUGAUGGUUUGUAAAUGGGUUGAAUUUUUUAUUCGCUCACUCCAACUGACUUACUAAUGCCAAAUUUAUUACGUUGCACAGUAGUGUUUAGGAUCCUCAAGAUCAACUCUUAAUUUGGUCCCAAUUAUUGUAGAAAUCAUCUAUUGAGCAAUAGAAUAAGAAUUUUUCUAGUCAUGAAAUUUAAUAUAUAAUAUAUCCUUGACACACAUCGAUUAGAACUUAAUUGUUAGAAUUCAUAACAUUACUCUACUCUCAAGGGGAGUUCUCUUAACAUAUUAUGUUAGGUUGCCUACAUUCAAAAUAUGUUAGACUGCUCUUUGAAAGCAAUAUUCCCUUUUCCGUAACUUUGAAUUGAUCCAAUAGCUCUUGAAAAGCACAUAAUAAUCAUUAUAAAUUUAAUCAAAGACUAAGCAGGUCUUCUUUCCAUUUGAUCACUGGCAUUUCAGUUAAGUUUGUCGUUUACUUAAAUUUUUCUUGCUUUCAAUUUCCACUGUUGUUUUUUUUAUAUAAAAUAAUUUAUUUAAACUAGUCAUAGAAAUAAGAGAGAAAGGGCGCCAUUUCUUGACUCAAAGUCAAUUAUAAUUAUCAAAACUUGAGCGGACAUUGCAUGCCUAAAUUCCACGCACCCUAAAACGGUUUGAUUUGCUUUCACGCGUUCAUGAUUUUCCAUGAAAGAGAGUGCCUCUCGUCUCUUUCCGGACAGUGACUGCAAUUAUGUUAACGUGACGAAUACAUAACGUUAUUACAUACAAGAAUAAGUUUUUGGAGCCGAGACUUGAGGGAGGUUCUAUCUAAUUCUAAAGAUUGUAACCAAAUCAUUAUCCCAAAUUUUUUUCAGUUAAAUAAAAUAAAAUUUAUGCUUAAGUAUAAAUAAUUUUUUUUCAGUUAAAUAUAAAAUAAAAUUCAUGAACUUUCCUAGAAAGAAAGAAGACCCUUCACCUUCUUCGUGACAACAAAUGAUGUUGACAUGACAAAUACAAGCUCUAUUACAGGGAAUAGCAUAAGACCGAAACUUGAUAAAUAUUAAAUAUAUAUUAUAAGUGGACCAAAUGAACAAAAUAAUAGAUAUUUUAUAAUAUUCUUGAUAAAAAUCCAAGUUUUGAGCUGGCCCAUAAGCUUGUCUAGCGAAGUCUGGGUACCCGCGUUGCCCAAGGUUUCGUCUGAAUCCAGGCUGUGUAGAUGUUUAUGACAUCCCAUAUGGACGGAGAGGAAAUAUUUUCAGUUGACUGAAUUAAAUAAAAAUAUAUUACAAUCAUAUUAUAUAUUAACAGCAAAAAUAAAAAGAAAUGAAGAAAAACGCAUGCAAGACUUAGAGAAGUCAAUUAAAAGCUGGGAGUAUCAUCAGUUCAAUUAGUUAUAAAUAGCGUAGAGCCAUCCUCUCGUUGUUGCAGAAGAGAGACAGAAAGAGUGUGUGUAGGUGAUUAUAAUUAAGAAGAUAUAAAGUGUGGUUCAAAAAGAGUGUGGGUGAGUGAGUUAAUUUUCAUAUUAUUAGUAGUAAAAGGGUGGUGGAGUGAGGGAUGUUUGGAGCAAGAGAGGUCUGCUCUCCUCCAACUUAAACGUUUCUUCAAUAAUAAUGAACGUCUUCAAAACUGGGCAGACGCGGCAGAUGAUGAGAAUUAUUCAGAUUGUUGUCAGUGGGAAGGGGUUGAGUGCAAUAACACCACUGGCAGAGUGAUUGAAUUAUAUCUAGGAGCCACUAGGAAUCGGGAAUCAGCAGAGUGGCAUAUGAAUGCUUCUCUAUUUACUCCCUUUCAACAAUUAGAGUCUCUUUAUCUAAUUGGGAACAAUAUAGCCGGUUGUGUUGAAAAUGAAGGUCCUUAAUUUACUUUAUUUUAGUUCUUCCUAUAAAUUUCUUACAUUUAUCUGAUCCCUUUUGGCUUUUAUUUAAUUUGUAUGUGAUACAAUAAAAUUAUUUUUUAUUUUUUGGCAGGUCUAGAUAGGUUAUCAAGGUUGAACAACUUGAAGUUUCUUUUUUUAGAUUUUAACUGCUUCAACAACAACAUCUUUUCAUCUCUAGGUGGUCUUUCAUCACUCAGGAUCUUAUCAUUGUUUCAUAAUAGAUUGAAUGGAAGUGUUGACAUUAAAGGUAAAGUAAGCUUCAUCCCUUCUCCCGUGUCCCAUCUUUUGUGGAUCUUAUUUCAUCGACCAGCUGGAAGUAUUGAUACGAGAUCUAGCUAGACUCUUGCUAGUGCAAGCUUCAAGGCUUUGAGUGCUACAAAAAUAGGUCUAAGAAAUUAUCAAUACAUAACGUUAUUACAUACAAUAAUAGUUCUAAAGAUUGUAACAAAAUCAUUAUCCCCAAUUUUUUUAAGUUAAAUAAAAUAAAAUUCAUGCUUAAGUAUAAAUAAUACUUUGGACAUUCUUGAUAUUUGUCCUUUUAAGAUAAACAGCAACCCAAUUAUCUAUUUGUUUGUCUGUUUUGUUUUUUUUAAAUAACAGUUUGUUAGCAUAAAUAUUUACCUGUGAAGUCGAGGAGGAGAAAAUGUUAGAAAAAAUAAAAAGAAAAAAAAUUAAGGGGGAUAAAAUCAGAUUUUCUUUUUUGAGCAAAGACCAUACGUAAAAAGAUAUUAAAUCUAUUAAGUCUAAUUGUCUAUAACGGUAAAUUGCAUAACGAAUAAUUUAUCAGCGUAAAAUAAAUUUUAUUAGAUUCUGAUUAUUUGUUUGAUUUCUUUUCUCUCUGGACUCAACUUAUAUUGUUUAUUUGAUUUGAUUUUAUUAUUUUUUAAAGAAACUUAUUGUUUAUCAAUACUGAAUGGCUUAAGAUUGAUGUCUUGAUAAUAGAUGGGGCAAUAUUGCAUUUUUAAUGCAGUAGACUUUGAAGUUAUCAUUGACAAGCUUAGAUGAAUUACUAGGACCAUAAUACAAAUGUCACAGGCAUCUAAGGCACUUACCAAGUUUUGAGUACAUUCCUGUUCCUAUCUAAUAGUUUUUAAUUUCUUUAAUUUAAGACCCCAUUCAUUAAUAUUUUCUUUAUUGUGAAGUUAAUUUUUUUUAUGUGAAAUUAAUUUUUUUUUAAAAAAAAUUUGUUGACUUAUAGUUUACCUUUGUGUUAAAUGUUGGCAAAAUUAUUUUGUCCAAACCAUUUUUUUGUCCUGAACGUCCAACUAAAAACUGAAUCAAGGGUUAAGUUGUAAGGUUUCAGUUCGUCCGUUAUAUUAAUUUAUUGUUUUAAUAUUAUGCAGUACAAAUAGGUGUAUAAGUCCAUCAUUUAAAUACAAAAUGAAACCACAUCAAUAUAGAAAUUAAAAGAAAAUGAAUUCUCACAACCAUAAGGUGAGAUUCAAACUCUCUAUCUCCGAGGAUUUCUUAAAGUUAUUCUUAAAUUAUACUUAAAUGGUUAAAUUUAAUAAAUAAAGGUUUAAUUCUUUUCUCGCACAUUGUAGAAGCAAAUUUUCUCCUCUGUUGAAAAUUCUAAAUAUUUUUUUAAAUUAGGUUUCAACUAUGACAUAUCAGGAGAGAUUUGAUACAUUUCUAAUGCAACCGAUAUAACAACACAACUUUGUGAUUUUUACUAUUCAGGAGAAGAAGAACACAACCUGUAUAACCCAACCGUUUAUAUACAAACAUCGAAUCGCUUUUUAAAAUUAAAUUGGGAAAAUUGGGGAUAUAAUCGUUUUUCAUAUAUAUACAUUUUUUCCUUACAAAUUUAAAUUCAUGGUUGGUAGCUAAAUAUACCUGCUUAAAGCCACUCAGUCGAACCCUUUGAGAGCUGCUUUAAAUUUUUCGGAUUAGCCAUAUUCUUUUCACUGAGAUUUAACAUAAAAAAAAAAGAGAAAAUAAGUUAUUUAAUUAACUCUAUUUUAAGUGUUGGCAUAAAUACAGGACUCGAUUCCUUAAGCAACUUGAAGGCGCUGUACAUGAGCUUCAAUGCAAUCGACAAUCUAGUGGUUCCUAAAGGUAUACAAAAUCUUCAAAUAUUAAUAAUUUGGAAGACAAUUUAAUUGAUUUGAUUAGGGAAUGCCCAAUGUCACUUAUCCAAAAUAAUUUAAUCUGAAAUUGUAUCCCAAAUAGAUUACAGAGGCUUGAGGAAGUUGAAUACCCUUUAUUUUGGGGGGGGGGGGGGGGGGGGGGGGGGGAGGGAAAUUGCAGUGAUAUAUGGAAGCAAGGUGUUGCAAUCAAUAAAGAAGUUCAUUGGUCAAUAUUCAAGGACUCAUCCAAAGUAAUCCACCAACUCAAACAUUUCUUCAAUGAUGAUCAACGUCUUCAAAACUAGGUAGACGCGGGAGAAAUGAGAAUAAUUUAGAUUGUUGUCAGUGGGAAGGGGUUGAGUGCAACAACACCACUGGCAGAGUGAUUAAAUUAGAUCUAGCAUUUCGAAAAUGGGAAUCAGCAAAGUGGUAUAUGAAUGCCUCUUUGUUUACUCCCUUUCAACAAUUAGAGUCUCUUGAUCUAAGUUGGAACAAUAUAGCCGGUUGUGUUCAAAAUGAAGGUCCUUAAUUUACUCUAUUUUAGUUCUUCCUCGUAAUUUCUUACAUUUAUCUGAUCCCUUUUGGCUUUUGUUUAAUUUGUAUGUGAUACAAUAACAUUUUUUUAGUUUUUAUUUUUUAUUUUUUGGCAGGUCUAGAGAGGCUAUCAAGGUUGAACAACUUGAAGUUUCUUUAUUUAGACGACAACCACUUCAACAACAGCAUCUUUUCAUCUCUAGGUGGUCUUUCAUCACUCAGACACUUAUCAUUGGCUGAUAAUAGAUUGAAUGGAAGUAUUGAUAUUAAAGGUAAGCAAGCUUCAUCCCUUCUCCCGUGUCCCAUCUUUGUGGAUUUUAUUUCAUCGACCAGUUGGAAGUAUUGAUACUAGAUCUAGCUAGACUCUUGCUAGUUUAAGCUUCAAGGCUUUGAAUAUUAUAAAAAUAGGUUUAAGGAAUUAUCAAUAUAUGCAAUUUUCAAUGCUUCUCAUAAUCAGACACAAUUCAAUCUAAUUAUUUCGUAUGUCUUGUCUUCAAAAGUAAAGAAUUGUACACUAAACGGAAAUCGACAUUGUAGCUUUUUAAUUUUUCUAAUGCUCUUUCUUUGUUAACGAGUUAAAUCCUGAGAGUGGAUUGGAUUCAAAAAAAAAAAAAAAAACAAGUUUUGAUGUUCAAGGUAAGCCAUAAUAACAUGCAUCUUAUUUAUCUGCCUAUAUCUAAAUUUGUGCAUUGAAUUUAGUAUUUUGGUUAGUGUGAAGGGAUCAGAUAUUGGCUUCCAUAAACCAACUUGUAUUUACUUAAUUAAUUAAUUAACGCCAUUUAGUAUUUAAAAAAUUAAAAUUUCGUGUUUUAUUUAUUUUAUUUUUUAUUUUUUGAAACAAGAAUAAGGUAUAGCAGUAGGUAAAGUUGAAAUAAAUUUUUAUUCCUUACAAAUUUAAAUUCGCCGUUGUCAGCCAAAUAUACCUACUUAAAACCACUCGGUCAGGCCCUUGGCAGCUGGUUUUUAGGUUUUUCUAGUUAGCCGUGUACUUUUUUGCUUAUUAAUAAAAUUCUUUUGCGCCGAGAUUUAAAACAAAGAAGGAGAAAAUAAGUUAUUUAAUUAACCCUGUUUUAAGUGUUGGCAUAAAUGCAGGACUGAAUUCCUUGAGUAACUUGGAGGAGCUGGACAUAAGCGACAAUGCAAUCGACAAUCUUGUGGUUCCUAAAGGUAUACAAAAUGUUCAAAUAUUUGGAGGACAGUUUAAUAGAUUUGAUUAGGGAAUGCCCAAUGACACUUACCCAAAAUAAUUUAAUCUGAAAUUGUAUCCCAAACAGAUUUCAGAGGUUUGAGGAAGUUGAAUACCCUUUAUUUCGGGGGAAGGGCAACUGCAAUGAUAGAUGGAAGCAAGGUGUUGCAAUCAAUAGGAUCACUACCGUCCCUCAAAACACUUUACCUUUUGUAUACUAAUUUUAAGGGAACAGUAGUUAAUCAAGGUAAGUAAAUCUUUUAUGUCGAAAAUAAUUGAAUUAAUAUAUAUAUCUAAAAUUUAUUGUUUCUACUUCUUUCUAAAAAGAAUUGCACAAUUUCACCAACUUGGAAGAAUUGAUAUUGGACGAGUCUGAUCUCCACAUAAGCCAGCUUCUGCAAAGCAUCGCAUCAUUCACUUCGUUAAAGUAUUUGUCAAUGCAACAUAGUGUACUCAAGGGUGCCCUGCAUGGUCAAGGUAAAUUACGGGUAUCUGAAGCUUUUGUGAUAUUAAUUCGAUAAUGAUUCUUUCUUUUCAAGUUAAUUUUCUCCCGUAAAAUAAUAUUUUUUUCUUUUAAAUUUUAUAUAUUUUCACUAUCCAAUAGUUCUACCUUCUCUAAAUUGUAGGAUUCUUGAUUAAGGUUAAUGAAAUUUUAGUUAUGUUAUGUUAAGAAUAUUUCGAUCGCUUAGAAGAGUAAAGAAAAAUAAGUAAAUUAACCCAAAAAUAAGGACCGGAUUAUCCUUAUUCCCUUGCAUUAUGUGAUCAAUAUCAAAAUUAUGACCAUUUCUUGUUUAUUGCUUGCAGAUUUUCGUAAAUUCAAGAAUUUGGAAAAUCUGGACAUGGGUGAGGUGCAGGUUGACGUCAACACCAGUUUUCUUCAAAUUGUCGGCGAAUCGAUGCCUUCUCUGAAGUUUUUAUCACUGAUAAACUCUAGUAAAAACACCAUUCUUGAUCAAGGUUAAUUAAUGAUUCUCUUUCUCCCUCUCGCGCAUCUUAACUAAAUUUAAUUGAGAAUAUCUAUGAUGUGAGAUAUUUAUAAACUUAAUGAAAUAUGAUAAGGAGCCAUAAUAAUGACAAAAAUAACUAUAAAACAGUGCAUUGUUGUAGUGUUGAUUGAAAAAUAAUGCUAAUUUUUUACUUAACACUAUAACGCUAUAUAAUUUUACAGUUAUUUUGUUGCCAUUACGUCAGAUUCUACUGUUCAACUAUCAGUGAUCAAACUUAAUUUUUAAUAUGUACUUUAAAGAUUUUAUGCAAUUAUUUAAGUUUUAUGCAAUUAUAUUUUUCAGGACUUUGUCGGUUAGUGCAUCUGCAAGAGUUAUACAUCAGCAGUAAUGAUUUGAGAGGUAGCUUGCCAUGGUGCUUGGCAAAUUUGACUUCCCUUCGAGUAUUAGAUGUCUCUUACAAUCAACUUACUGAAAACAUCUCCUCAUCUCCCAUCAUGCAUCUAAUAUCUAUUGAAAAGCUCAUACUUUCAAAUAAUCACUUCUUCCAAAUCCCUAUUUCACUUGAACCACUUUUCAAUCUCUCAAAACUCAAGACUUUCGAUGGUGAAAUAUGCGCAGAAACUGAGUCACAUUAUAAUUCUUUGACCCCAAAAUUCCAACUGACUUCUAUCUCACUGUCUGGUUACAUAGAUGGUGGCACAUUUCCCAAAUUCUUGUACCAUCAGCAUGACUUGAAGAAUGCUGAUCUCUCACACCUUAACUUGAGUGGACAAUUUCCAAAUUGGUUGCUAGAAAACAAUACAAACUUAGUGAUGCUUCUUCUUGCCAAUAACUCUCUUUUUGGAUCAUUUCGAAUGCCAAUUCAUUCCCACCAGAAUUUAGCAACAUUGGAUGUCUCCAAACAAUUUCUUUCAAGGCCAUAUUCCGGUAGAAAUCGGAACAUAUCUGCCAGGUUUAAUGGAUUUAAACUUAUCUAGAAAUGCUUUCAACGGUAGCAUUCCCUCUUCAUUUGCUGAUAUGAAAAUGUUGGAAAGGUUGGACAUAUCUGACAAUCAGUUGACUGGUGAAAUCCCUGAGCGCAUGGCCACGGGUUGCUUCUCAUUAGAAAUUCUUGCAUUGUCAAACAAUAGUUUGCAAGGUCAUAUAUUCUCGAAAAAAUUUAACUUGACAAAUUUGAUGACGUUGCAGUUGGAUGGUAAUAAAUUCAUUGGAGAGAUCCCAGAAAGCUUAUCUAAGUGUUAUUUGUUGGGAGGAUUGUAUCUGAGUGAUAAUCAUCUCUCUGGUGAGAUUCCAAGAUGGUUGGGUAAUUUGUCAGCUUUAGAAGGUAUUAGAAUGCCCAAUAACAAUCUUGAAGGACCAAUUCCAAUCGAGUUUUGUCAGCUUAGUGCUCUGAAGAUUUUAGACCUUUCAAACAAUUCUAUUUUCGGAACGUUACCAUCUUGUUUUAGUCCAGCACAUAUCGAACAAGUUCAUUUGUCAAAAAACAAGAUAGAAGGACGGUUGGAAAGUAUAAUCCAUGACAGCCCUUAUUUGGUGACAUUAGAUCUUAGUCAUAACCGCUUACACGGAAGUAUUCCAAAUCGGAUUGACAGACUACCUCAGUUAAACUACCUUCUUUUAGCUCAUAAUUAUAUUAAAGGCGAAAUACCAGUUCAAUUAUGCCAGUUGAAGGAAGUGCGAUUGAUUGAUCUUUCUCAUAAUAAUCUAUCUGGUCAUAUUCCUCCUUGCUUGGUUAACACUGCACUCAGUGGAGGUCAUCAUGAGGCAGUAGCUCCAACUUCGAUUUGGUGUGGUCGAGCGUCUGUCUAUAUAUCUGCAUGUCUGCCUAGUCGAAGUGCACCUCCGAUGGGAAAGGAAGAAACUGUACAGUUCACAACAAAGAAUAUGUCCUACUAUUAUCAAGGAAGAAUUUUGACGAGUAUGUCUGGGAUUGAUCUUUCUUGUAACAAACUGACAGGUGAGAUUCCUACUCAAAUUGGAUAUCUUUCUGGGAUUCAUGCGCUAAAUCUAUCUCAUAACAAUUUGACGGGCACAAUCCCGACAACAUUUUCAAACCUGAAGCAAAUUGAAAGCUUGGACCUCUCCUACAACCUACUGCAUGGGAAAAUCCCUCCUCAACUCAUUGUGCUAAAUACAUUGGAGGUUUUCAAAGUAGCAUACAAUAACUUAUCAGGCAAAAUUCCAGAUAGAGCACAAUUUUCAACUUUCGAGGAAGAUAGCUAUGAGGGGAAUCCUUUUCUUUGUGGAAAGCCACUGUCCAAAAGUUGCAAUGAUAAUGGAUUGACAACAGUGACACCAGAAGCUUCCACCGAAAAUCAAGGUGAUAGUUUAAUUGACACGGACAGUUUCCUGAUCACUUUUACAGUAUCUUAUGGAAUUGUGAUAAUAGGAAUUAUUGGAGUUUUGUACAUAAACCCUUACUGGCGGCGAAGAUGGUUUUACCUUGUUGAAGUGUGUAUGACCUCUUGUUAUUAUUUUGUAGCAGACAAUCUUGUUCCUCGAAGAUUCUAUCGUGGAUGGAUGUAAUUUCCUUACAUUACAACUUAUAUGUAAUUUUUAAAGAAUUUUCUUUUGCAUGCAUGGAAUAGCAACUCAAUAAAAGUAUUUGAUUCAAAUUGUCCAAGAACAACUUAGUAAUUUCAUUGCUACUAUUCGGUUGUAUAUAUACAGUAAAUGAAAUUUUUAACCAUUCGCAGUAGGAAUUUCUUUAGAUGGCGGCCAAAACUAACAGAUUUGGGGCUCUACUUCUACACAUCAUAACAGACAAAAGGUCUCUCUUUUACACGAUCUGAAUGAAGAUUAACUUACGCCCUCUGGAGUGUGUGUAAGUUCUCUAUUAAACUUGACGGUUGAGAUUUCAGGUCCAGAUGAAAGUAAAAUGCAGGCGACGAGACUUCACUUUAAGUAAACUGGGACAAACUUAAAAUAAAAAAAAUUAUAGUCCAGGGUGAGAGUAAUGGGUAGCUCAACUUAUGGAGGAUAACUAGGACUUGGAAUAACUAUCAGAUUUGCAACUCUUGUUAUAUGCUAGUGGGGAUUUAGGUAGCAAUUAUCACCUUGGGAGUUACAGUAAUCGAUUCAUUUCCUCCUUCAUUUCUGAUGGUAACCCAGCUCUAUACAAGAACAAUCAGAGAAGGUUCAUUUAAGAAAUUUCACAACCCACAAAUUUUUUUUUCCUUUUUGCCCUCUUCCUCACAAUAAACACACCUAACACACCAAGCCGUGCCCAAAAUAAUCCUAUUUUAUUCAUGUCAUGAAUCCAAAAACUAUCCCAGCUCACUUUGGUUAACCAGCAUAACUAAAUUGUGGGUAUAAAUGAACACACUUUCGAAGCCUGUAACUUAUAAUAAGCUCCAACCCAAAAAUGACAUUUAAAUCCUGCAAGUGUUUUUCAUCAUCUUUAACAAAAAGAAACAAGAAUAAUUAUAUACCAAUAAUUUUUCCAUAAAAAAUACUGACUUGAGUUGAAACACUAUACAAACUGGGUUUUAUUACACUUGCAGAAAGCUACAGGGUAGAAAAAAUCUAGCAGCUACAUAUUGGUAUCACUUUCAGCUGGUCAUGAAUGGUGAGCAUUCAGCAAUGCUCGAUAGACCAUGUCUAAGAAUUGAUUGUCCUAUUACAUAUAAAAGCUGGUCAGAUAUACAAGGAAAAAAAUAAUAAUUGAAAAUGCAUCACAAAAAAUAAGUGUUUCGCAUUAGUGAACAUAAAUUUAUUUACAUGUCAAUUUAGAUAUCAUCAAAAAGUAAACAGUAAUUCAGUCACUUAAAAUAGCUUUAAGUCUGCUGUCAAUAUGCAAUUAAGAAGAUUAUACCAGCUGCAUGAUAAAGUUCCCCUAAUCUUAACAACAGUAAACAUGAACAUGUCAGAUGCAAUUAUAGCUUCGAGCAUUUGCAUAACCAGAAAUCCUAACCUGAACAAGCACCAGAAGUGUCUCUCGAACUUUCUCCUUGCUGAUAAAUGGUCGGCUGUUUGAAGUAAGAGCAGGAGUAAGAGAUGGUGGAGGGGUUGGUGGUGGAAAAGGUUGAAGCACUGGGGCACCAUAUGGGCGUUGCAGACUCACGGGAGGAUUAAGUGGCGGAGCUGUUGGUGUAGAUGAAGAGACAAGCUGCAUCAUCCGUGCAUAGGAGGAUGGAGGAGGAACAAAGAAUAAGGAAGGCUUUACAAGAUUAGGCGUCCAGUUGCCAGAUUCAGAGGUGUCAACGGGUGAUAUUAAAGGUGUAGGUGCUGAUAGAGGUGGAGAUGGUAUUUGCAAGGUUGGGAGAAGCAACACUGGCGGGAUGAGAAGGUAAAGAAAUAGUUGUAUUGUACUGGUAAGGUUGUGCAGAGAUUGCUGCAUUAGAAGUAUUCCCCACAGUCAAAGCUGUCUGCAAUGAUAAGGACAGAUUGUUGGAGAAUUAACAAAAUAAAACACAAAAAACACUAUUUUAUUUCUUCAACAACACUUCUCACCAAUUACAACUCUUAUUUUUCACUUUCUACACCUUAGAGAUUUUGCUACUUCACUUGAUGAUUAAACCAAAGGGGAGAGGGGGUAUUUAUACAUGAAACAAACUAAUCACAACCAUUCAUUUAUUCAAUUAAUACACAAAUCCUCACCAUCCAUUAAAACCUACCACUCACCUACUUCACCAACCACACCUAACACACCUAACACAAAUAAUUCAAAGCUCACCAACCAUACCUACUCAUGGAACCUUCCAUGAGUUGGGCUUGAUUUACUCAUCUUGGAUCAAGUUUAUGAUCCAACACCUCCCCUUAAACUUGAUCCUGUGACACCAAGCAAACUUCUGAAUCUUGCAAAGUCUUCUUCCUUGAGUGGUUUAGUGAAGAUAUCAGCUGCUUGAUCUUGUGAUUUUACAUACUUGACUUGCACUUCUUUUCUUGCAAUACACUCUCUUAUGAAAUGAUAGCGAGUGUCUAUGUGUUUACUUCGAUCAUGAAAGACUGGAUUCUUGGAUAGGGCAAUUGCUGAUUUGUUAUCAACACAAAUCUCGGUUGGCUCUUCUUGUGCCAAACUCAACUCCUUCAGCAAAUUUCUGAGCCAAAUUGCAUGACAAACACUUGAUGUGGCAGCUACAUAUUCAGCUUCACAAGUGGAUAGAGUGACAAUUGGUUGCUUCUUUGACAUCCAUGUGAAAGCAGUAUCUCCCAUGAAGAACACAAAUCCUGUUGUGCUCUUUCGAUCAUCUACAUCUCCACCCCAAUCGCUAUCGCUAUAUCCAAUAAGCUUGUAGUGAUUAGAAAAUGAGUAUAACAAGCCGAAAUUAAUUGUACCUUUGAUAUAGCGAAGGAUUCUUUUUGCAGCUUUAAAAUGAGUGGUCUUUGGAUUCUCCAUGUAUCGGCUCACAAGUCCAACAGCAUAAAGAAUAUCUGGUCUUGUGCAUGUCAAAUAACGGAGGCUUCCAACCAAACUUUUAAAGAAUGUUGGAUCUAUAUCUUCGCCUUCAUCAUAUUUGGAUAACUUGACUCCGCAUUCCACUGGCGUGCUUAUAGGCUUGCAAUCAUUCAUCUUGAACCUUUUGAGAAUCUCCUUUGCAUAACUUUCUUGGGAGAUAAAUAUGUCUUCUUCCUUUUGCUUGACUUCAAUGCCGAGGUAAUAUGUCAUCAGUCCGAUGUCAGUCAUCUCGAACUCUUUGAUCAUCACUCUUUUGAACUCUUCAAACAAGCUUGGAUUACUUCCAGUGAAGAUGAGAUCAUCCACAUACAGGCACACAAUCAAAAUAUCUCCAUCUUUUUCUUUGACGUAGAGAGCAUGUUCAUAUGGGCAUUUGGUGAAGCCUUUCUCUUGAAAAUACUUGUCAAUUCUGCUAUUCCAUGCCCUUGGUGCUUGCUUUAACCCGUAAAGAGCUUUCUUUAAUCUCAAAACUUUGUCUUCAUGUCCUUUCACCAUAUAGCCUAAUGGUUGUUCGAUGUAAACUUCUUCUUCAAGGAAUCCAUUCAAGAAAGCAGACUUCACAUCCAUUUGAAAAAUCUUCCAUUUGUUCUGAGCAGCCAAAGAAAUAAUAAGUCUAAUAGUUUCAAGUCGAGCUACAGGAGCAAAUACCUCGUCAUAGUCUAUGCCAGCCUUUUGACUAUAGCCUUUUGCAACUAGCCUCGCCUUGUGCCUUUCAAUUUCUCCAUUCGCAUUUCUUUUUGUUUUAUACACCCAUUUGACACCGAUCGCCUUAUGACCUUUUGGAAGAGUAGUAAGCUCCCAAGUAUCAUUCUUCACAAUGGCUUUGAUUUCUUCAUCCAUUGCAAUUCUCCACUUCUCAUCUAGUGCAGCUUCUUGGAAGUUGACUGGCUCACAAUCAGCAAAGAGGCAAAAGAGAGUGAGAUUAUCAUGUCUCUCAGUUACCUCAUAGAGAUCUUGAAGACUCCUUGUACGUUCUUCAGUUCUUUCAUUUAAGAAAUGCGGCGGUGAAUCUCCGCAUGUGGUUGGUACCGGUGAGAUAGGUAGAGUGGCAGGCUCUUGUUGUUCGUCUACUUGUUUUAUCUGUGUAUGAUCAUCUUCUUCAAUGGGAAAGAAGUUGAAGUCAUCCACACCAGAGCCAAAAUCUCAUUCUCCUUCUUCAUCAAAAACUACAUCUCGACUGAUCACGAUCUUCCCGUUGUUUGGAUUGUAAAGCUUGUAUCCUUUGGAGUUGUUGUCGUAGCCGAUGAAGAUGAACUUUUCACUUUUGUCAUCCAGCUUGGCUCUACUUUCAUCUGGUACAUGUACAUGGGCAAUGCUUCCGAAAACUCUUAGAUGGGUUAUGCCGGGUUUUCUUCCACUCCAAGCUUCUUGUGGCGUCUUGCCCCACACGCUUCUUGUUGGAGAUCGAUUGGAUAAGUAGACUGCACAUGCAACAGCUUCAGCCCAAAAUUCUUUAGGUAGCCUCUUACUCUUAAGCAUGCUUCUUGCCAUGUCGAGGAUGGUUCUGUUCUUCCUUUCUGCAACACCAUUUUGUUGAGGGGAUCUUGGAACUGUCAAAGGGCGUCGAAUUCCAUUUGCUUCACAAAACUCUAAAAAUUCUUUGGAAGUGAACUCUCCACCUCGAUCAGAUCUCAUGGCUUUAAUCUGGUAUCCACUUUCUUUUUCCACUGCAGCUUUAAACUUCUUGAAAGCUUCAAAAACUUCUGAUUUUUGCUUCAAAAAAUACACCCAAGUUUUUCUUGAAAAAUCAUCUAUGAAGAGAAGGAAGUAGUUACUUUUACCAAGGGAGUUUGGUUUGAAUGGACCGCACACAUCAGUAUGAAUGAGCUCGAGUGGCUUCUGAGCUCUUGAGUUUGACUCCUUUGGAAAGCUCUUUCUGAAUUGCUUGCCAAGUAAACAUCCUUCACAAAGCUGAUCAGGGUGAUUGAUGUAUGAUAAGCCUUUCACCAUGUUCUUCUUGAAUAGUAGCUCCAAUCCUCCAAAGUUGAGAUGCCCAUAUCGAAGAUGCCAAGUCCAGGAUUGAUCUUUGUGACAGGCUUUGAGACAUUUUGCAACAUCAUUUUGAAUAUUUAAUGGAAACAUUCUAUUCUUCGACAUUUUCACCUUUGUAAUUAGAUUUCCUUUGUCAUCUUUUAGGAAAAGACUAUAAUCUUUUAAGUGAAUAUCAUAGCCUUUUUCUAAAAGUUGACCCAAACUAAGAAUGUUGCUUUUCAUAUUGGGCACAUAGUAAACAUUCGAAAUUAUUUGGUGACUACCAUCUUUUGCACGAAAAAGAAUGUUACCUUUACCCUUCACUGGUACUUUUGAAUCAUCUCCAAAAGCGACACUGCCAUUCACAGAUUCACUUAGUUGCACGAACAUGUUUAUGUUUCCACUCAUAUGAUUGCUAGCACCUGUGUCAAGAUACCAUGUAUUUUCUUGACCUCCACUUGUGUCAUUGCGUGCUAGUAAAAGUGUGCCAUCUUCACUAUUUUUCUCUUCAGCAUAGUUCACUCUCUCUUCAAUUCUGGUGCUUGGAGCUCUGCAUUCUGAAGCAUAAUGCCCAAACUUUUGACAAUUAUAGCACUGUACUUGGGAUUUGUCAUACCUCGAUCUUGGAUUGCCUCUGCCUCGUCCUCUGGUUGAGCUUUCUCCUUUGGCAUAAUUGGAGUUGUUGUUGUUGAAAUUCCAACCUCGUCCAUGACCACGACCUCUACCUCGUCCAUGACCACGACCCCUACCUCGGACAUAGUGCCUUCUCUCAUUGUCGGAGCUUUCUUCUCUUUUCUUUGGAUUGACUUCCAUCUUGAGAAGUUGUUCUUCGAUUCCUUGCCUCUUUUUUUGUUUUUCUUCAUAGGCUUGCAACCUUCCUUGAAGUUGCUCGAUCGUCAUAUCCUCCAGAUCUCUUGUUUCUUCAAUUGUCACAACAAUAUGGUCAAACUUCGACUCUACUGAUCGAAGUAUCUUUUCAAUGAUCCUUACCUCUUUUAACUCCUCGCCAUUUCUUUUUAAUUCAUUGGAAACAGUCACAACCCGAGUAAAGUAGUCAGAAAUUGACUCUGACGCCUUCAUAUGUAAGGACUCAAAUUCUCCUCGUAAUGUUUGGAGACGAACCUUCUUAACUUGUUCCGCUCCUUUGUAAGAGGUCUCUAGUUUCUCCCAUGCUUCUUUUGAGGAGGUUGUACCAGCAAUUUUUUCAAAAUCAUCUUCAUCUAAUGAUUGAAAGAUGAGAUACUUUGCUUUAUUCUCUUUCUUCUUCAAGUCUUUUAAAUUCUCCUUCUGCGCCGCAGUUAAAGUGGCUUCAUUUUCUGGCACAAUAAAGCCUUUUUCCACGACAUCCCAUACGUCAUGUGCGCCCAAUAGAGCCUUCAUUUUAAUACUCCAAUUGUCAAACUUACUUCCCUUUAAUUGUGGAACUUGAAAUGACAUCAUACCACCCUUUGCCAUAACUCACAAAUUGAGUGAGAAUUUGGAGAUUCUGAAAGCACAAAUGGAUCCGGCACGUCGAAAAACCUUGGGAAUGACUCGAGUCAACUUUCGGUCAACGGUCAACGCUGGUCAACGGUCAACGCUGGUCAACGGUCAACGUCGGUCAACGGUCAACACCGGCUUGGUAGUCUUGGUUCGGUCCGGAUUGGUUCAGCUCGAGUUGGCUCGGUUCGACUUGAUUCGGUUCAGCUCGGUUCGGCUUGGUUCAACUCGGUGAGUCGACUCAGCUUUAGGGCAGAAAACUUCCGGCGGCAAGUGUGGGCGCGUCCGGUCUCCGAUUGGGAUAAUUUUUGCGGCGUCACUUUCCUCUCGUCGAGAUCUUCGAUUUGAUAUGCUAUAUGACCAUAUAUAGCAUCAUGUACUAGCUCUGAUACCACUUUGUUGGAGAAUUAACAAAAUAAAACACAAAAAACACUAUUUUAUUUCUUCAACAACACUUCUCACCAAUUACAACUCUUAUUUUUCACUCUCUACACCUUAGAGAUUUUGCUACUUCACUUGAUGAUUAAACCAAAGGGGAGAGGGGGUAUUUAUACAUGAAACAAACUAAUCACAACCAUUCAUUUAUUCAAUUAAUACACAAAUCCUCACCAUCCAUUAAAACCUACCACUCACCUACUUCACCAACCACACCUAACACAAAUAAUUCAAAGUUCACCAACCAUACCUACUCAUGAAACUUUCCAUGAGUUGGGCUUGAUUUACUCAUCUUGGAUCAAGUUUAUGAUCCAACACAGAUGUCAUAUACAAGGACUUCAUCGAAGUUGAACCUCACAAAAAAAUGAAGUGAUAACAUAUGAAAAUAGUAUAUGACUUGCGCGGCAUUUUUGUGGUAAUGUUGCAUACUUAUGUAGAAACAUAUUAUUUCAAAGAAAACAUACACUGAAGAAGUUCACAAAAGCAGGAUCUUCAGGAACAUCAGCAGCAUUUGACGGAGUUGACUCUAGAGGACCAUCCAUAACUGCCAUAGUUGGAACAGCUUCCAGUUCCUCAAACUCACUGCAGUUUAACAUAAAAGGAACUUGAUGACCAAUUUAAGUAAUAAUUAGAUGAUAUAAGAGGUUAGGGAAAAUGAUGAGUGGACCCUUAUGGAAGGUGAUUUCACCUUAGCUAAACACGAAAAUAAAAAGAAAUCAAAGCUGAAUCCUCGAGUGCAAUGCAAAGAAUUUUUUCUCUCUCUUCACUAACUCCUCUUAUUCGAAAUUGCUCAUCAUUGUGCUGCUCUUCGAGAUUUCGCUUGAGUAGAGAAAGUUAUUCUCCCGUUAAGUGCAGAGGAAAAAGAAGGGCAAGGGCCUGGUAUGAUGUUAUUCUAUAGGAAGUGAGAAGGUGAAGGGUUAAAAUAUUUUGCAAUUUGGAGGUGGUGUUUGUUAGUGUGUGUACUUCUGAAUUUAUUACCUCUUUAGGAUCCAUAGAAAUUGCCUCUUGUUCAGCAUGCACUGUGCCUACGAGUAAGGCGAGCUUGCAUGGUAUCUAUUGUCUAUUUACUUGGAUAUUCAAACAGGACUACCAGCAACCAAACACAAAUCCCCAAAACAAAACACUCUUUCAAGUGCAAGGAAAGAGUAACUUGGGCAUAUUUAUGGUUCAAGCACUACCAUAACUAAGAAUGUGAUGCUGUCCACAAACACUAUAUCAGUGCCUUUUGAACUACAUGACAUGCUUGAAGACUUUUUUUUUAGUCAUACAUAAAUUAGCUAUAAAAUUAAGACCAUUAUACAACUAAAAAGAAAGAAAAAUUGUUUGCCACUACAUAUCAAAACUGGUAAUAGCAAUGUAAGAUGGCAGACUUCUUACUUAAACAGAUGAGAGGCUACAAAUAAAAAAUUUGUGCAAAUAAAAUAUAUGAUAAAGAGCAUAAUACUUUCUUGGGGGCUAAAAAUAAUAUACAACUUGUGAAAUAUAAAUUGAGCUACCAUUACCUUUUAGAUGUGGCAACUUUCAACUUUUGAGGCACCUUGGAAUAUGCAUUCAGAAUCCUGCAUUUGGAAGCCAAAUAAAUAAUGUUAAUAACAGUUUUACAAUAGAAAAAUUAAAAAUUGAUAAAUGGCAGUUUUAAUUUAUGUAUGUGUAAAGAUAGCAUCACAUCCAGGGUCCUCCCACAAACAUGCUUGUAACAAGAAUUAGUUUGCCUCAACUGUUAGCAACUGGUAACAAUAUACAAUAGUAAAAAUCACUCCUAUGAACUCAACAAUACUAGGCACCAAUAAGAGUAUGAUAUAGCCAUUCUAAAAUGGAAGAGAAUACAACUGUUUUACAACUAUGUUGCAUCAGGAGAUAUGUUAGGAGGAUUAAUCCAGAUACCUUCCAACCCAAUUAGGAAAACUCGAGUCAAAAACCAGGAGCCGCAACCGAACCUUACAAUCUUGAAGGAAGAAGGAGACUUGGGGCAUUUUUCCAGAUAGGUGACUUACUAGAUCUCCUGCCAAGAGAAUAUCUAUUGCUUUGAACCUCCAUUGAAUUUUCUUUUCCCUUUUUCUUGUUUUGACUUGGAACUUUCCAGCAUCAUCUAUUUGAUCUUUUUUAAAGCUAAAAUAGCAAUCUAUGGGUUGUCAACAUCUUAUCAUAAAUUGACGAUUGCAAGGCAGCCGCAGAUCCAGAGCAAUCUCCCAGCUCUUUGCUCCUUCAUCAUUGCAGUUAGUCAAAAGAUAAGCAGAGAUAUCCCAUGUCAACAAGAAGGUAAUCAUAAAAGAACAACAGAAUUGGAAAACAUAUUUUGUUAUAGAUGAAAUGAUAUGAGCAUCCAUGUAUCUAUCCAGCAUUUAGGACACCGCAAUAUAUUCAUAUGAAACGUAAAACGAUUUAAUAUCAAUUUUCUUCAGGAGACUGACAAUGCGUUUGGGAUUGAGGUUGGGCAGCUGUAGCUUAAAAGCUACAACACUAAAGUGUUUGGUAAACACUAGCUGCUGUAACUUUUAAGCUAUGUUGAUAUGAUUUUUCACUUGUAUAAUAUAAAAUUUAUUAUAUCUUUAAUAAUUUUAUCAAAAUUAUUAUUUAAAAUUUAUAUUUACUAUAUAUUAUUAACUUUUGUUUCAUAAUUACAGCUUUUUUUUCACAGCAGCUGUAGCUUAAAAGCUAUAGCACCUCAAUCCCAAACGCACCCUGAGCAGGUUGUCUCGCAAGUGGCGCAUCAGUAUUGUAACGUCUGCUGGGUCUUACAUUAUCCACAAAAAUAACUCGUCCAUCUAGUAACUGCAAUUACAUAAUGUGAGAUGCGUAAACUCAACAAUAUAAGCAUGGAAAAUUAGAGAAAAAUGAUGCAAUUUUACCCUCCCAUUCAUGUCUUCCAAGGCUUUUUGGGCUUCCUCUUCUGUACUGAAAGCCACAUACCCGUAACCUUUUGAUCUAUUGUUACCUUUAUCCAUUAUUAUUACAGCUGCAAAGAGAAAAGAAUUGGAUAUUAGAAAAUAGUGAAGAGGGAACAGGGGUUGAGACUUAAAACAGAAAUAGACCAAACCCUCAUUGAGUUGGCCAAAUUGUGAAAAGGCAUCAGCUAACAUCUCUUUAGUGGUUGAGAAAGAUACACCUGCAAAGAAUGCCAGUUAAUUUUAUCAUAAUUAGAUAGUAAGAUGGAAAAUUCUGCAGCCAAAGGUAGAAUGCAACUAAGGAAAUCAAAUAUGAACAUGUCUUCAAUCUUAAAAUAUUAAGAGUAGCAUAAGUAACUUGUGAAACAGUUAUAAGUUCAAAUGGUUGAAUUUAUAAAUAUUUGAUACUUUGGACCGAACAGGGCAAACAGAUGGUGAGCAGAAGCAGCCCAGUUUAGCUAUAUGCCAUGUAUGUGAUCAAAAUUGAAUGGUUAAAUGGCAGCCACUGUGUUACAUCUUGUGUAAGUAACAAACCGCCUGCAUGGAUCGUUGGAUUUGGGAAUAUGAAAUCCAAUGGAUAAUAUUGAAUUUAACGAAAAAUAGAUUACAGGUUGCAUUAUUCCAAGUUUAUUUCAAACAAACCAGCUGAUGAAAUAGCCGCUAAUCAAAUUUAAAAGGGAAAAAAAUUCAAAUUAUAGGUUAUAGAUCUUAUUUCCAUCUUAAAUCUAUUUGUCUUUCAUGGUGUCUCAAUGUGUAUACUAAUUUAUAAUUUGGAUCUAUAUUAGAGCUAAUGCUUCUCCAAAUAACUAAGAAAUUUUUAUUUUCAUUGAUUAAAUAUUUAUUUCCAAUAUUUUGUAUAUGUAGGAUUUGAAAAGAGGGAAAAUAGUAGGGAUGAUAAUGAGAGAAGAUAGAGAUGUCGAUUCUCAAAUCUAAUAUUAAUGCUAUACUUAUAUUCCUAUACUAAAUAAAUUAUCCAAGUUUUGUGGUUAACGAUACGUUGCAAAAUUUUAAUUUCUAUUUAAAGCUCUGUCUAAUAUGGCUUUUCAUAAAGCUUAGAGAAAAGUAGAGCUUUUACAAAAAAAAAAAAAUUAAUUAGAAUUGUCAAUGAUAAAUUUUAUUAAAAAAUUUUAAAAAGUACUUUAAUAAAUAAGCUUUUAAAGUUAUAUACAUUAUGAAAGAAAUUAAAUAAGAUUAUAUAAUAAAUUAAGAGUAUCUUAGAUAAUUGAACUUUAAAAAAAAAAAACUCGCUAAGAGGUUUAAAAUUUGAGUUUUUAAUAGUGGAUACAGAAUAGUUUAUUUAAUUCUCAAAAGCUCUACUCAAAAUACAACCAUGUAACACAAAAAUUUUUCAUAAGUUUUUUGGACUAGUUAAGUAUUUUUUUUGAAAAAAAAUAUUUUUUUCAUUGAGUAAAUAAUACUAAACAUGCACUAAAGUGUUAGGACCAGAAAUUGUACAAAUAAAACCAUGAAAUUAUAUGUUGUUGGGUGGAUAUUUUUCAAAUUUGCUGUAGUUUUUUUUUCUUUUCUGCUGGGAAAUUGAAAUGAUGGCUACAACUUAAAUUAUGAAUGGAGUAAUCGGAGAAUAUUGAAACCCGUUUAAUUUGGAUCGGGCAUUGAGGGACGAAAGGAUAAAAAAUUUAAUUUUGAAAUUGCUGUUGGGUACGGUACAAUGACUUACCGUUGACAGCCUGUGCAACCGGAUUACAAUCGGUUAGUUCAAUAAUUUUAUGGAUGUCCCUAAGUUACGUUAAGUGUAUCUUAAGUUUUUUGUCUUUUUCUUCUCGUAAUUUUUUAUACAAGUCUUCUUAUUUAUUACUUUUUAUUUUUAAAGAUGCAUUUGUCUUCUUCUGUCAAUUAUACACCUAUUUUUCAUUCUUUCUAAUAUUUUCUUUAUCUCUUUAAACAAUAAUAUAUGAUUAUCGAAUUCAUAUAAAUCUGUAAAUUCUGAAUAAAUUUCGAGUCCUAAAUUUAUUAUUCCCAUUCUUUCUUGUUCUAAUAACUCUAUUUUUUAGGUUAUUUGAUUUAUAUAACUUGUUAUAAUAUUUUCCCAGCCUAGAUUCAUAUGAUCUAUUGUUUCUGCUAAAUUAUGUAUUAUAUUAAAAGCAUGUUGGUUCAUGGUAAUGCUUCUUUUUUAUACCAGUAUACUAAAAAUUUUAUAAAUUCAUCUAUGAAUUUCAUUUUCUUUUCUAUUAAAAUCUCACCUCCUAGAGUUUCUAUAUUUCUUUCUUGUAAUUCUUGUGUUAUAUUAAGCUCAAUAUUUCGGAUGUUAUUCUUUUCGGAUUUUAUAGACAUUAUUAAAUUUUUUAUUUCUUCUUUGUCAAACACUUUUAAAGUAUAUAAGCUAUCUGUUAUAUCUUUUAUAGGAUCCAUGGCUCUGAUACCAUUUUUAUUACAAAAAACAAAACAAAACAAAAACAAAACCAAAACAAAACAAAACAAAUAAAACAAAAUCUAUAAAACAAAACAAAAUAUACACUAACAAGCAAACAACAAAACCAAAGUUUUGGAUGAAAGAUAAUUGAUAAGAAGAUAUAUUACUAUUAUUAUUCUUCUAAAAAUGUAUAUCUAUCAUAUCUCCCACUGUUAUUAUUCCUUAAAUAUAAUCCUAUAACUUCUUCUCCAUUAAUGAUACUAGGUAUAUUUCCUGGAAAAUUAGGAACAUAAAAAUCAUAAUAAUUAUUAUUGGUUUCUAUAAUAUAUGUAGGAUGCAUAAUUUGAUUUAAGAUUUCUAAAUUAUGGGUUAUGUUUACAGGAUAAAGGAGUAUUUCUACUUUUAAAAUAUAUAAGUUAUUAUUUAUUAUACUAGUGUAAUAUCUUAUGUCCCUAUAAUUAUUCAUGAUAUUAAAAUUCUAAUUCUUCGUUAUCUGAAUUAUUUAUAUAUUCGACGUAAGAAGGUUCUAUUUUUAAGCUUUCAUUUUCUAUUUUAGCUUUAACUAUAUCAAUAGCUUCAUCUACAGUUAAUAGUGUAAUUAAGUGUUUUAGAUUAUCCGUUUCUAAAAUGUUUAAGAUUCUUCUUUUUAUUUCAGGUGGUAAUUCUAGGCUAUAAAUAGCUUGUAUUUCAUUUUUACUAAUAACUUCUUCUUUACUAAAUAUGUAUGAACUUUGUUUAAAAGAUCCAAGAUUAUAAUCUAUUAUCAUCAUGUAAUUAUUAUAUGUAAUCCUAGUUGUAGGAUUUAUCAUUUUUUCUUUAGGAUUUCCACGUCCUAAUCUUACACUCAUAUUUUGAUAAACACUCAUUUUCUUAUUUCUUUAACAAUUUUUGAUUAAUAAUUUGAAUAAAAUUCACUUCUAAGAGAUGCUCAUCCACCAUUAAUCUCCUCAUCUACAAUCAUCACCAAACUUCCACCAACAGAUAAGGUUAGAGAAUUAUUACCUAAGUUAUCCUUUUUUCUUCGUCUUAAGAUCUGUCUCCAGUGACCUGCAGCCUACGCGUCCUUCACUCCCUCAACGGCCUCCUGCCUAAACGGGAUCAAGUGGACUCUGAUGGCCUUUCUGUAUGGAUCUGGAUCUUCUUUCUUAGAAUCAGGGAUAAUUUUAGGUUUCUCUUUCCUUUCUAUGGGGUUGUUUGUUUAUGAUUGAAAGAUGUAUUGAUUUAUGGUUUCGAGCUUAAGAGAAUUUAGCUAUGCAUGUUUCAGAGAGUUUUGAAAAAGUGAAGUAUGGUUUUUCAAUCUGAGUUUUCAAUCUGAGGUAUCCCUCGUUCUUCUUUUCUUUUUAUUUCAAAACUUUCUAUUCGAGAUUACAUUCUUGCCCUUUUGGCUUUUUCUAAUUAUUACAAGUGCUUUACAUUAUUGCUAAGACAAAGCUUUUCUGCUUUUUAUCUUGUCGGCUUCUUUUUAUCUUCUUUUUGUCUGGCAUCUUCUUUAUGCUGUCUGCCACUAUAUGAUCACAUCAGUCUGGCAUCUUCUUUAUGCUGUCUGCCACUAUAUGAUCACAUCUUUUUAUUUUGUCUGAUUGCUUGCUUCCAUAAGCUGAUAAGCAUGCUGCAUAGUUUCACUGCUGCUGGGAAAUCGCAUAGUGCUUAUUUCAUUAAUAAGCUCUAACAAGAUAUUUGAGGAUGUAUGGCUGUCUUCUGCUGUUACUAAGAUAUAAUUUUGAAAUCUGAUGAUGGUUCUGAAAUUCCUUUUGUAGAGGUCUUUUGCUAUGCUCCAGAUUGCUUUUAUGCCUCGAGCUCUUCGGGUUCGGAUCCAAUUUUUUGUAAUCUGAGGAACAUUAGUAUAUUCGGUUCCUAUUUCUAAUUGGAAAUUUUUGGUUAUAUGACCCACUGAAAUCAUAUAAAAUGCUUGGUAUUCUACAUUUUGAUGAUAUUCUGGACUUAUGGUGUAGAAUUUGAGGUAUAUGGGUCUUUUCUGGGCGAAUUUAGAUAUUUCUUUGACUAGUAAUUCAUCUAAACUGGCUAUUUCUCGGAGGUCUAUAUCAGGAUAUAUUAAAUCUAGAUAACCAUAACGGGCUAUUUUUCCUACAAGAAGUGGGUCUGCUCCUUUGGUGGCUAUCAUUCUGGGAUACAUAUUUUUACCUGGUGCUUUAUGGAUAUUAUUAUUGUGGGAACAGAUAGAAUAAAUCCAUGUAGAAAAUUGUUUAUACUCUUCUUCUUUUGGAUUCAAAGGUUCCUUCUCUUCUUCUUUUAUUUGGAGAUUGUUUAUUUGGAUGAACUUUUUUGAAGGACUUGAUUUUUGUGGCUCAACUUCGAUGGAUAUUAUAUUUGGUGGGUUUUUGAUUGGGUCAGAGAUUGGUUUAUUUUCUCUGAAGGGUCCACUACUGCUUCCUUCACCAAUUGGGCUGGUGUUUAUUGGCGCAAUAUUCUUUGGGCCUUGUUUUAUUGAGAGUGCUUUUGUCAGGUCAUUUAUUUGCGACACUAACAAAUGUACUCCUUUUUCAUGGGCUUCUGAAGCCUCUUUCAAAUAAUUUACAGCAUCGAUUAUAUCUGAAGCUUCUGUUGCCAGUCUAUGUAGUUCAUCAUCUAUUUUGGCAAGGAUCAAAUCUAUUUCAGGAUCCAUUCCCAAAUUCUAUGUUCCUGCUUAAAAAAUCUGCAAGAAAGUUGUUAGAUCCUUUUAUAUGUAUAAUUUUAAAAUUAUAAUAUGAUAAAUAAGCUUGCCAUCUAUGUAACCUUCUGUACUGGGGUUCAUUUGGUAAAAUUCUAUUUAUUAAUGAGCUUACCUGGGAAUUGUCAGUUUCUAUAAUAAAAUGUUUUUGUAAUAAGAACAAAGAAAACUUUUUUAUUCCUUUAUAUAUUGCAAGUAGCUCUUUCUCAUGGACAGGAUAAUUGACUUGUGCUUGGUUGAAAGUACCACUGGUGUAUCUACAUAUCUCAUUUAUAUCAGUCUUAAGUAUUGCUCCCCAAUAUAGGUCAGAUGCAUCAGUCUGCAUUAUUAACUUAUCAGUUUUAUCUGGUAAUCUCAAAGAAGGAAGAUCUUUACAUUCAUUUUUUAAGUUUUUUACAGUUUCUGUAUGUUCUAUGCUCCAUCCUCUAGUAUUAUUUUUCCUAAGUAACUUUUGAAGUAUAUUUUUCUUUUUAGCUAGAUUUUCUAUAAAUCCUUCUGCAUAAUUUAAGCAGCCUAAGAAUUUUUGUAUUUGUUGUUUAUUUUCUAAUUUAUCUGGAAAAUCAAUAAUUUUUCUUCCUAUAUGGCUUUGGAGUCUGAUUCCUUGUUUAUCUAUAAUCAUUCCUAAAAAUUCAAUUUUCUUAUGUUCUAUUUUUGCUUUUCUUUCUGAUAAUACUAUCCCUUCUUUAAUACAUAAAUUUACAAAUUCUUUUAAAUGUUUUCUGUGAUCUUCUAAGGUUUCAGAGGCUAAUAAUAUGUCAUCAACAUAUACUAUUAUGUAUUUAUAAUCUCUAAAUAUUUUAUCCAUUCUUUUUUGGAAUAUUUGUGGAGCAUUUUUUAAUCCAAAGGGCAUUACUAACCAUUCAUAAUGUCCUUGUGGAGUACUAAAUGCUGUAUAAGGAAUACUAUUUUCUUCCAUUUUUAUUUGCCAGAAACCUGAUUUACAAUCAAACUUUGAAUAAUAAGUUUUAUUUUUUACUAAAUUAAUUAGAACUUCUUUAUUUGGCAAAAAAUAUCCAUCAAAUUUGGUAUAUUUAUUUAGUUCUUUAUAGUUUAUUACCAUUCUAGCUUUCCCUCUAACUUGUUCUGCUCUUUUUCUAACCAUGAAAGCUGGGCUGUUGUGUGGACUAUUACUAUUGCGUAUUAAAUUUAAUUCUAAUAAUUCUUUUAUCUGGAUUCUAAAUUCUUCUCGGUCUUCUUCUGUGUACAUCAUAGGUUUAAGUCUUAUGAUUCUAUUUUCUGUUAAUUCUAUUUUUGCUCUGGGGUGAUCUGGUUUCCAUAAGGCUAAUGGAUUUUCUUCAUAGACUUGCUUUAGUUGGGAUUUUAUUGUUUCUAAUUUUAUAUUUAUGUUAUAACUCUGUCCUUUUGAAAUUAAAUAAUGUUUUUCAUAAAUUGUCUUAUCACCACGCGAGGCUGGCUGAACUCUAUAAGGGCGAAAUUCUCGAGGAAUUCGUAAAAUAUGAUUGCAUGGGGUUUUAAGAGUAACCAUAUAGGUCGUCUGUUGGUAAUAUUGAAAUUGUUGUAAGAAAUCAUUUCCUAAAAGUAUAUCACAGUCCAUUUGGUCAUAUUGGAAGAUAUGAUUAAUACGAACAAUUUUACUUCCUAAAAUAGUUUCAAAGCUUUCUAAAGAUUGAGUAAUAUGUUGUUUGUCUCCUGUGAUACCUACGAGUUUUAUCUUGCUAUUUGAUUUCCAUUGGUUUGAUAAAAAGGUUUUCAUGAUUGUAAUUUCACUUCCUGUGUCUAUUAAGGCACAAGUGUUUAUAUCUUUUUCUACUAUAUUUAUUUGUAUAUAAACAGACAUAGGAUAUUUUAUAUAUGCUUGUCUUAACAUGUUUCACAAAUUAUCUUUUGUCCUUCUAUUUGUAAGGUAAUUUGGUCUUUUUCUAUUUUAUAAUAUUCUAGACUAUUUAAGAAACUAUUUCCUAAGACUAUAUGUUUUUCUGGAUCUGUAGUCAUAAAAGAAUCUAUGUAGCAAGAUACUAUUAUUCGUAUUCCUUCAAUUAUUAAUGGAACUUUUACUUCUUGUCUACAUAUGUGCUUAUUACCAUUAAAGUCAGUAUAUUCAUAUGGAAUUUCUUUUUCUUUUAUUAAGAGUCCUUUAUUUUUUGUAUGAUUCAUAUAAUUAUGACUUGUUCCUGUAUCUACUAGGAUAGGUAACCUUAUUGUAUAUUCUAUUCCAUUGAAGUAUUGUCCAAGGAUUUUUACUACACUACUAGUAAGAGUAGGUUUUAAGACUUGUUUAUUUAUAUUGAUUAUUUGUCUAUUAGUACUUAAUCUUCUAGAAGAUUCUCCUCUCAAAAGAGUUCUUCCGGCAAAACUGAUAGGGAUUAUAGAAUUCUCAUUAUUAUUAUUUAAAAAUUGUUUUUUAUCAUCUACAUCUAAUUCGUAUGUUAUAGGAAUUUUAUAAUCCUGUAUUAUAGGUUCUAUCAAAGUUGCUAUUUCCUCACAUUCUUUAUUUAUUUCUAUAUAUGGUUUAUUCCCAUAGAUUUCUCCAUAAUUUGAGUUACAAAAACUAUAUAAUGCUGAAUAGUGUAUAGUCAUUAAUCUAUUUCCUUCCUUCAUUAAGUUCUUUUUUAGGAGUUUAAAAUGUAGACUUAAAGUUUCAUCUAUAUUUUUAUCCCUUAUGUGUACACAGUAUCUAGGAUGACAUGUAAAUAGUAAUUUGGUAUAACAUAAGUUUCCUUCUACUGUUCCUAGAUGCCCUAUACUAGGAUCAUGGAAUCUUUGAUCAUGAAUUGAUAAAAUUAUUGGACUAUCUACUCCUUCUUUAAAGAGGGAUUUUAUUAAGAUUUGGAUUUCAGCUAAAUAUACAUAUUGAAUUUUUUCUUUUGUUGAUUCAUUUUUUAUUUUUCUUAAGGCUAGAUCUAUUGUUCUUUUAUUUAUUAAGCUAAAUCGUAUGUUUCCUUCAGCUUGUGUUAUAGUUACAGCUUUUUCUUCUUCAUAGUAUUCAUGUAAAAUUAUCCUUUUUCUUUUAAAUAAAUCUCUUAGUUUUUGUAAGAUACUAUACUCCGGUUUUUCCACAUUUAAUCUUAGAAGUUUAUUGUAUUUUUCUUUAUUAAAAGUGGCUACUAAACUAUACCCACUUUUGUUUUCUUCUCUUUCUAUUUCUUCAAUGUCGUCUAUUUCUUCUUUUUCCAAUAUGUCUUUUUCUUUAUUCUGAUUCAUUUUCCUCUGUAUUUUCCAUAUAUACUAUCAUUCCUUCGUAUUCUGAUAUGUUUUUUAUUUCUUCUAAUUCAUCUCUUAUUUGUUCAAAAUCUUCUUGUAAAAUUCUAACUUUUUUCUUUUUACAAUCUGUACUGAUAUGUCCUAUUUCACCACAAUUCCAGCAUUUACAUUUUGAUUUAUCUACUAACUUUCUUUGGUUUUUAUAUUUUCUUUUAUAGUAUUUUCUUCCAGGUUUCUUGUAUUUCUUUUUAAAUUUGUUGUAUUUUUUAUAUCUUUUUUCUUUUUUAUAUUUUCUUUUUCUAUUAUAAUAUGGGAUAGAACAUCCCCAUUGAGUUGGCAUCUCUGUUUUUUCACAACAUAUUUCUGUUAUGUUUCUACUCUUUUUGAUUAAAUUCCUCUGGAUACAUAUAUCACUAAGUCGAGUAUUUAUAAAUCUUAUUCUAGAUCCUAGGUUAUCUGGGAGUUUAUUUGAAGUACUAAUUUUUUCAUAUUCAUUUAUAAAGUAACUAUUCCAAGGGUAUGGCAACUUGGAGUAAUAUAAGUUUUUAUAAACUUCUUGAUCUUCUAAACUUACAUAUUGUUCAUAAUAAUAUUUACUAAAUUCGCAAGUAUAUUCUUUGAUAAAACACAUAUUGCAUAUUGUUAAAUUUAAUAGAUUUAACCGUGCUCUUUGUUUUUCAUUAUUUGCUUCUCUCUCUGAAUUUUCUAACCAAUCUUCUCCUAAAAAUUCUCUAGCAAUGUAUUCCAGUAUUCUUUCUAUUCCUAGAGCAGUGCUCCUCCUAAAAGCUAUUUUGGUUGAGUCUUUUAUUAACAUUUGUGUAUCAUCACUUAAUCCUCUCCACCAAUUAAAUACAUUCCCUGUAAAACUAGUUAUUAGGAUAUCUGUGAAUAUGUCUAUCUUUUCUUCAUUAGUGGUUACAUUCCAGUCAUCAUUAGCUCCAUUAUAUGUGAAGAAUAGCUUCAUCUGCAUUCCCCAUUCUGCUAAUGUUUUUCGAGGGUUCUCUUUACAGUCUAUAUUUAAAAAUGAUCCACUAUUGCUUAUAGGUACUAAUGUAUCUUGAUUAGGUUUGUAUUCUUUUUUCCAUGGAGUAGAUUUUGUUUUAGGUGUGUAUUCAUAAAAAGGUUUAUUCUUUUUCUUAGGUAUAUUGCUUGGUUCUGCAACAUUUGGUUUCAUUUCUGGUCCUCCUGCUGUAUUCAUUUUUAUAUGGUAUUCUUUUUCAAAUUCUUCUAAAUCACUAAGAUUUAUGUCACUAAAUUUUUCAGUUAAACUUUCUAUUGUGUCUUCCAUUAUUCAGAAUUAGACUCAGUUUGUUCUUUUAUUUCUAAUUUCUCUUUUCCUUUUUCUUUCUUUCUUAUUUCUGCCUUUAGUUCUUCAGCUUCCUCUAAUAUUUUUGGAUAUUGUGUCUCCAUAAACCAGUAGUCAUAACUGCCUUUUUGGGGUUUUUGUGUAGAUUUCUUUAAGUUUGUCCCAAUAAUAUUUGAUUUUAUCAUCUCAAGUCUUUCUAUUUUCUUAUUUUUCUUUUUACAUUUUUGUAACAGUGACAUCUCUAUUUUUAAUUUUCCUAUAUCUUGUCUUAUUUCUUUUAUUUCUUCUUUUAGAUUUAAAAGUAUUUCUUUUAACUCUAUUAUCGUGGUUUCCAUAAACUAUAAGGGGGUCUAUCAAUAUUUUGUUUAUUUGAAUGUAUGUUACGUUGCAUGUAACAUAGGCUUGGCCUAAUUUUAUAUCCCUAUUUAACCGCCACGUGCUGCUGUUACAUGGGUCAAUUAGUCAUGUCAUUACUGUUACUUACAGCUGCUGUAACAUAACCGGACCCUGGUUAAAUUCUGUUGUUUCCAAUAAUUUUAUGCUGUAUCUUUUUUAAUAAUAAAGAAAACUUGCAUUAAAAUUAAAAUUAGGGUAAUACCUGAUUUUAUAAAUAGAUUGCAAUGUAAUUUUGAAAAAUAAAACAAUAAUUUACGAAAUGGUUAUAACAUAAUUUUAAUUUUUUUUAUUGCUUGUAGAUUUUCGUAAAUUCAAGAAUUUGGAACAUCUGGACAUGGGUGAGGUGCAGGUUGAUGUCAACACCAUUUUUCUUCAAAUUGUCGGCGAAUCGAUGCCUUCUCUUAAGUUUUUAUCACUGAUAAACUCUAGUAAAAACACCAUUCUUGAUCAAGGUUAAUUAAUGAUUCUCUUUCUCCCUCUCUCGCAUCUUAACUAAAUUUAAUUGAGAAUACCUAUAAUGCUAGCUAUUUAUAAACUUAAUGAAAGAUGAUAGGGAGCCAUAAUAAUGACAAAAACUACUGUAAAAUAGUGUGCUGUUGUAGUGUUGAUUGAAAAAUAAUGCUAAUUUUUUACUUGACACUAUAACGUCGUAUAAUUUUACAGUUGUUUUGUUGCCAUUACGUCAGAUUCUACCGUUCAAUUAUCAGUACUCAAACUUAAUUUUUAAUAUGUACUUUAAAGAUUUUAUGCAAUUAUUUAUCUAUGUGUACUGAAGGAUGAAUUAUAUAUUUUUCAGGACUUUGUCAGUUAGUGCAUCUGCAAGAGUUAUACAUCGGCGGUUAUGACAUCCCUUCAAGUGUUGUAUGCCUCUUCUAAUCAACUUACUGGAAACAUCUCCCCAGGCCUUUGUGAGUUGGUGCUUAUGAGAGAGUUACACAUUGAUAACAAUGAUUUAAGAGGUAGCUUGCCUUUGUGCUUGGCAAAUUUGACUUCCCUUCGAGUAUUAGAUGUCUCUGACAAUCAACUAACUGAAAAUAUCUCCUCAUCUCCCCUCAUGCAUCUAACAUCUAUCAAAGAGCUCAUACUUUCAAAUAAUCACUUCUUCCAAAUCCCUAUUUCACUUGAACCACUUUUCAAGCUCUCAAAACUCAAGACUUUCGAUGGUGAAAUAUGUGCAGAAACUGAGUCACAUUAUAAUUCUUUGACCCUAAAAUUCCAACUGACUUUUAUCUCACUGUCUGGUUACAUAGAUGGUGGCACAUUUCCCAAAUUCUUGUACCAUCAGCAUGACUUGAAGAAUGCUGAUCUCUCACACCUUAACUUGAGUGGAAAAUUUCCAAAUUGGCUGGUAGAAAACAAUGCGAACUUAGAGAGGCUUCUUCUUGCCAAUAACUCUCUUUUUGGAUCAUUUUGGAUGCCAAUUCAUUCCCACCAGAAAUUGGCAACAUUGGAUGUCUCCAACAAUUUCUUUCGAGGCCAUAUUCCGGUGGAAAUCGGAACAUAUCUUCCAGGCUUAAUGCAUUUAAACUUAUCUAGAAAUGCUUUCAACGGUAGCAUUCCCUCUUCAUUUGCUGAUAUGAAAAUGUUGGAAAGGUUGGACAUAUCCUACAAUCAGUUGACUGGUGAAAUCCCUGAGCGCAUGGCCACGGGUUGCUUCUCAUUGGAAAUUCUUGCAUUGUCAAACAACAGUUUGCAAGGUCAUAUAUUCUCUGAAAAAUUUAACUUGACAAAUUUGAUGACGUUGCAGUUGGAUGGUAAUAAAUUCACUGGAGAGAUCCCAGAAAGCUUAUCUAAGUGCUAUUUGUUAGAAGGAUUAUAUCUGAGUGAUAAUCAUCUCACUGGUGAGAUUCCAAGAUGGUUGGGUAAUUUGUCAGCUUUGGAAGAUAUUAUAAUGCCCAAUAACAAUCUUGAAGGGCCAAUUCCAAUCGAGUUUUGUCAGCUUGAUUCUCUGAAGAUUUUAGACCUUUCAAACAAUAGUAUUUUUGGAACUUUACCAUCUUGUUUUAGUCCAGCAUCUAUCGAGCAACUUCAUUUGUCGAAAAACAAGAUAGAAGGACGACUGGAGAGUAUAAUCCAUGACAGCCCUCAUUUGGUGACAUUAGAUCUUAGUUGUAACAGCUUACACGGAAGUAUUCCAAAUCGGAUUGACAGACUACCUCAGUUAAACUACCUUCUUUUAGCUCAUAAUUAUAUUAAAGGCGAAAUACCAGUUCAAUUAUGCCAGUUGAAGGAAGUGCGGUUGAUUGAUCUUUCUCAUAAUAAUCUAUCUGGUCAUAUUCCUUCUUGCUUGGUUAAAACUGCACUCAGUGGAGGUCAUCAUGAGGCAGUAGCUCCAACUCCUGGUCGGUGUGUUGAAGCGUCUGUCUAUCGACGUACAUGUGUGAUUCCAAGUGGACCUCCGAUGGGAAAGGAAGAAACUGUACAGUUCACAACAAAGAAUAUGUCCUAUUAUUAUCAAGGAAGAAUUUUGACGAGUAUGUCUGGGAUUGAUCUUUCUUGUAACAAACGGACAGGUGAGAUUCCUACUCAAAUUGGAUAUCUUACAAGGAUUCAUGCGCUAAAUCUAUCUCAUAACAAUUUGACGGGCACAAUUCCGACAACAUUUUCAAACCUGAAGCAAAUCGAAAGCUUGGACCUCUCCUACAACCUACUGCAUGGGAAAAUCCCUUCUCAGCUCACUGUGCUAAAUACAUUGGCGGUCUUCAGAGUAGCAUACAAUAACUUAUCAGGCAAAAUUCCAGAUAGAGUUGCACAAUUUUCAACUUUUGAGGAAGAUAGCUAUGAGGGGAAUCCUUUUCUUUGUGGAUGGCCACUGUCCAAAAGUUGCAAUGAUAAUGGAUUAUCAGCAGUGACACCAGAAGCUUACACUGAUAAUGAAGAAGGUGAUAGUUUAAUUGACAUGGACAGUUUCCUGAUUACUUUUACAGUAUCUUAUGGAAUUGUGAUAAUAGGAAUUAUUGGAGUGUUGUACGUAAACCCCUAUUGGCGGCGAAGAUGGUUUUACCUUGGUGAAGUGUGUACGACCUCUUGCUACUAUUUUGUAGCAGACAAUCUUGUUCCUAGAAGAUUCUAUGGUGGAUGGAUGUAAUUUCAUUACAUUACAACUUAUAUGUAAUUUUCAAAGAAUUUUCUUUUGCAUGCAUGGAAUAGCAACUCAAUAAAAGUAUUUGAUGCAAAUUGUCCAAGAACAACUUAGUAAUUUCAUUGCUACUAUUCGGUUGUAUAUAUACAGUUAAUGAAAGUUUUAACCAUUCGCAGUAGGAAUUUCUUUAGAUGGCGGCCAAAACUAACAGAUUUGGGGCUCUACUUCUACACAUCAUAACUGGCAAAAGGUCUCUCUUUUACACGAUCUGAAUGAAGAUUAACUUACGCCCUCUGGAGUGUGUGAAAGUUCUCUAUUAAACUUGACGGUUGAGAUUUCAGGUCCAGAUGAAAGUUAAAUGCAGGCGACGAGACUACACUUUAAGUAAACAGGGACAAACUUAAAAUUAAAAAAAUUAUAGUCCAGGGUGAGAGUAAUGGAGGAUAACUAGGACUUGGAAUAACUAUCAGAUUUGCAACUCUUGUUAUAUGCUAGUAAUCGAUUCAUUUCCUCCUCCAUUUCUGAUGGUAACCCAGCUCUAUACAAGAACAAUAAGAGAAGGUUCAUUUAAGAAAUUUCACAACCCACAUUUUUUUUUUUUUCCUUUUUGCCCUCUUCCUCACAAUAAACACACCUAACACACCAAGCCGUGCCCAAAAUAAUCCAAUUUUAUUCAUGUCAUGGAUCCAAAAACUAUCCCAGCUCACUUUGUUUAACCAGCAUAACUAAAUUGUGGGUAUAAAUGAACACUUUCGAAGCCUGUAACUUAUAAUAAGCUCAAACCCAAAAAUGACAUUUAAAUCCUGCAAGUGUUUUUCAUCAUAAAAAAUACUGAUUUGAGUUGAAACACUAUACAAACUGGGUUUUAUACACUUGCAGAAAGCUACACGGUAGACAAAAUCUAGCAGCUACAUAAUGGUAGCACUUUCAGCUGGUUAUGAAUGGUGUGCAUUCAGCAGUGCUCGAUAGACCAUGUCUAUGAAUUGAUUGUCCUAUUACAUAUAAAAGCUGGUCAGAUAUACAAGGAAAAAAAUAAUAAUUGAAAAUGCAUCACCAAAAAUAAGUGUCUCGCAUUAGUGUUUGCACUCUAAGCAUGGCAAAGUGGUGCGGGUUCAUGAUUUUGAAGACUGGGAUAAGUGAAAAAUAGUUCAAUCCACUGAUGAAUAUAAAUUUAUUUACAUGUCAAUUUAGAUAUCAUAAAAAAGUAAACAGUAAUUCACAGUCACUUAAAAGAGUUGAUAAAAUGUGUGCCAUGAAUGCAUUUUAGUACAUAAGAAAUCCAAAGAGUAUUUCUGACAAUACAAAUAUGCUAGCUUUAAAUCUGCUGUCAAUAUGCAAUUAAGAAGAUUAUACCAGCUGCAUGAUAAAGUUCCCCUAAUCUUAAUAGCAGUAAACAUGAACAUGUCAGAUGCAAUUAUAGCUUCGAGCAUUUGCAUAACCAGAAAUCCUAACCUGAACAAGCACCAGAAGUGUCUCUCGAACUUUCUCCUUGCUGAUAAAUGGUCUGCUGUUUGAAGUAAGAGCAGGAGUAAGAGAUGGUGGAGGGGUUGGUGGUGGAAAAGGUUGAAGCACUGGGCCACCAUAUGGGCGUUGCAGACUCAGGGGAGGAUUAAGUGGCGGAGCUGUUGGUGUAGAUGAAGAGACAAGCUGCAUCAUCCGUGCAUAGGAGGAUGGAGGAGGAACAAAGAAUAAGGAAGGCUUUACAAGAUUAGGCGUCCAGUUGCCAGAUUCAGAGGUGUCAACGGGUGAUAUUAAAGGGGUAGGUGCUGAUAGAGGUGGAGAUGGUAUUUGCAAGGUUGGGAGAAGCAACACUGGCGGGAUGAGAAGGUAAAGAAAUAGUUGUAUUGGACUGGUAAGGUUGUGCAGAGAUUGCUGCAUUAGAAGUAUUCCCCACAGUCAAAGCUGUCUGCAAUGAUAAGGACAGAUGUCAUAUACAAGGACUUCAUAGAAGUUGAACCUCACACAAAAAUGAAGUGAUAACAUAUGAAAAUAGUAUAUGACUUGCUGCAUUUUUGUGGUAAUGUUGCAUACUUAUGUAGAAACAUAUUAUUUCAAAGAAAACAUACACUGAAGAAGUUCACAAAAGCAGGAUCUUCAGGAACAUCAGCAGCAUUUGAGGGAAUUGGCUCUAGAGGACCAUCCAUAACUUCCAUAGUUGGAACAGCUUCCAGUUCCUCAAGUUCUAGAUUUCAGUUUUAUCUUCUAUUUGAUGUUUUAUAAUUUCGUUGCAAAUGGAUUAGAAUAGAAAACUCCAAAAGUUCCAAGUAGCUACCAAUGUUUUCCAACAGGGUCUUGAUGGUCUAAUCAGUUUGUUUCGAAGACCCCCAUCUCGUAAGGUAAAAACAGCUUGAUGGGGUGGCACGAUGGUGCACCAGUCCUGUGUAACUUUUUCAGAGAAGAUUUUCACUCGUAACCUAGGUGGAAGUCUCCCAGGAGAAGUUGGCAAAUGACAACUACGAAGGUGUUAUGGUUUAGCUUGUUGUGCCAAAAAUAGAAAAUCUAGGAUGCGAAAAAAUUUUGUUGAGAUUCAUUUUUCAUCCUGAUGUUACAGCUGGCUUUUUUUUUUUUUUUUUUGGCAGAUAAUAAUGCUUAUGUGAUUUCUGAACUUGGUGAUUCUAGCGGAUAGAGGCACUAAGCCAAGAGAAAUGUCUGAAUUAUCGAAACAAGAUGGAAUUAUUUUUUGUUUUUCGCGGCAGACGAUCUAUGAGCGGACUUUCUUACAACACAAGAUGUGUCCACCGGCUUGUAUUUAGUCUCGUAAUGCAUUAUAGCACUGAUGUUUGCCCCGGGUCAAACCCUGAAACCUCACCAAAAACGACGCAUUUUGUGAAUUUUUUUUGUUUUAAUUUUUAACCAAUACGACGUUGUUUUGCUUCAAGCUUCCCCACGAAUGGCUUUUCCUUCCUCUUCAUUUCACCACUCAACGAAUGGCUUUCUCUUCCUCUUCAUUUCACCACUCAACCUCAACGAUAGAACCGACCCGCAAAACCCUUAAACUGUUAUUCUUUCCUUCAAUCCGAUAGGAUUUGGUUUCGAUUAAGCAAAAGCAAAAGCUUGAACAAGGUAAGGUACUGUCUUCCCAGAAAAUGAAUUGUAUAUCAGUACCAAAUCCUCUAAAGACCCUUUCUCACACAAAUCCUCUGGAAUUUCACCAGAAAAUUGAUUGUACGAGAGGUCUGAUGUUUGUAAAGGAGAGUACUUCCCAAGUUCGCUCGGCAGCCCACCUCUGAGUUUGUUGUUAAACAAUUUGAGUUCAUACAAGUUCUUAGACCGAGCUAUACUCUCUGGCAAAGUACCCUCGAGUCUGUUCUCAUACAAGUUGAGUGACUCGAGCUGUAGCUCACACAACUCGUUCGGAAUCAUCCCAGUCAGCUGAUUCAUCGACGCGACUUUGCCGUAAGGUAACGUACUGUCUUCUUUGGCAGCAGAUUAUUUUCAAAGCUUGAAUUUUGCUUGAAUUUUGUUGUUUUAAUUUGUGAAGCCAUUGCCGUUGCUGUUAAAUUGGGUUAAUAUAAUGGGUACUAAGUUUAUGCUGCGAUGUUUUUUGCUUGAAUCCUGAGCUGUUUCAAUUUGAUUCUUGAGUUGUGAGUUGUGGAUUACGAAUGACAAUUUCAGGUGCGGAUUGUGGAUUGCGAAUGGAAAUUUCAGGCUGUGGCUGGAGCUGGAUCGAAGAAGGAAAGGGGAAAUAUUUGGCUGUGGCUGGAGAUGGUGGCUGGAGCUCGAUCGACGAAGGAAAGGGGAAAUAUUUGGCUGUGGUUGGAGCUCGUGGCUGGAGCUCGAUCGACGAAGGAAAUGAAAGAGAAAAUAUUUGGUUGUGGCUGGAUCUCGAUCAACGAAGGAAAGGCAAGGGAAAAUACUUGGGUGGAGCUCCAUCAACAAAGAAUAAGGGAAAUAUUUGGCAAGCAAAAAUGGGAUUGUUUUUGCCUUUAAUGAAACGCCGCGUUUAAAUUUCGGGGUUUGACUCGGGAUUUGACCCGGGGUAAGUAGCAUUUUCCUUCCAUAUAUAUAUGCACGCGCACACAGUUUGAGAAGAAUCAGACCAUUAAUUAGAGAAAAAUGAUGCAAUUUUACCUUCCCAUUCAUGUAUGCCAAGGCUUUUUGGGCUUCCUCUUCUGUACUGAAAGUCACAUACCCGUAACCUUUUGAUCUAUUCUUACCUUUAUCCAUUAUUAUUGUAGCUGCAAAAAGAAAAGAACCGGAUAUUACAAAAUAGUGAAAGGGAAGAGGGGUUGAGACUUAAAACAGAAAUAGACCAAACCCUCAGUGACUUGGCCAAAUUGUGAAAAAGCAUCAGCUAACAUCUCUUUAGUGGUCGAGAAAGAUACGCCUGCAAAGAAUGCCAGUUAAUUUUAUCAUAAUUAGAUGGUAAGAUUGCAAAUUCUGCAGCCAAAGGUGGUACGGAACUGAAUGAAGGAAAUCAAAUAUGAAUAUGUUUUCAAUCUUAAAAUAUUAAGAGUAGCAUAAGUAACUUGUGAAACAGUUAUAAGUUCAAGGGAAUUAGAUGAUGGCAUGGUUGAAUUUUAUAAAUAUUUGAUAUUUUGGACCGAACAGGGCAAACAGAUGGAUCCAGAUAAUCAAGAAAAACAUCAAUUCCAUGCAGCCAAAUUAGUGUGGGCAAUGCAAUUGAGCAACACUAUAAAAUUAUUCAAAGAAAUCUCUAGGUCAGUAUCCAAAUAUAUGGCUCCGUCCGUUCCACCACCACAACCAAAAAAAUCAGAUCCCCCCAUUUGGAUUCGAUUGAUUAAUUUGAGCAUAAAAAAUCGGGUUUUAAACUUCCCUAAGCAAAAUUUAUAUUCCACAGAAUCAGUUCCUUUAACAUGAUGCAUUACAUAAUAUUUUGUUUGCAAAAUAAAGAAGAAAGAUGACAUAAUAGAAACACUCACAGAGAGAGAAUACCUUUGACGAAAAGCUUAGAAGUGAAUCCUCUGUAAAAUACGAGUUGAGCUGCUGAAUUUUUCGAGUUUGAAUGAGAGACUGCGGCAAUUCUGAAAAUGUUUUUUUCUCAUUAGCGCCGCCAUUUUUGUAAUAGAGGGUAAAGAAAUAAGUAACAAAGUAAGAGGUGAGCAGAAGCGGCCCAAUUUAGUUAUAUGCCAUGCAUGCGAUCAAAAUUGAAUGGUUAAAUGGCAGCCACUAUGUUACAUCUUGUGUAAGUAACAAACCGCCUACAUGGAUCGUUGGAUUUGGGAAUAUGAAAUCCAAUGGAUAAUAUUGAAUUUAACGAAAAAUAGAUUACAGGUUGCAUUAGUCCAAGUUUAUUUCAAACAAACCAGCUGAUGAAAUAGCCGCUAAUCGAAUUUAAAAGGGAAAAAAAAUCAAAUUAUAGGUUAUAGAUCUUAUUUCCAUCUUAAAUCUAUGUCUUUCAUGGUGACUCAAUGUGUAUACUAAUUUAUAAUUUGGAUCUAUAUUAGAGGCUUAGAGCCAAUGCUUCCCUAAAUAACUAAGAAAAUUUUCUUUUCAUUGAUUAAAUAUUUAUUUCCAAUAUCUUGUAUAUGUAGGAUUUGAAAAGAGGGAAAAUAGUAGGGAUGAUGAUGAGAGAAGAUAAAGAUGUCGAUUCUCAAAUCUAAUAUUAAUGCUAUACUUAUAUUCCUAUAGUAAAUAAAUUAUCCAAGGUUCGUGGUUAAUGAUACGUUGCGAAAUUUUAACUGUCUAAUAUGGCUUUUCAUAAAGCUUAGAGAAAAGUAGGGCUUUUACAAAAAAAAAAAUUUAAUUAGAAUUGUCAAUGAUAAAUUUUAAAAAGUACUUUAAUAAAUAAGCUUUUAAAAUUAUAUAUAUUAUGAAAGAAAUGAAAUAAGAUUAUAUAAUAAAUUAAGAGUAUCUUAGAUAAUUGAACUUUAAAAAUAAAACUUGCUAAGAGGUUUAAAAUUUGAGUUUUUAAUAGUGGAUACAAAAUAGUUUAUUUAAUUCUCAAAAGUACUAUUCAAAAUACAACCAUGUAACACAAAAAUUUUUAAUAAGUUUUUUGGACUAGUUAAGUACUUUUUUUGAAAAAAAAUAUAUUUUUUUCAUUGAGUAAAUAAUACUAAACAUGCACUAAAGUGUUAGGACCAGAAGUUGUACAAAUAAAACCAUGAAAUUAUAUGUUGUUGGAUGGAUAUUUUUCAAAUUUGCUGUAGUUUUUUUUUUCUUUUCUUCUGGGAAAUUGAAAUGAUGGCUACAACUUAAAUUAUGAAUGGAGUGAUCGGAGAAUAUUGAAACCCAUUUAAUUUGGAUCGUGCAUUGAGGGACGAAAGGAUAAAAAAUUUAAUUUUGAAAUUGUUGUUGAGUACGGUACAAUGACUUACCGUUGACAGCUUUUGCAACCGGAUUACAAUCGGUUAGUUCAAUAAUUUUAUAUCCCUAUUUAACCGCCACGUGCUGCUGUUACAUGGGUCAAUUAGUCAUGUCAUUACUAUUACUUACAGCUGCUGUAACAUAACCGGACCCAAAUGGUUAAAUUCUGUUGUUUCCAAUAAUUUUAUGCUGUAUCUUCUUUAAUAAUAAAGAAAACUUGCAUUCAAAUUAAAAUUAGGGUAAUGCCUGAUUUUAUAAAUAGAUUGCAAUGUAAUUUUGAAAAAUAAAACAAUAAUUUACGAAAUGCUUAUAACAUAAUUUUAAUUUUUUUCAAAAAGGAAAAACAACAAAAGUAAAAAAUGGAGAAUGAGGGCUACAAACUUUGUAUCUUAAACGGCCAUUAGAUUAUUUGUAAAUGAAAGCAACGGUCAGGAUUAUGGAAACAUGUAAGUAUAAGGACUACGAGUUUUUUUUUGUUACAUUAAUAUAUUACAAUUAAAAUUCUAUUGGUAUUUACAAUCAGAAUUUUAUCUGAAUAUCUUUGAUAAUUCUAAACUAGUACAGCCCAAAUUCUUAUUCUCAUAUAAUAUCAAAGAGAGAUAUAUAUUCUUCCCCUCUAUUAAUAAAGAGACAUUUUUACUUCCUUUUAAUAGUUAGGACUCAGAACUCAUACACGCUAGUUUGAGAGUGUGGGGUGUGACAAUGAGCCAAGAGACCUUGACAAGUACAAAAAAGUGGUAGAAAUUAAUUCAAACCGCUACACACGCUAUUGCAACCAAAUUGAGGGCCCAUUUUUGUUUAUUUGGUUGAAAAAUAGUUUGCAUAAUUAAUUCAAACCGCCACACACGCUAUUGCAACCAAAUUGAGGGCCAGUUUUUGUUUAUUUCGUUGAAAAGUAGUUUGCACAAUUAAUUCAAACCGCUACACACGCUAUUGCAUCUUUUGAAAAAGAAAAACGGAAUAGUUUUCCAAAAUUAAUUCCGAGAAGAAGAUUAACUAAUAAUGAUGUUAGAAAUUUUAAUAUUUGAGUCUUAAUAUUAUGUAUCACUCAUUUAUUAAAUAAUAGAUUUCAUAAUUUGUAAAAUUACUUAACCACUUGAUAAAUGUUAUAUUUGUUGGGACUAAAUUGGGACUUAAAUGUUGGAAUAUCUAGUAUUGCAUUAAAAAAUUAAUAAAAACUUAACAAUUUAUCUUCACUUGACUAAUUGUUUUUACAUCACAACUAACCUUAAUUAUUUUGAAGUUACAGUAUUAUUAAAUUGUCCUAACUGGUUAUCAAAAGUUGAAAGCAUGUUAAAAUAAAAAAAAUUACCAAGAAACAUGUGCUUAAACAGAGGUUGAGGCUAUGAACAAUUAAGAAGAAACUCUUAAUUUGGUCCCAAUUAGUAUAGUAAUCAUCUAUUGAGCGGUAAAAUAUUAAUUUUAAUAGUGAUGAAAUCCAAUAUAUAAUAGAUUACUAACACACAUAAAUUAAAACUAAACUGUCAGAAAUCAUAACAUUACUCUACUCUUCAGUGGAGUUCUCUUAAACAGAUUAUGUGAGAUUGCCUACAUAAAAAAUAUGUUAAGACUGCUUGUUGAAAGCAAUAUUCGCUUUUCCAUUAUAUCCAUAACUUUGAAUUGAUAAAGUUGUAUUCAACAGCUCUUGAAAAGACUAAUUUAUUUAAACUAGUCACAGAAAUAAGAGAGAAAGGGGGCUAUUUCUUGACUCAAAGUCAAUUAUAAUUAUCAAAACUUGAGCGGACAUCGCAUGCCUAACUUCCACGCACCCUAAAACGGUUUGAUUUGCUUUCACGCGUUCAUGAAUUUCCAUGAAAGAGCCUGCCUUUCGUCUCUUUCGGGACAGUGACUACAAUUAUGGAAAAAAUUAUAAUUCUCGUUAGAUUGUAACCAAAUUAUUAUCCCUAAUUUUUUUAAGUUAAAUAAAAUAAAAUUUAUGCUUAAGUAUAAACAAUAAUUUGGACAUUCUUGUUAUUUGUCCUUCUAAGAUAGACAGCAACCUAAUUAUUUAUUUGUUUGCCUGUUUUUGUUUUUUUAAAUAACAGUUUAUUAGCAUAAAUAUUUACCUGUGAAGUCGAGGAGGAGAAAAUGUUAGAAAAAAUAAAAAGAAAAAAAAUUAAGGGAGAUAGAAUCAGAUUUUCUUUUUUGAGCAAAGAACAUACGUAAAAAGAUAUUAAAUCUAUUAAGUCUAAUUGUCUAUAACCGUAAAUUGCAUAACGAAUAAAUUAUCAGCGUAAAAUAAAUUUUAUUAGAUUCUGGUUAUUUUCUAGAGUACGAAUUGUCUCAUCGUAGAACAAACACCGGAAAAUAUAACCUUUGCGGAGGUCUUUUGCUGUGUCGUUAUAAAAAGGUUAUUAGUAAUUUAAUGCACCAAUAUUGUAUAUUCCACCUUAUCAAUGUCUCUGGUUGCGAAAGAUUGUUAAAAGCAACGUGUUCUUUCUUUGUCUUAUGUAAUUUUUUCGUUGUCCAUGAGUUUUAAUUGAAAUACUUGGCUUCCAGUUAUUUUGUAAACCUGUCGAAAACUACCACAGUGGAUAAAGAUUAACCAGCUCAUUCUUUACAAUUGACUAUCGAUUUUUUAUUUUUUUAUUUUUAUUUAAAAUUGCUGGUUUGUUGCUUAAAAUUUUCAAUAAUAAUUUCACUUAUUUAGUAAUUAGAGAGAGAUAGAGAGGAUUGGCGGCCAAUGUUUCGCGAUUUGGGGUCAAUUCAAAGUCAACUAACGUGUAAAACACGUGUAUGCAUAGAAAACGCUUAGAUUAUUUGUGUUCCAAGUGCAAGAAAUUAAGAAAAGAAAAAUUGAUUUCCUUUCAUGAACUUCCAAGAAAGAAAGAAGACCCUUUACCUUCUUCGUGACAACAAAUGAAUGAAUGAUGUUGAUAUGACAAAUACAAGCGCUAUUGCAGGGAACAGCAUAAGACCGAGACUUGAUAAAGGGUUUGUUAAAUUACAUGUUAUUUUCUUUUGACUUGAAUGAUGUUGAAAUAAAAUAAAAUUGUAAUCAGGAUGAUGUGUAGAAUAGUGAAAUAAAUAAAAAGAGAAGAGAAAUUCUUUGACCAAUAUUCAAGAACUCAUCCAAGGUGAUCGUCCAAGUCUAGAGGUUCGGUGUGAUUAGCAUUUAUUUUUAAUUUUUUGGCUAACAUCAUAUAUAGUCACUUGUCGUGUGAUGUAGGGCAAGUUUAGAAAUCCUUUUAUUUUAACUUCCGUAUUCUUAUUAUUUAAUUAGUUAUAGGGUUUUUAAGUAUUUGAGUAUUGAUCACAUGUCUGCUAAUCUAAAAAUAUUUUUUUACGAUCGAGUACAAAUAACAAACUAGAAUUUUAACAGCCUUUUAUACUAAACCCUAAAAAUACAUGAAUUUAUCAAAAUAAGUAAAUUAAUUUAAAUUGGUAUGGCAUAAUAGAAGUUUUACCUGCCGAAACAAAUUAAAAAAAUAUUACACUUAAAUCAAAUAUUGACAAAAAUAGAUAACAAUCUAAUGAGAAUCUUAACUAGACAUUUUUACUUCUAUCCAAUUUAACUGGAACGAGAAUUAAGUCCUUUCAAUAGUUAAGACUCAUAACUCAUACAUGCUAGUUUGAGAGUGUGGGGUGUGACAAUGGGUCAAAAGACCAUUGACAAGUACAAAAGAGUGAUUGCAAUUAAUUCAAACCGCUACACACGCUAUAUUGAGGGCCCAUUUUUGUUUAUUUCGUUGAAAAGUAGUUUUCACAAUUAAUUCAAACCGCUACACACGCUAUUGCGUCUUUUAAAAAAGAAAAAUGGAGUAGUUUUCCAAAAUUAAUUCAGAGAAGAAGAUUUACUAAUAAUGAUGUUAGAAAUCUUAAUAUUUGAAUCUUAAUAUUAUGUAUCACUCAUUUAUUAAAUAAUAGAUUUCAUAGUUUGUAAAUUUACUUAACCACUUGAUAAAUGUUAUAUUUGUUGGGACUAAAUUGGGACUUCAAUGUUGGAAUAUCUAGUAUUGCAUAAAAAAUAAAAAAAACUUAAAAAUUUAUCUUCGCAUGACUAAUUGUUUUUACAUCACAACUAACCUUAGUUAUUUUUUAAAGUUAUAGUAUUAUUAAAUUGCCCUAACUGGUUAUCAAAAGAUGAAAGCAUGUUAAAAUAAGAAAUUACUAAGAAACAUGUGCUUAAACAGAGGUUAAGGCUACGAACAAUUAAGAAGAAACAACUUACAAUCAAAGGUUAAGAUUAUGAACAAAUUAAGGAAGGUAGAUAAAGGGACGGAAUCAUUGUCUGAAUUGCCGGUGACAAGAAUGCUUGUGUUGUGAAAAGAAACCUGAUGGUUUGUAAAUGGGUUGAAUUUUUUAUUCGCUCGCUCCAACUAACUUACUAAUGCCAAAUUUAUUACUUUGCACAAUAGUGUUUAGGAUCCUCAAGAUCAACUCUUAAUUUGGUCCCAAUUAGUGUAGAAAUCAUCUAUUGAGCAAUAGAAUAAGAAUUUUUCUAGUCAUGAAAUUUAAUAUAUAAUAUAUCCUUGACACACAUCGAUUAGAACUUAACUGUUAGAAUUCAUAACAUUACUCUACUCUCAAGGGGAGUUCUCUUAACAUAUUAUGUUAAGUUGCCUACAUUCAAAAUAUGUUAGACUGCUCUUUGAAAGCAAUAUUCCCUUUUCCAUAACUUUGAAUUGGUCCAAUAGCUCUUGAAAAGCACAUAAUAAUCAUUAUAAAUUUAAUCAAAGACUAAGCAGGUCUUCUUUGAAUUUGAUCACUGGCAUUUCAGUUAAGUUUGUCGUUUACUUAAAUUUUUCUUGCUUUCAAUUUCCACUGUUGUUUUUUUUCUAAAAUAAUUUAUUUAAACUAGUCAUAGAAAUAAGAGAGAAAGGGCGCCAUUUCUUGACUCAAAGUCAAUUAUAAUUAUCAAAACUUGAGCGGACAUUGCAUGCCUAAAUUCCACGCACCCUAAAACGGUUUGAUUUGCUUUCACGCGUUCAUGAUUUUCCAUGAAAGAGAGUGCCUCUCGUCUCUUUCCGGACAGUGACUGCAAUUAUGUUAACGUGACGAAUACAAAACGUUAUUACAUACAAGAAUAAGUUUUUGGACCCGAGACUUGAGGGAGGUUCUAUCUAAUUCUAAAGAUUGUAACCAAAUCAUUAUCCCCAAAUUUUUUCAGUUAAAUAAAAUAAAAUUUAUGCUUAAGUAUAAAUAAUUUUUUAAAGUUAAAUAUAAAAUAAAAAAAUUCAUGAACUUCCUAGAAAGAAAGAAGACCCUUCACCUUCUUCGUGACAACAAAUGAUGUUGAUAUGACAAAUACAUGCGCUAUUACAGGUAACAGCAUAAGACCAAGACUUGAUAAAUAUUAAAUAUAUAAAAUAAGUGGAGCAAACGAAUAGAAUAAUAGAUUUUUAUAAUAUUCUUCAUAAAAAUCCAAGUUUUGAGCUGGCCCAUAAGCUUAUCUAGUGAAGUCUGGGUAUCCGCGUUGCCCAAGGUUCCGUUUGAAUCCAGGCUGUGCAGAUGUUUAUGACAUCCCAUAUGGACGGAGAGGAAAUAUUUUCAGUUGACUUAAUUAAAUAAAAAAAAAGAAAUGAAGAAAAACGAAUACAAGACUUGAAAAAGCUGGGAGUAUCAUCAGUUCAAUUGGUUAUAAAUAGCAUAGAGCCAUCCUCUCGUUGUUGCAGAACUGAAGCAAAGAGAGACAGAAAGAGUGUGUGUAGGUGAUUAUAAUUAAGAAGAUAUAAUGUGUGGUUCAAAAAGAGUGUGGUUGAGUGAGUUAAUUUUCAUAUUAUUUGUAGUAAAAGGGUGGUGGAGUGAGGGAUGUUUGCAGCAAGAGAAGUCUGCUCUCCUCCAACUUAGACAUUUCUUCAAUGAUGAUCACCGUCUUCGAAAAGGGGCAGACGCAGGAGAUGAUGAGAAUUAUUCAGAUUGUUGUCAGUGGGAAGGGGUUGAGUGCAACAACACCACUGGCAGAGUGAUUAAAUUAGAUCUAGCAUUUCGAAAAUGGGAAUCAGCAGAGUGGUAUAUGAAUGCCUCUCUGUUUACUCCUUUUCAACAAUUAGAGUCUCUUGAUCUAAUUGGGAACAAUAUAGUCGGUUGUGUUGAAAAUGAAGGUCCUUAAUUUACUUUAUUUUAAUUCUUCCUGUAAAUUUCUUACAUUUAUCUGAUCCCUUUUGGCUUUUGUUUAAUUUGUACGUGAUACAAUAAAAUUAUUUUUUAUUUUUUGGCAGGUCUAGAUAGGUUAUCAAGGUUGAACAACUUGAAGUUUCUUUUUUUAGAUGAUAACGACUUCAACAACAGCAUCUUUUCAUCUCUAGGUGGUCUUUCAUCACUCAGAGACUUAUCAUUGGCUGGUAAUGGAUUGAAUGGAAGUAUUGAUAUUAAAGGUAAGCAAGCUUCAUCCCUUCUCCCGUGUCCCAUUUUUCAGAUUAGCCAUAUUCUUUUCACUGAGAUUUAACAUAAAAAAAAAAGGAGAAAAUAAGUUAUUUAAUUAACUCUAUUUUAAGUGUUGGCAUAAAUACAGGACUCGAUUCCUUGAGUAACUUGGAGAUACUGGACAUGAGCAACAAUGCAAUCGACAAUCUAGUGGUUCCUAAAGGUAUACAAAAUGUUCAAAUAUUAAUAAUUUGGAGGACAAUUUAAUUGAUUUGAUAAGGGAAUGUCCAAUGACACUUACCCAAAAUAAUUUAAUCCGAAAUUGUAUCUCAAAUAGAUUACAGAGGUUUUGAGGAAGUUGAAUACCCUUGAUUUGGGGGGGGGGGGGGGGAGGGAAAUUGCAGUGAUAUAUGGAAGCAAGGUGUUGCAAUCAAUAAAGAAAUUCAUUGGUCAAUGUUCAAGGACUCAUCCAAAGUAAUCGUUAAAGUCUAGAGGUCUGCUCUCCACCAACUCAAACAUUUCUUCAAUGAUGAUCAACGUCUUCAAAACUAGGUAGACGCGGGAGAUGAUGAGAAUAAUUUAGAUGUUGUCAGUGGGAAGGGGUUGAGUGCAACAACACCACUGGCAGAGUGAUUAAAUUAGAUCUAGCAUUUCGAAAAUGGGAAUCAACAGAGUGGUAUAUGAAUGCCUCUCUGUUUACUCCCUUUCAACAAUUAGAGUCUCUUGAUCUAAGUUGGAACAACAUAGCCGGUUGUGUUCAAAAUGAAGGUCCUUAAUUUACUCUAUUUUAGUUCUUCCUCGUAAUUUCUUACAUUUAUCUGAUCCCUUUUGGCUUUUGUUUAAUUUGUACGUAAUACAAUAAAAAUUUUUUUUAGUUUUUAUUUUUUAUUUUUUAUUUUUUGGCAGGUCUAGAGAGGCUAUCAAGGUUGAACAACUUGAAGUUUCUUUAUUUAGACAAUAACCACUUCAACAACAGCAUCUUUUCAUCUCUAGGUGGUCUUUCAUCACUCAUACACUUAUCAUUGGUUGGUAAUCGAUUGAAUGGAAGUAUUGAUAUUAAAGGUAAGCAAGCUUCAUCCCUUCUCCCGUGUCCCAUCUUUGUGGAUUUUAUUUCAUCGACCAGCUGGAAGAAUUGAUACGAGAUCUAGCUAGACUCUUGCUAGUUUAAGCUUCAAGGCUUUGAAUAUUAUAAAAAUAGGUUUAAGGAAUUAUCAUUAUAUGCAAUUUUCUAUGCUUCUCAUAAUCAGACACAAUUCAAUCUAAUUAUUUCGUAUGUCCUGUCUUCAAAAGUAAAGAAUUGUACACUAAACGGAAAUCGACAUUGUAGCUUUUUAAUUUUUCUAAUGCUCUUUCUUUGUUAACGAGUUUAUAUCCUGAGAGUGGAUUGGAUUCAAAAAAAAAAAAGUUUUGAUGUUCAAGGUAAGCCAUAAUAACAUGCAUCUUAUUUAUCUGCCUAUAUCUAAAUUUGUGCACUGAAUUUAGUAUUUUGGUUAGUGUGAAGGGAUCAGAUAUUGACUUCCAUAAACCAACUUGUAUUUACUUAAUUAAUUAAGUAAAUUUUUUGAAACAAGAAUAAGGUAUAGCAGGUUGGAUAUGUAUUUAUUUAGUUUAAAUAACUUUUCCAUCCAUCCAAAACCUUUAAGCAUGUAGUUGAAGAGGGGUGGCAAUUCAAGUUGGAUAUGUAUUUAUUUAGUUUAAUUGGAUCUGAUAUUAUAUAUUCUAAACCUUUUGAAUAUGGAUAUGGAUGUUUUUAAAAUAGUCAAUUGGAUACUGGAUGAAUAUGGAUAUUAGAUAUUUAAUUCAUUUAUGUUAAAAAAUAAAGUAAGAAGUUAUAUAUAUUUACCAUGAUAUCCAUUUAUUGAAUGCCUUUUUUUUUUAUAUUUUCAAAUUAGCAAACCAUAGUUUAUCUCUUUUAGUUUCACACACUAGCCGUUCGUUCCUCGUUGGCCACUGAUAUCGUCGACCGUCGCUUGUUUGAUAUAUAUUAGUUAUUCAUGAUUUUGCUCUCUUCUUUUGUGAUACAGUUGCUUCUUCUUCUUUUAAUUUAGGAUAUCUGUGUCUCUAUAUUUCUCUAUAUGUAUCAAUUACACGCCGUUGUCAGCCAAAUAUACCUACUUAAAACCACUCAAUCAGGCCCUUGACAACUGUUUUUUACGUUUUCCUGGUUAGCCGUAUACUUUUUUGCUUAUUAAUAAAAUUAUUUUGCACCGAGAUUUAAAAUAAAAAAACGGAGAAAAUAAGUUAUUUAAUUAACCCUGCUUUAAGUGUUGGCAUAAAUGCAGGACUGAAUUCCUUGAGUAACUUGGAGGAGCUGGACAUGAGCGCCAAUGCAAUCGACAAUCUAGUGGUCCUAAAGGUAUACAAAAUGUUCAAAUAUUAAUAAUUUGGAGGAUAGUUUAAUUGAUUUGAUUAGGGAAUGCCCAAUGACACUUACCCAAAAUAAUUUAAUCCGAAAUUGUAUCCCAAACAGAUUUCAGAGGUUUGAGGAAGUUGAAUACCCUUCUUUUACGGGGAAGCAGAAUUCGAAUGAUAGAUGGAAGCAAGGUGUUGCAAUCAAUAGGAUCACUACCAUCCCUCAAAACGCUUUACCUUUUCUUUAUUAAUUUUAAGGGAACAGUAGUUAAUCAGGGUGAGUAAAUUUUUUUAUGUCGAAAAUAAUUGAAUUAAUAUAUAUAGCUAAAAUUUAUUGUUUCUACUUCUUUCUAAAUAGAAUUGCACAAUUUCACCAACUUGGAAGAAUUGAUAUUGGUCGAGUGUGAUCUCCAUGUAAGCCAGCUUCUGCGAAGCAUCGCAUCAUUCACUUCGUUAAAGUAUUUGUCAAUGCAAGAUAGUGUACUCAAGGGUGCCCUGCAUGGUCAAGGUAAAUUACGGGUAUCUGAAGCUUUUAUGAUAUUAAUUCGAUAAUAAUUCUUUCUUUUCAAGUUAAUUUUCUCCCGUAAAAUAAUAUUUUUUUCUUUUAAAUUUUAUACAUUUUCACUGUCCAAUAGUUCUACCUUCUCUAAAUUGUAGGAUUCUUGAUUAAGGUUAAUGAAAUUUUAGUUCUGUUAUGUUAAGAAUAUUUCGAUCGCUUAGAAGAGUAAAGAAAAAUAAGUAAAUUAACCCAAAAAAAGAAAAGAACAGGACCGGAUUAUCCUUAUUCCCUUGCAUUAUGUGAUCAAUAUCAAAAUUAUAACCAUUUCUUGUUUAUUGCUUGUAGAUUUUCGUAAAUUCAACAAUUUGGAACAUCUGUACAUGGGUGAGGUGCAGGUUGACGUCAACACCAGUUUUCUUCAAAUUGUCGGCGAAUCGAUGCCUUCCCUUAAGUUUUUAUCACUGAAUGAUUCAAGUCUUAAUAAAAACACCAUUCUUGAUCAAGGUUAAUUAAUGAUUCUCUUUCUCCCUCUCGCGCAUCUUAACUAAAUUUAAUUGAGAAUAUCUAUAAUGCUAGCUAUUUAUAAACUUAAUGAAAGUUGAUGAGGAGCCAUUAUAAUGACUAAAACAACUGUAAAAUAGUGCGCUGUUGUAGUGUUGAUUGAACUAUUGGACUGUAAAACAACUGUAACAACACUAUAACGCUGCAUAAUUUUACAGUUAUUUUGUUGCCAUUACGUCAGAUUCCACUGUUAAACUAUCAGUACUCAAACUUAAUUUUUAAUAUGUACUUUAAAGAUUUUAUGCAAUUAUUUAAGUUUUAUGCAAUUAUAUUUUUCAGGACUUUGUCGGUUAGUGCAUCUGCAAGAGUUAUACAUCGGCCAUAACGAUUUGAGAGGUAGCUUGCCAUGGUGCUUGGCAAACAUGACAUCCCUUCAAGUGUUAGAUGCCUCAUCUAAUAAACUUACUGGAGACAUCUCCCCAGGCCUUUGUGAGUUGGUGCUUCUGAGAGAGUUAUACAUACAUAACAAUGAUUUAAGAGGUAGCUUGCCAUGGUGCUUGGCAAACAUGACAUCCCUUCAAGUGUUAAAUGCCUCUUCUAAUCAACUUACUAGAAACAUCUCCCUAGGCCUUUGUGAGUUGGUGCUUCUGAGAGAGUUAUCCAUUGAUAACAAUGAUUUAAGAGGUAUCUUGCCUCUGUGCUUGGCAAAUUUGACUUCCCUUCGAGUAUUAGAUGUCUCUUACAAUCAACUUACUGAAAACAUCUCCCCAGGCCUUUGUGAGUUGGUGCUUCUGAGAGAGUUAUCCAUUCAUAACAAUGAUUUAAGAGGUAGCUUGCCUUUGUGCUUGGCAAAUUUGACUUCCCUUCAAGUAUUAGAUGUCUCUUACAAUCAACUUACUGAAAAUAUCUCAUCUUCCCUCAUGCAUCUAAUAUCUAUGGAAAAGCUCAUACUUUCAAAUAAUCACUUCUUCCAAAUUCCUAUUUCACUCGAACCACUUUUCAAUCUCUCAAAACUCAAGACUUUUGAUGGUGAAAUAUGCGCAGAAACUGAGUCACAUUAUAAUUCUUUGACCCCAAAAUUCCAACUGACUUCUAUCUCACUGUCUGGUUACAUAGAUGGUGGCACAUUUCCCAAAUUCUUGUACCAUCAGCAUGACUUGAAGAAUGCUAAUCUCUCACACCUUAACUUGAGUGGAGAAUUUCCAAAUUGGUUGGUAGAAAACAAUACAAACUUAGAGACGCUUCUUCUUGCCAAUAACUCUCUUUUUGGAUCAUUUCGGAUGCCAAUUCAUUCCCACCAGAAAUUAGCAACAUUGCAUGUCUCCAACAAUUUCUUUCAAGGCCAUAUCCCAGUAGAAAUCGGAACAUAUCUGCCAGGCUUAAUGGAAUUAAACUUAUCUACAAAUGCUUUCAACGGUAGCAUUCCCUCUUCAUUUGCUGAUAUGAAAAUGUUGCAAAGCUUGGACAUAUCCCACAAUCAGUUGACGGGUGAAAUCCCUGAGCUCAUGGCCACGGGUUGCUUCUCAUUAGAAAUUCUUGCAUUGUCAAACAAUAGUUUGCAAGGCCAUAUAUUCUCUAAAAAAUUUAGCUUGACAAAUUUGAUGACGUUGCAGUUGGAUGGUAAUAAUUUCAGUGGAGAGAUCCCAGAAAGCUUAUCUAAGUGCCGUUGGUUAGGAGGAUUAUAUCUGAGUGAUAAUCAUCUCUCUGGUAAGAUUCCAAGAUGGUUGGGUAAUUUGUCAGCUUUAGAAGAUAUUAUAAUGCCUAAUAACAAUCUUGAAGGACCAAUUCCAAUCGAGUUUUGUCAGCUUGAUUCUCUGAAGAUUUUAGACCUUUCAAACAAUAGUAUUUUCGGAACCUUACCAUCUUGUUUUAGUCCAGCAUAUAUCGAACAAGUUCAUUUGUCAAAAAACAAGAUAGAAGGACGGUUGGAAAGUAUAAUCCAUUACAGCCCUUUUUUGGUGACAUUAGAUCUUAGUUAUAACCGCUUACACGGAAGUAUUCCAAAUCGGAUUAACAGACUACGUCAGUUAAACUACCUUCUUUUAGGUCAUAAUUAUAUUAAAGGCGAAAUACCAGUUCAAUUAUGCCAGUUGAAGGAAGUUCGGUUGAUUGAUCUUUCUCAUAAUAAUCUAUCUGGGCAUGUUCCUCCUUGCUUUGUUAACACUUCACUCAGUGAAGGUCAUCAUGAGGCAGUAGUCCCUGAACAUUUAGAUCUGCAAUCAAAUGAAUCUUCGAUGGGAAAGGAAGAAACUGUACAGUUCACAACAAAGAAAAUUUCCUACUAUUAUCAAGGAAGCAUUUUGAGGAGUAUGUGUGGGAUUGAUCUUUCUUGUAACAAACUGACAGGUGAGAUUCCUACUCAAAUUGGAUAUCUUACAAGGAUUCGUGCGCUAAAUCUAUCUCAUAACAAUUUGACGGGCACAAUCCCGACAACAUUUUCAAACCUGAAGCAAAUCGAAAGCUUGGACCUCUCCUACAACCUACUGCAUGGGAAAAUCCCUUCUCAGCUCACUGUGCUAACUACAUUGGCGGUCUUCAGAGUAGCAUACAAUAACUUAUCAGGAAAAACCCCAGAUAGAGUUGCACAAUUUUCAACAUUUGAGGAAGAUAGUUAUGAGGGGAAUCCUUUUCUUUGUGGAUGGCCACUGUCUAAAAGUUGCAAUGAUAGUGGAUUAUCAGCAGUGACACCAGAAGCUUACACUGAUAAUGAAGAAGGUGAUAGUUUAAUUGACAUGGACAGUUUCUUGAUCACUUUUACAGCAUCUUAUGGAAUUGUGAUAUUAGGAAUUAUUGGAGUUUUGUACAUAAACCCCUAUUGGCGACAAAGAUGGUUUUACCUUGUUGAAGUAUGUAUGAUCUCUUGCUACUAUUUUGUAGUAGAUAAUCUUAUUCCUAGAAGAUUCUGUCGUGGAUGGAUGUAAUUUCAUUUACUUUACAACUUAUAUGUAAUUUUUAAAGAAUUUUCUUUUGCUUGCAUGGAAUAGCAACUCAAUAAAAGUAUUUGAUGCAAAUUGUCCAAGAACAACUUAGUAAUUUCAUUGCUACUAUUCGGUUAUAUAUGUACAGUUAAUGAAAUUUUUAACCAUUCGCAGUAGGAAUUUCUUUAGAUGGCGGCCAAAACUAACAGAUUUGGGGCUCUACUUCUACACAUCAUAACAGGCAAAAGGUCUCUCUUUUACACGAUCUGAAUGAAGAUUAGCUUACGCCCUCUGGAGUGUGUGCAAGUUCUCUAUUAAACUUGACGGUUGAGAUUUCAGGUCCAGAUGAAAGUAAAAUGCAGGCGACGAGACUUCACUUUAAGUAAACUGGUACAAACUUAAAUUAAAAAAAAUUAUAGUCCAGUGUGAGAGUAAUGGGUAGCUCAACCUAUGGAGGAUAACUAGGACUUGGAAUAACUAUCAGAUUUGCAACUCUUGUUAUACGCUAGUGGGGAUUAUCACUUUCAGCAGCUACAUAAUGGUAUCACUUUCAGCUCGUCAUGAAUGGUGUGCAUUCAGCAGUGCUCGAUAGACCAUGUCUAUGAAUUGAUUGUCCUAUUACAUAUAAAAGCUGGUCAGAUAUACAAGGAAAAAAAUAAUAAUUGAAAAUGCAUCACAAAAAAUAAGUGUCUCGCAUUAGUGUUUGCACUCUAAGCAUGGCAAAGUGGUGUGGGGUUCAUGAUUUUGAAGACUGAUAAGUGAAAAAUAGUUCAAUCCACUGAUGACCAUAAAUUUAUUUACAUGUCAAUUUAGAUAUCAUCAAAAAGUAAACAGUAAUUCACAGUCACGUAAAAUAGUUGAUAAAAUGCGUGCCAUGAAUGCAUUUUUGUACAUAAGAAAUCCAAAGAGUAUUUCUGACAAUACAAAUAUGCUAGCUUUAAGUCUGCUGUCAAUAUGCAAUUAAGAAGAUUAUACCAGCUGCAUGAUAAAGUUCCCCUAAUCUUAAUAACAGUAAACAUGAACAUGUCAGAUGCAAUUAUAGCUUCGAGCAUUUGCAUAACCAGAAAUCCUAACCUGAACAAGCACCAGAAGUGUCUCUCGAACUUUCUCCUUGCUGAUAAAUGGUCUGCUGUUUGAAGAGCAGGAGUAAGAGAUGGUGGAGGGGUUGGUGGUGGAAAAGGUUGAAGCACUGGAGCACCAUAUGGGCGUUGCAGACUCAGGGGAGGAUUAAGUGGCGGAGCUGUUGGUGUAGAUGAAGAGACAAGCUGCAUCAUCCGUGCAUAGGACGAUGGAGGAGGAACAAAGAAUAAGGAAGGCUUUACAAGAUUAGGCGUCCAGUUGCCAGAUUCAGAGGUGUCAACGGGUGGUAUUAAAGGGGUAGGUGCUGAUAGAGGUGGAGAUGGUAUUUGCAAGGUCGGCACGAUAGGCGAAGCAACACUGGCGGGAUGAGAAGGUAAAGAAAUAGUUGUAUUGGACUGGUAAGGUUGUGCAGAGAUUGCUGCAUUAGAAGUAUUCCCCACAGUCAAAGCUGUCUGCAAUGAUAAGGACAGAUGUCAUAUACAAGGACUUCAUAGAAGUUGAACCUCACACAAAAAUGAAGUGAUAACAUAUGAAAAUAGUAUAUGACUUGCUGCAUUUUUGUGGUAAUGUUGCAUACUCAUGUAGAAACAUAUUAUUUCAAAGAAAACAUACACUGAAGAAGUUCACAAAAGCAGGAUCUUCAGGAACAUCAGCAGCAUUUGAGGGAGUUGACUCUAGAGGACCAUCCAUAACUGCCAUAGUUGGAACAGCUUCCAGUUCCUCAAACUCACUGCAGUUUAACAUAAAAGGAACUUGAUGACCAAUUUAAGUAAUAAUUAGAUGAUAUAAGAGGUUAGGGAAAAUGAUGAGUGGACCCUUAUGGAAGGUGAUUUCACCUUAGCUAAACACGAAAAUAAAAAGAAAUCAAAGCUGAAUCCUCGAGUGCAAUGCAAAGAAUUUUUUCUCUCUCUUCUCUAACUCCUCUUAUUCGAAAUUGCUCAUCAUUGUGCUGUUCUUCGAGAUAUCGCUAGAGUAGAGAAAGCUAUUCUACCGUUAAGUGCAGAGGAAAGAGAAGGGCAAGGGCCUGGUAUGAUGCUAUUCUAUAGGAAGUGAGAAGGUGAAGGGUUAAAAUAUUUUGCAAUUUGGAGGUGGUGUUUGUUAGUGUGUGUACUUCUGAAUUUAUUACCUCUUUAGGAUCCAUAGAAAUUGCCUCUUGUUCAGCAUGCACUGUGCCUACGAGUAAGGCGAGCUUGCAUGAUAUCUAUUGUCUAUUUACUUGGAUAUUCAAACAGGACUACCAGCAACCAAACACAAAUCCCCAAACAAAACACUCUUUCAAGUGCAAGGAAAGAGUAACUUGGGCAUAUUUAUGGUUCAAGCACUACCAUAACUAAGAAUGUGAUGCUGUCCACAAACACUAUAUCAGUGCCUUUUGAACUACAUCACAUGCUCGAAGACUUUUUUUUUAGUCAUACAUAAAUUAGCUAUAAAAUAAAGACCAUUAUACAACUAAAAAGAAAGAAAAAUUGUUUGCUACUACGUAUCAAAACUGGUAAUAGCAAUGUAAGAUGGCAGACUUCUUACUUAAACAGAUGAGAGGCUACAAAUAAAAAAUUUGUGCAAAUAAAAUAUAUGAUAAAGAGCGUAAUACUAUAUUGGGGGCUAAAAAUAAUAUACAACUUGUGAAAUAUAAAUUGAGCUACCAUUACCUUUUCGAUGUGGCAACUUUCGACUUUUGAGGCACCUUGGAAUAUGCAUUCAGAAUCCUGCAUUUGGAAGCCAAAUAAAUAAUGUUAAUAACAAUUUUACAAUAGAAAAAUUAAAAAUUGAUAAAUGGCAGUUGUAAUUUAUGUGUGUAAAGAUAGCAUCGCAUCCAGGUUCCUCCCAUAAACAUGCUUGUAACAAGAAUUAGUUUGCCUCAACUGCUAGCAACUAUACAAUAGUAAAAAUCACUCUUAUGAACUCAACAAUACUAGGCACCAAUAAGAGUAUGACACAGCCAUUCUAAAUGGAAGAGAAUACAACUGUUUUACAACUAUGUUGCAUCAGGAGAUAUGUUAGGAGGAUUAAUCCAGAUACCUUCCAACCCAAUUAGGAAAACUCGAGUCAGAAACCAGGAGCUGCAACCAAACCUUACAAUCUUGAAGGAAGAAGGAGACUUGGGGCAUUUUUCCAGAUAGGUGACUUACAAGAUCUCCUGCCAAGAAAAUAUCUAUUGCUUUGAACCUCCAUUGAAAUUUCUUUUCCCUUUUUCUUGUUUUGACUUGGAACUUUCCAGCAUCAUCUAUUUGAUCUUUUUUAAAGCUAAAAUAGCAAUCUAUGGGUUGUCAACAUCUUAUCCCCCCCCCCCCCCCCCGGGGGGCCACCAAAAAACAAAACCAAUGAGUUGUCAAUAAAUAGCGCCUACUCAACUUAUGUUCUCCAAUGAUGACAAUGUGCAAAUCGACCUAGCAGCCACAUUUUUCCCCCCUUUCAACCACCUUUAGGCAACUUUUCUAACCUUUCUUCAUUGCCCACGUCUACAGAACUAUCAUAUAAAGACUACAUUAUUAUUGGGAUAGAGAAAAAAAUACGGACUAUAUUAUUAUUAUUAUAUCUCAUUUUAUUAAUGAACUAGUGCAAGACUUAUUUAGUGUCAAAUCAAGAACUAAUUAGAAAAGACAACUCAUGAUAAUACAGACCUUAAAAAGCAAUAGCUAGCAACACCCCAUAUACUCCUAUUUUAGCCUUCAAUAUCCUGGUAAAAACACAAUUAAGUCUUGCCAAAGAACAUUCACAAGUAAAUUCAACAUUAAUUAAGAUUAAGUAUCUACUGCACCUUCAAUCAAUGACUGGGUGAAUAGCAUGGUCAACCAUCCAGUUCCUGUAGCCCUCCUUGUACCUAUGUUAGUUACAUUUUACAUAUUAAGCCACGAAAAUGAAGGAUCACAGCCUGGUAAAGAAAGCCAUUAAUUAAUAGUUUUUGUUUAAAAAGUUCUCGUUUAGAUCUUUCCUAUUCAAUGAAUCAAUGUAAUCCAUGGAGAACUCUUCCAUUUCAAGCAGUGUUAGAAGAUAAUUGGAAAGCCUAAAGAUAAUAUACAAGGACCAAGAUAUCAAUUAGGUCAAAUAGUGAAUGUCAAAUAUAAAAAAUAAAUAAAAGAAGUUGUACAUGAUCAUUUACUAUCAAGUUCUGUAAAACUGAAAAUACCAUUAUCCCUGUAUAGAUUCUCAAACAACUCUUUAGCAAAUUAUAAAAUAGUUAAAAAAAGAACGAAAGUUUUAAAAAAAAAAAUGUACAACAGCCAUAUCAGGAGAUGUUUUUCUUCUCAAUCUCAAUAUUUUCUUGCCGUAAAAAAUUGAAAAGCUUAACACCAAGUGAAUUAUUAAGAAUUCAUCAUUUAAAUUCCCAAAUCGCAAAAUGUUGGUGCAACUAGGAAAGUGCAAAUGCAAUCACUUUACUAACACAAGAAACAUCAAUAGUGAGAAGCCAACUUUGUAUCAAAUUUGAAACAGAUAGAUAGAGGUCAAAAAAAUUAUAAAGACACUCAAUUAAAAGCCUUUCAAACAGCUUUUGCAUGCAACAAGAACAAAUCAAAGGCGAUGUGAAUGUAUUGAAAGACUAAUUUACAAUCAUCUACAGGACAUAAAUAUCUUGGAUAACUACUCUCUACACCUUACUGUCCCACUGAAAAUCAUCAAAUCCCUCCAAACAAAAAUGACAAAAUGGAUAAGAAUUGUGUGGUCAAACUUCAAUAACUUAGCAGCCACAGCAAAAACUUAUGUAGACACGCAAGCCACUCAAAAUAGUCAUAUUGUUUGCUUUCUAAACACAAGCCACAUUGUAAUGAAUAUUCAUAAAUUGCUACUACCAUGUUUGUUAAAACACGUGAAAACCACCAUAACUAACUAAAUGUAACUGAUGAUCAUCAUCACAUUCAUGGAAUCACAUAUCCGACAGUAUUAAUUAGUGCAAAUGGCAUGCUUCUUAAAACUCCUUAUUUAUCACAUGGGCGCCAUUCCAAUCAACCAAUGAUUCUGAUCUAGUCAGCAUAUUCAACCCACGAGCGAGUAAUACCUCCAUUGCUUCUUUAGAUUUCUCAACGAAAUUCCACAUUCUAACCAUACUUCUGAACUUGUUGCUCCCAUAGACUAAUACAAUAUAAAGAUUUCUUCCCACACCACCUCAGCCCCCACUCCUAAAAAACCAAUUUAAAUUCUCAUUGACUGUACAACCUAUAGUCCAUACCAAAUUGAAAAAUUUACAAAUAUAGAACCUCAAAGAAUCUUCUUGCGUUCCAUUUUUUACGGCAAGAAAAUUGACUUUUACCACAUGCAAGUCAACAAAUAAAACAAUCAUGUCUUUGUGAGAUGCACAUUUUCAGACGAAUCUGAAGAGCAAUGAAACCAUAAAAACCUAAUGUGAGAACACCGAGGACUCCAGAUAUCAUCCAUAGAAUCUUUGGUCCACCCUUGCAUGAUGAAAAAAAAUUGAAGGCUUCGUCACCAACUCCCCAGGUUGUUUUGUUCUCCUAUCUCCUAAAUGUAAAGGAAAGACAACCCGUUCUUUUUCCAAUCUUAAGGGACACAGAACGACUCUAGUAUAAAAUAGUCAGUUUCUAUACAAAAAUAACUCCUUUGCACUUGGCACUGCACAUCUCAAAAUAAAAAGCAUGCAAGGAGGAGAAUAUAAUAGCAGUAAACAAGUUUUAUUAACCAAACUUCAAAGAUGCCACACAAGGCAAAAAAGAAAUCUGUACAAGCCAGAUCCCAAGAAUAAUAAUUCCAAUAUACAAUUCAGGAAAACAAUAACUAAAAACAGGUUCAUGAGGCCUCAGCAGAAGCAACAUGUAAUAACCAUACUCUAUUAUUUGAAACACAUUUCCAAGUUUGGUUAAGAUUCUAAACUAUUCUCUAUCUGUCAAUUAUUAACAUGUAAAACAUAAUAAUAUACACUUAAACUACUACAGUAGUAAAACCAGUAAAACAACAAUACCUGCUAAAAAGAUUGGCUACCUCUUCACAUUCACGAGCAUUGUAGAACCAAAUCCCAUUUACUUCUUGGGAUGCAUUUCGAUAUAACAAAUACGGAAUCUGAACUUCAAACUCAAAAUCUCCCAAAAGAUUUUCCACUAAAUUAUCUGCACAUAUACAAGAUAUUGAAGCUUAUCAGUGCAAAAACAUAUACAAAAAGACAUGAAGGUUAGGAGACAUAACUAAAACUUAGCAACAACUGAUAAGCACAACAAGAAAUGAAAUAUAACACGAGUUGUAAACAAGAUAGACACACGGUAUCUAAAAAAUUGUACCAACUCCCUCUCCUGGUUGUCAUAAAACGGCCAAUAUUUAACCCUAGACAACAAAAUUGCAAAUACUCUAGCCUCUGUAAUAUUGGCAUAUAAAUAUUUUCGGUUAGGUACAUUAUAUUCUUCGUUCUAAAACCUCAAUUAUUAGCUAGUACUGUGAUAAAAUGAUUCAUCACUGAAAUUAAAACUUCACGUACAAAUAAUCAAAACUGAAAUAGAAGCAACGAUAAACCAACCUGUAUUACGUCGAUUAAUCACAACAAACUGAAAUCGAGGCUGUGUGUUCCUGAAAAUUGAAAAAAUAAUAAUUUCACCAACUUCAUAUGUAAUACAAUCUCCAAAACAACGAAUAUCAAAUGAAAAAAAGGGAAAGCAUAAGAGAGAAAAGAAUCUAAUUUUAUUGACCUUUUGACGACGAAGAGAGAGCCUUCAACAUCGUUACGACUCCAUAUGCUGAGAUCGAUGUUGAACUCGUAGAAGGUGACAUGAGCGGCCGUGAUGAGGAUCUCCUCAAUGAAUGGAUCGAUUCGCUGAAGAACUGUCAGGUUUAGGAGUUUUGUGCUCUGCUGGUCCAGAUUAGGCAUCAAUUUUCCGUUCUGCGACAUUUUUCAUAGUCCUUUUGGGCUUCUGCCCCGAUCACUAGCCCUCAGGUUUUUCUGUGAGCUCUCGCUCUUUUGUAAAUAAAGUGUUUGAUGAGAUAGCCGAAAGAGAGUGAAAGAGUUGAACAGCCAAACAAGGUGAGGUGAACAGUUUCGGACUGAGACUCGAGAUUGAUCUUUGCUUUAACGUCUUUCAAACAUUUGGGAAAUAGCAUUUAUUUCUUUCAAUUUCUCUACUUUUUUUUUCCUUUAUGUUAUUUAGACCCCAAAAUUAGAUUUAUUAUAAUCAUAUUUUACCCAUACACUAUUAAUCCCUUUUAUUUUUUAAAUUGUCAAUAUUAAUGUAUUAGAAUAAUGUUAGAAAUCCCAAUUAUUAUCGCAAUGUUUCAAUCAUAACUAAUGUGAUAACUCAUCGGUAACUACAACAUUAACUUAAUUAUUAAUGUUUAUCAUGAAAUGAUGAGAUUAUUAUUCAAGAAAAACUUAGUAAACAUCAAUGACUAAUAUAAUAUGACAAUUACAACUGAAUAUUAGUACAAUAAUUAGGAUCCCUAAAGUUAGUGAAUGUAUUAUAAUAUAUGUGUGUUACACCACUUUAUGUCUCUCAAAUUCAAUUAAGUAAUUUCAGAAACCUGAUCUUUUAUUACAUUAAUUAGGAAUGCAUACAUGAACGAAAGAUGUGCAAUUUUUGUUCUAUUUUUCACUAUUAUUUACCAUUCAUCUACUUACAUCACUUGAUUUUUUGUGAUUAAUAUGCUUAAAUGGAUCUCUUAGAUAUAAAUAAAAUAAACGAAAAGUCUAAGAGAAAAAAAAAUGAGGACCGAAAUUAUUACACCUACAACAAAUUUGCCCAGAGAGCAAUAAAUCAAACUUGCUUAGGAAGUACAAUGAUUAGUUAAUAACUAAAAGAGCCUUCACCUGACAUGUUAAAGCUUCUGUCAAGCAAAACACCCAUUGAAAGCUGUUUAGGUCCGUCUUAGAUCAUCGGAAAUUUGACAAAAUCAUAAAAACCCUCAUCUUAUGAUAAUCUUUUCCAGAUAGGUGACUUACUAGAUCUCCUGCCAAGAGAAUAUCUAUGGUUUUGAACCUCCAUUGAAAUUUCUUUUUCCCUUUUUCUUGUUUUGACUUGGAACAAUUUAUUUGAUCUUUUUUAAAGGUAAAAUAACAAUUUAUAGGUUGCCAACAUCGUAUUCUGCCAAAUCCCACCCCAAAACAAAAAAAAAAAAUCAAUGGGUUGACAACAAAUAGCGCCUACUCAACUUAUGUUCUCCAACGGACGACAAUAUGCAAAUCGACCUAGUAGCCACAUUUUUCCCCCUUUCAACCACCGUUAGGCACCUUUUCUAACCUUCCUUCAUUGCCCACACCUGCAGAACUAUAAUAAAAAGACUACAUUAUUAUUGAGGUAGAGAAAAUAUACAGACUGUAUUAUUAUUACAUCCCAUUUUACUAAUUAACUAGUGCAAGACUUCUUUAGUGUCAAAUCAAGAACUGAUUAGAAAAGACAACUCAUGAUAAUACAGACCUUAAUAAGCAAUAGCUAACAACAUCCCAUAUACUCCUAUUUUAGCCUUCACUAUCCUGGUAAAAACACAAUUAAGUCUUGCAAAAGAACAUUCAUAAGUAAAUUCAACAUUAAUUAAGAUUAGGUAUCUACUGCACCUAAUAGCAUGGUCAACCAUCUAGUUCCUGUAGCCUUCCAUGUACCUAUGUUAGUUACAUUUUACAUAUUAAGCCACGAAAACGAAGAAUCACAGCCUGGUAAAGAAAGCCAUUAAUUAAUAGUUUUUGUUUAAAAAGUUCUCCCUUAGAUCUUUCCUACUCAAUGAAUCAAUGUAAUCUAAAGAGAACUCUUCCAUUUCAAACAGUGUUAGAAGAUAUUUGCAAAGCCUAAAGAUAACAUACAAGGACCAAGAUAUACACGGAUGGUUUCUUUAUGAGACUAAAGAGCUUUUUUAGAUGUUAAAACUGUUUCAAACUGUUUUUCUGGUUUGGUUUAACUAAGGAAGAGCUUGUGGAAGAUUAAAAAUGAUGUUUCCUGUUCUCUGUAGGAAGCUUUUAGGAGAUUUUUUGGGCUUUUUUGAAAGGUUGAAUUGUCAAAAAUACCUUGAUGUUAUUGUUUGCUAAAAGAUGUUAUGGACAACUAAACAACCAACAACAUUUUGCACAAUUUUCAACUUUCAAGGAAGAUAGCUAUGAGGGGAAUCCUUUUCUUUGUGGAUGGCCACUGUCCAAAAGUUGCGAUGAUAAUGGAUUAACAACAGUGACAACAGAAGCUGACACUGAAAAUGAAGAAGUUGAUAGUUUAAUUGACAUGGACAGUUUCCUGAUCACUUUUACAGUAUCUUAUGGAAUUGUGAUAUUCGGAAUUAUUGGAGUUUUGUACGUAAACCCCUAUUGGCGGCGAAGUUGGUUUUACCUUGUUGAAGUAUGUAUGACCUCUUGCUACUAUUUUGCAGCAGACAAUCUUGUUCCUAGAAAAUUCUAUGGUGGAUGGAUGUAAUUUCAUUACAUUACAACUUAUAUGUAAUUUUCAAAGAAUUUUCUUUUGCAUGCAUGGAAUAGCAACUCAAUAAAAGUAUUUGAUGCAAAUUGUCCAAGAACAACUUAGUAAUUUCAUUGCUACUAUUCGGUUGUAUGUAUACAGUUAAUGAAAUUUUUAACCAUUCGCAGAAUACCCUUAGGAAUUUCUUUAGAUGGCGGCCAAAAACUAAGAGAUUCGGGGCUCUACACAGUCUGAAUGAAGAUUAACUUAAUGCCCUCAGGAUUAUGUGUAAGUUCUCUUUUAAAUUUAAGGGGUUGAGAUUUCAGGUCCGGAUGAAAGUUGAAUGCAGGUCACGAGACUUCACUGGGACAAACUUAAAAUAAAAAAUUAUAGUCCACAGUAAGAGCAAUGGGUAGCUUAACUUAUGGAAGAUAACUAGAACUUGGAAUAACUUAAAUUAGCUAUAAAAUUAAGACCAUUAUACAACUAAAAAGAAAGAAAAAUUGUUUGCUACUACAUAUCAAAACUGGUAAUAGCAAUGUAAGAUGGCAGACUUCUUACUUAAACAGAUGAGAGGCUACAAAUAAAAAAAUUGUGCAAAUAAAAGAUAUGAUAAAGAGCAUAAUACUUUCUUGGGGGCUAAAAAUAAUAUACAACUUGUGAAAUAUAAAUUGAGCUACCAUUACCUUUUAGAUGUGGCAACUUUCGACUUUUGAGGCACUUUGGAAUAUGCAUUCAGAAUCCUGCAUUUGGAAGCCAAAUAAAUAAUGUUAAUAACAAUUUUACAAUAGAAAAAUUAAAAAUUGAUAAAUGGCAGUUGUAAUUUAUGUAUGUGUAAAGAUAGCAUCACAUCCAGGGUCCUCCCAUAAACAUGCUUGUAACAAGAAUUAGUUUGCCUCAACUGCUAGCAACUGCUAACAAUAUACAAUAGUAAAAAUCACUCUUAUGAACUCAACAAUACUAGGCACCAAUAAGAGUAUGAUACAGCCAUUCUAAAUGGAAGAGAAUAUAACUGUUUUACAACUAUGUUGCAUCAGGAGAUAUGUUAGGAGGAUUAAUCCAGAUACCUUCCAACCCAAUUAGGAAAACUCAAGUCAGAAACCAGGAGCUGCAACCGAACCUUACAAUCUUGAAGGAAGAAGGAGACUUGGGGCAUUUUUCCAGAUAGGUGACUUACUAGAUCUCCUGCCAAGAGAAUAUCUAUUGCUUUGAACCUCCAUUGAAUUUUCUUUUCCCUUUUUCUUGUUUUGACUUGGAACUUUCCAGCAUCAUCUAUUUGAGCUUUUUUAAAGCUAAAAAAGCAAUCUAUGGGUUGUCAACAUCUUAUCACCCCCCCCCCCCGCGGGCCCCCCAAAAAAAAAUCAAUGAGUUGUCAAUAAAUAGCGCCUACUCAAAUGUUUUCCAAUGGAUGACAAUGUGCAAAUCGACCUAGCAGCCACAUUUUUCCCCCCUUUCAACCACCAUUAGGCAACUUUUCUAACCUUUCUUCAUUGCCCACAUCUAGAGAACUAUCAUAUAAAGACUACAUUAUUAUUGGGAUAGAGAAAAAUAUACAGACUAUAUUAUUAUAACUCAUUUUAUUAAUUAACUAGUGCAAGACUUAUUUAGUGUCAAAUCAAGAACUAAUUAGAAAAGACAACUCCUGAUAAUACAGACCUUAAAAAGCAAUAGCUAGCAACACCCCAUAUACUCCUAUUUUAGCCUUCAAUAUCCUGGUAAAAACACAAUUAAGUCUUGCAAAAGAACAUUCACAAGUAAAUUCAACAUUAAUUAAGAUUAAGUAUCUACUGCACCUUCAAUCAAUGACUGGGUGAAUAGCAUGGUCAACCAUCUAGUUCGUGUAGCCCUCCUUGUACCUAUGUUAGUUACAUUUUACAUAUUAAGCCAUGAAAAUGAAGGAUCACAGCCUGGUAAAGAAAGCCAUUAAUUAAUAGUGUUUGUUUAAAAAGUUCUCGUUUAGAUCUUUCCUAUUCAAUGAAUCAAUGUAAUCUAAGGAGAACUCUUCCAUUUCAAGCGGUGUUAGAAGAUAAUUGGAAAGCCUAAAGAUAAUAUACAAGGACCAAGAUAUCGAUUAGGUCAAAUAGUGAAUGUCAAAUAUAAAAAAUAAAUAAAAGAAGUUGUACAUGAUCAUUUACUAUCAAGUUAUGUAAAAUUGAAAAUACCAUUAUUCCUGUAGAGAUUCUCAAACAACUCUUUGGCAAAUUAUAAAAUAGUUAAAAAAAGAACGAAAGUUUAAAAAAAAAAAGAAAAUGUACAACAUCCAUAUCAGGAGAUGUUUUUCUUCUCAAUCUCAAUAUUUUCUAGCCGUGAAGCAAUUGAAAAGCUUAACACUAAGUGAAUUAUUAAGAAUUCAUCAUUUAAAUUCCCAAAUCGCAAAAUGUUGGUGCAACUAGGAAAGUGCAAAUGCAAUCACUUAACUAACACAAGAAACACCAAUAGUGAGAGCCCACUUUGUAUCAAAUUUGAAACAGAUAGAGGUCAAAAAAAUUAUAGACACUCAAUUAAAAGCCUUUCAAACAGCUUUUGCAUGCAAUAAGAACAAAUCAAAGGCGAUGUGAAUGUAUUCAAAGACUAAUUUACAAUCAUCUACAGGACAUAAAUAUCUUGGAUACCUACUCUCUAUACCUUCCUGUCCAACUGAAAAUCACCAAAUCCCUCCAAACAAAAAUGACAAAAUGGAUAAGAAUUGUGUGGUCAAACUUCAAUAACUUAGCAGCCACAGCAAAAACUUAUGUAGACAUGCAAGCCACUCAAAAUAGUCAUAUUUUUUGCUUUCCAAACACAAGCCACUGUGUAAUGAAUGCUCAUAAAUUGCUACUACCAUGUUUGUUAAAACACGUGAAAACCACCAUAACUAACUCAAUGUAACUGAUGAUCAUCAUCACAUUCAUGGAAUCACAUAUCUGACAGUAUUAAUUAGUGCAAAUUGCAUGCUUCUUGAAACUCCUUGUUUAUCACAUGGGCGCCAUUCCAAUCAACCAAUGAUUCUGAUCUAGUCGGCAUAUUCAACCCACGAGCGAGUAAUACCUCUUAUUGCUUCUUUACAUUUCUCAACGAAAUUCCACAUUCAAACCAUACUUCUGAACUUGUUGCUCCCAUAGACUAAUACAAUAUAAAUAUUUCUUCCCACACCACCUCAAUCCCCACUCCUGAAAAACCAAUUUAAAUUCUCAUUGGCUGUACAACCUAUAGUCCAUACCAAAUUGAAAAAUUUACAAAUAUAGAACCUCAAAGAAUCUUCUUGCGUUCCAUUUUUUACGGCAAGAAAUUUGACUUUUACCACAUGCAAGUCAACAAAUAAAAAAAUCAUGUCUUUGUGAGAUGCACAUUUUCAGACGAAUUUGAAGAGCAAUGAAACUGUAAAAACCGAAUAUGAGAACACCGAGGACUGCAGAUAUCACCUAUAGAAUCUUCGGUCCACACUUGCAUGAUGAAAAUGAUGAAAAAAAAUUGAAGGCUUCGUCACCAGCUCCCCAGGUUGUUUUGUUCUCCUAUCUCCUAAACAUAAAGGAAAUGCAACCUGUUCUUUUUUCCAAUCUUAAGGGGCACAGAACGACCCUGGUAUAAAAUAGUCAGUUUCUAUACAAAAAUAACUCCUUUGCACUUGGCAUUCCACAUCUCAAAAUAAAAAGCAUGCAAGGAGGAGAACAUAAUAGCAUUAAACAAGUUUUAUUAACCAAACUUCAAAGAUGCCACACAAGGCAAAAAAGGAAUCUGUACAAGCCAGAUCCCAAGAAUAAUAAUUCCAAUAUACAAUUCACAAAAACAAUAACUAAAACCAUGUUCAUGAGGCCUCAGCAGAAGCAACAUGUAAUAACCAUACUCUAUUAUUUGAAACACAUUUCCAAGUUUGGUUAAGAUUCUAAACCAUUCUCUAUGUGUCAAUUAUUAACAUGUAAAACAUAAUAAUAUACACUUAAACUACUACAGUAGUAAAACCAGUAAAACAACAAUACCUGCUAAAAAGAUUUGCUACCUCUUCACAUUCACGAGCAUUGCAGAACCAAAUCCCAUUUACUUCUUGGGAUGCAUUCCGAUAUAAAAAAUACGGAACCUGAACUUCAAACUCAAAAUCUCCCAAAAGAUUUUCCACUAAAUUAUCUGCACAUAUCCAAGAAAUUGAAGCUUAUCAGUGCAAAAACAUAUGCAAAAAGACAUGAAGGUUAGGAGAUACAACUAAAACUUAGCAACAACUGAUAAGCACAACAAGAAAUGAAAUAUAACACGAGUUGUAAACAAGAUAGACACAUGGUAUCUAAAUAAUUGUACCAACCCCCUCUCCUGAUUGUCAUAAAAAGGCCAAUAUUUAACCCUAGACAACAAAAUUGCAAAUACUCUAGCCUCUAUAUUAUUGGCAUAUAAAUAUUUUCGGUUAGGUACAUUAUAUUCUUCCUUCUAAAACCUCAAUUAUUAGCUAGUACUGUGAUAAAAUGAUUCAAAACUGAAAUAGAAACAACGACAAACCAACCUGUAUUACGUCGAUUCAUUACAACAAACUGAAAUCGAGGCUGUGUGUUCCUGAAAAUUGAAAAAAUAAUAAUUUCACCAACUUCAUAUGUAAUACAAUCUCCAAAACACUGAAUAUCAAAUGAAAAAAAUGGAAAGCAUAAGAGAGAAAAGAAUCUAAUUUUAUUGACCUUUUGACGACGAAGAGAGAGCCUUCAACAUCCUUACGACUCCAUUGGCUGAGAUCGAUGUUGAACUCGUAGAAGGUGACAUGAGCGGCCGUGAUGAGGAUCUCCUCAAUGAAUGGAUCGAUUCGCUGAAGAACUGUCAGGUUUAGGAGUUUUGUGCUCUGCUGGUCCAGAUUAGGCAUCAAUUUUCCGUUCUGCGACAUUUUUCAUAGUCCUUUUGGGCUCUGCCCCGAGCACAAGCCCCAUGGUUUUUCUGUGAGCUCUCUCUUUUGUAAAUAAAGUGUUUCAUGAGAUAGUCGAGAGAGAGUGAAAGAGUUGAACAGCUAAACAAGGUGAGGUGAACACUUUCGGACUGAGACUCGAGAUUGAUCUUUGCUUUAACGUCUUUCAAACAUUUGGGAAAUAGCAUUUAUUUCUUUCACAGGGAUUUGUCUGUGGUAUACCCCAAAAAAAGGGUAUUUAUCUAAAAAUACCUCCAUACUCAAAAAUUUCUCGUAUAUGCCUUUUCUAAUAUGCAGUUACGAAAUUACCCUAAUGAAAAACCUAAAUCAACUAAACUACCACAAUCAAUCGUGUAACAAAAUCCCUAAUUUUUUCUCAUGAGCAGCUUCUUCUUCAGCCCGUUCUUCUGGGUUUCUCCUCCUCCAUUUUACAAAUCCCUAUUAUUUUACAACAAUUCUUCUACACACUCUCGCCUCUCUGCAAAUCAGUAGCUGCAAUUCCCCCACUCUGCUUCAGCAUCUCCUCUUCCAGGUACUUUUAGAAAGUCAAAUUUUUUGUUUUAAUGUAAAAUAAAAUUUGAAAGUUUCAAAGCUCAAGUUAUUGAUUUUUCUGAAAAAAAUCAUUUGCAGCUGGUAUUGAAAUGUGUGCAAAGUCUUGUGCCAAAAGCUUAAUUUUCAUUUCUCGCAAAAGUCAGAUGACAAGACUUCACUUGAUUAGGCUUAUGCUUGUCUUUUACCUUGCAUUAAUUUUCAUCUCUUGUAAAAGUCAGAUAAUAAGGCUUCACUCGAUUAGACUAAUAAUUGAUUUAACAUAUUCAUUUUCUGAUUAAUUGUCAUCCAAUUUGCACGCACAUCGGAUAGAAUUCAUCCAAAAAAAUGGCUCGUAAGGUACGGGAGUCCAAAUACUUAUAAACCUACACACCAAGCCUUAGCUUAGCAAUAUGACACUCAAUUAUAGUUCAUAACCGAUAUGCAUGGUGGCCAUAUAUGGGGCUGAGUGACUUCACAGAUUUCAUACAAGGUGAAUAGCAGGUCUUCUUCUCAACUUACUUCGUCUGUGAAGAGAGAUUUCAUCAAAAAAUUGGUAAAACUCAUUCAAAAGACCGACUUAUGAUGUUAGAAAGACCAAAUACCCUAUAAAAUGCUUAAUAAAGUGGUCGCACAAUUAUUCUUGUGUACACAGUACCAAUGCAAUAGAAAAUAGGGUAAACAUUAAUGUCUCUAGCUACUCAGUCCAAUAGACAGUAUAAUCUAAAGAUGUCGUGUUGUUGUAUUGUUACACUGGUGAGACAAUUGCUGCAUGUUGCAGACAUGAUACCUCUAGUACUUCAAAAGAUAGCAUAUCACGAAACACAUCCAGACUGUAGUGAGGUUAUUUCGAAAAUUCCUUGGCCCAUUGUGUGAGUGCGUGACAUCCCGCAACAAAAAUCAGGGUAUGUACUAUAUAUAUAAUGUGUUUUGAACAUAAUAAUAAAAAUGAUGAUUUUUAACAAUUGAUUUAUAUGAAUAUUUUUAGUGGUGACUGUGGAGCAUUUUUGUUGCGGUACUUGGAGGUCCUAGCCCAUGGACUUGAUGUCAAUUCAUACUGCCAACAAGAUCAUGUUACACAAUUUCGACAAGCCUUGGCUGUAAAAUUAUUUGGGCAUAGGUCAUGGAAAAAAACUCCGUAGUGUCAUUUUUUGGAUUAUGAGAUGUAAUAGUUGUAAUGAGGAUGUUGUUGAUAUUUGAUGUCAUUAAAGACAAUUGACAGCAUUAAUAUAUUUUAUUUCUUUGUUAUUUAUAUUAAUGAUAGAUAAGAUAGUUUGCACAAUAUAUGCACAGGGAAUACACUGUAAGAGAAUACACGACUGCAGUCGGGUAUUUGCACAGAUACACGACUGCGGUCGGGUAUUUGGAAAUAAACAUAAUACGCUCUGUGUAAAAUACUCGACUGCAGUCGGGUAUUUGGAAAUAAACAUAAUACGCUCUGUGUAAAAUACUCGACUGCAGUCGGGUAUUUGCACAGAUACACGACUGCGGUCGGGUAUUUGGAAAUAAACAUAAUACGCUCUGUGUAAAAUACUCGACUGCAGUCGGGUAUUUGCACAGAUACACGACUGCGGUCGGGUAUUUGAAAAUAAACAUAAUAAGCUGUAACAAAAUACUCGACUGCGGUCGGGUAUUUGCAAAUAAACAUAAUAAGCUCUGUGACAAAAUACUCGACUGCAGUUGUGUAUUUGCACAAAUACACGACUGUAGUCGGGUAUUUACAAAUAAAAAUGACAAGCUCUCUGUGAAAAAAUACUCGACUGCAGUCGAGUAUUUGCACAGAUACGCGACUAUAGUUGAGUAUUUAGAAAUAAAUAUGACAAGCUCUCUGUGACAGUCGGGUAUUUACACAGAUACACGACUGUAGUCGAGUAUUUAGAAAUAAACAUGACCAGUUUUGUAACAGUCAAAAUACACUAUUGUACUGGGGUAUGUGCACAGAAUAAAAACUCUUUUCAAUCAUUCAUUAUAUUGAUGACACAAUCAAUAUAGAUUUUAAACAUAUCAAACUUCAAAUAAAUGAAACUAACUAUAGUCUGGUUGCCUAUCAAAUAACACAAAUCCAAUAGUUAUUGAAAUCGUAAAUAAGUCGUAAUACAAUAGAAGUUGUUUAACAUUCAUCAUAAAUUUUUGGCAUAUUCAACCCAAACACUCGGUCCAUAUUUUAUAAGCCUCUGGUCGCCUCCCUUCAAUACUUGUUCUUAGAAAGUCACACAAACAUGUUUAUUCAUCUGCGAAACAAAAAGGUAGAAAUUUAUCACUAAAUAUGAAAGAUAUUAAAAAAAUUAAAACAACAAAAAAUAACAAGUAUAUAAGGUUCAUAGUAGUCGUGUAACUUAUUAACAAUUAUAGUAUGUAAGUUUAUACGUACACGCUAGUAGUCGUGUAACUUAUUAACACACAUGACUAUAGUCUAGUAAUAGUAAAAGGAUAUAUAUAGUGAAAAAUAUAUAUUUUUUGAACCAAUAGAAUAAUAAGGUGUCAUAAUAAUUGAAUUUUUUUGCACAUUUUCACGACUACAGUCGUGUAAAUACAUACAUACACGACUGAUGUCGUGUAUGUCGGGUGCAGAAAAAAAAUUUGACAACAACUUCAGAUUUUAACGAAUGUAGUUAUAAAAUCCAUCAAAUAACAGUCAUAUGAUGCAAAUGUAAUAAAAAUAUGAGUUGCUUUAGUGUUUAUCACAAACCAAACAAAACCCUAAAAAUAAUAUAAUGUCAACAAAUUGAAUAGAUAGCCCAAAAUAAAAUAAAAAAAGUUUCAAAUACCUUAUUCAUGGGAUGAAUAAUACACCCAGCUGCAAACAAACUCAGUGCAUUAGCUGUUUGUGAGUGAUUUUGAGUGUGGUGUGAGUUUUUGUAUAGGUGAUAAAUACGUGAGAAGCAAAGAGUGUUGUGAGUUGUGUGUGUGUUUUAUAUUUUUCUUUAGGGAUAUUUUAGACAAUGUACCACAUAAAAAGGCAUACUUAAAUAAUUUUCAAACAUGAGGUAUAUUUAACUAAAUACACUACUUUUAAGGCAUAUUUAAUUAAAAACCCCUUUCUUUCAAUUUCUCUACUUUUUUUUGUUUUCCUUUAUGUCAUUUAGACCCCAAAAUUAGAUUUAUUAUAAUCAUAUUUUACCCAUUCACUAUUAACCCCUUUUAUUUUUAAAAUUGUCAAUAUUAAUGUAUUAGAAUAAUGUUAGAAAUCCCAAUUAUUAUCUCAAUGUUUAAAUCAUAACUAAUAUGAUAACUCAUCGGUUACUGCAACAUUAACUUAAUUAUUAAUGUUUAUCAUGAAAUGAUGAGAUUAUUAGUCAAGAAAGAAUUAGAAAAUAUCAAUGACUAAUACAAUGUGGCAAUUACAGUUGAAUAUUAAUACAAUAAUUAGGAUCCCAAAAGCUAGUGAAUGUAUUAUAAUAUAUGUGUGUUACACCACUUUAUGUCUCUCAAAUUCAAAUAAGUAAUUUCAUAAACCUGAUCUUUUAUUACAUUAAUUAGGAAUGCAUACAUGAACGAAAGAUGUGCAAUUUUUGUUCUAUUUUUCACUAUUAUUUACCAUUCAUCUGCUUACGUCACUUGAUUUUUUGCGAUUAAUAUGCUUAAAUGGAUCUCUUAGAUAUAAAUAAAAUAAACGAAAAGUCUUAAGAGAAAAAAAAAUGAGGACCGAAAUUAUUACACCUACGACAAAUUUGCCCGGAGAGCAAUAAACCAAACUUGCUUAGGAAAUACAAUGAUUAGUUAACAACUAAAAGAGCCUUCACCUUACAACUUAAAGCUUCUGUCAAGCAAACACCCAUUGAAAGCUGUUUAGGUCCGUUUUUAGAUCAUCGGAAAUUUGACAAAAUCAUAAAAACCCUCAUCUUAGAAAUUCCAAGCAUCAGGCAGUAGAUCAGGCAGUAGUCCGACUUUAUUGAUAUUGAGAGUAACACAAUAAAAGUUUCGUACAGAUUUUGCAAACGAAAAGCACAUAAUACACUUAACUAGGAGGAAAAAUUAAAGUGUACAUAUUACAAUCUGCUAACAAUAUACAAUAGUAUAUUGUAUAUACAAUAGUAUAUAUACAAAUUAACUAGGCACCAAUAAGAGUAUGAUACAACCAUUCUAAAUGAAAGAGAAUACAAUUGUUUUACAACUAUGUCACAUCAGGAGAUAUGUUAGCAGGAUUAAUCCAGAUACCUUCGAACCCAAUUAACGAACUCGAGUCAGAAACCAGGGGCCCCUAACUGAACCUUACAAUCUUGAAGGAAGAAGGAGACUUGUGGUCCAGAUAGGAGACUUACUAGAUCUCCUGCAAAAGAGAAUAUCUAUUGCUUUGAACCUCCAUUGAAAUUUCUUUUUCCCUUUUUCUUGUUUUGACUUGGAACUUUCCAGCAUCAUCUAUUUGAUCUUUUUUGAAGGUAAAAUAGCAAUCUAUAGGUUGCCAACAUGUUAUUCUGCCAAACCCCACCCCACCCCCCCGGGGGACAACAAAUCGACCUAGCACACACCUUUCUUCAUUGCCCACACCUACAGAACUAUAAUAAAAAGACUACGUUACUAUUGGGGUAGAGAAAAUAUACAGACUGUAUUAUUAUUACAUCGCAUUUUACUAAUUAACUAGUGCAAGACUUCUUUAGUGUCAAAUCAAGAACUAAUUAGAAAAGACAACUCAUGAUAAUACAGACCUUAAUAAGCAAUUGCUAACAACAUCCCAUAUACUCCUAUUUUAGCCUUCAUUAUCCUGGUAAAAACACAAAUAAGUCUUGCAAACGAACAUUAUAAGUAAAUUCAACAUUAAUUAAGAUUAGGUAUCUACUGCACCUAAUAGCAUGGUCAACCAUCUAGUUCCUGUAGCCUUCCAUGUACCUAUGUUAGUUACAUUUUACAUAUUAAGCCACGAAAACGAAGAAUCACAGCCUGGUAAAGAAAGACAUUAAUUAAUAGUUUUUGUUUAAAAAGUUCUCGUUUAGAUCUUUCCUAGUCAAUGAAUCAAUGUAAUUUAAAGAGAACUCUUCUAUUUCAAACAGUGUUAGAAGAUAUUUGCAAAGCCUAAAGAUAAUAUACAAGGACCAAGAUAUACACAGAUUGUUUCUUUAUGGGACUAAAGAGCUUUUUUAGAUGUUAAAACUGUUUCAAACUGUUUUUCUGGUUUGGUUUAACUAAGGAAGAGCUUGUGGAAGAUUAAAAAUGAUGUUUCCUGUUCUCUGUAGGAAGCUUUUAGGAGAUUUUUUGGGCUUUUUUGAAAGGUUGAAUUGUCAAAAAUACCUUCAUGUUAUUGUUUGCUAAAAGAUGUUAUGGACAACUAAACAACCAACAAUAUUUUGUUAAAAGCUCUACUAGUGUAGGAUCUACUUAAAGAAGCUAUACCAAACAGACUCUUAGACUGAAUAACUCGAUCUUAAGUUUGUAAAAUUGGGCUCAGAAUCUCCACUAACAACCCCGCUUCGGUGAGAAAGCCCAAGCCUGUUACUUUGUAUAACCUUAUUCUGUAUGUUUGAUUGCAGGAACUGGCCAAUCAUACCGACGAGGUGAGUGUGCAGCAUGACGUGCUUGACGGGAUGGUUACUUUCUAUGAUACAACUAAAGCUAGCCUCAACAUAUAUCAGGUGCCUGCUUGUUUUUACCUUAUAGAUACUAAUAUUGUUUAGACGUGUAAUCUCUCUCUCCAUUGAACGCUAGACGGCUCGUCUCAAGCCUUCUACGUACUUCAGAGUCCUUCAUUAGCUUUUUAUGUAUAAAGUUUUGAUCUUUUUCCUUCAUUUGCUUGAAGCUCAUUACUGCAGAUUUGUUUUACAGGUUGGUAGUGUAACAUUCGACUUGCUGUUGCUUCUAGUGUUGGGAUCGUAUUUAAUUGUGCUUUUCAGCUUUCUUGUCAUAACAACUUGGGUAUUACUCUUUCUCCAUAUCAAGCUUGAAGUUCUAAAUUUCAGUUUUAUCUUGUAUUUGAUUUUUUAUAAUUUCAUUGCAAACAGAUUAGAAUAGAAACUUCAAAAGUUCCAAGGUUUCCAACAGGGUCUUGAUGAUCUAAUCAGUUUGUUUCGAAGACCCCAUCCCGUAAGGUAAAAAAAGCUUGAUGCGGAAGCACGAUGCUGCACCUGUCCUGUGUAACUUUUUCAGGGAAGAUUUUCUCUGAUAACCGAGGUGGAAGUCUCCCAGGAGAAGUUGGCAAAUGAUAACUACGAAUGUGUUAUGGUUUAGCUCAGUGACACAAAGGACAUUUUUCAACAAUUGAUCCUAGGAAGAUGCCUAUAGCUUGUUGUGCCAAACAUAGAAAAUCAAAGAUGCGAAAAAAUUUUGUUGAGAUUCAUUUUAGUUAAAAUUGUUUUAUUGAGUGUUUAGCAAACGAGAAAAUGGAAGAAAGUUGAGAGAAUAAAACUGAAGCUAAGAGGAUUCUAGAACAUCUUUCAAUUUGUUCCGAAUACUCAAAAUGUGAAUACAUUGUUGUUUAUGUACACAGCUGAAGAUAACAGCUCAAUUGUAUAACUAACUACUACUUAGCAAUUUACUAACUGUAACUAAUCAAACUAAAUCUUCACGUGCACUGGUAAUCACAUAACCACUAGGUGCCAGCUGGACAGCCAAGUCAUCAACCUUUAACCGUGUGCCAUAGCUGCUGCAAUCCUCUGCUUUAUCUUCUGUUUUGCAUACUGUACAGCAAGCAUGAUGAGCUUCCUUAACAAUUUUUUUUGGGGCAGAGAAUAAUGCUUAUGUGAUUUCUGAACUUGGGGAUUAUGGCGGAUAGAGGCACUAAGGCAAGAGAAAUGUCUGAAUUAUCGAAACAAGAUGAAUUAUUUUUUGUUUAUCGCAGCAGACGAUCUAUGAGCGGAAUUUCUUACAACAAAAGAUGUGUGUCCACCGGCUUGUAUUUAGUCUCGUAAUGCAUUAUAUAUAUGCACGCACACACAGUUUGAGAAGAAUCAGACCAUUGAUUUUCUUUUGAGCCAAUCAACAGAAUGUACAUUUCUUCUAAGAUCUUGUAACCGAAACCGCAGUUUUUCAAGUUUGAUGCAUCUGGGAAAAUUGUCAGAUGGAAUAAAACCACCAUGCGCCAAGGUACCAAUGAUGUUUCUUCCAGCUUAUGAGCACUUCAAAUCAACUUAGGUCAUAUUUACACAAGGGCGCACAUGAUAUCAAUCUAAUGGCAAUUAUAUCAUCUAAAAUCCAAAACCAAGAGUCUCCCAUUUUCCCGUUCUCUACUCUGUUCAUAUUAUCAUAACUUCGAAGAUUGCAAGGCAGCCGCAGAUCCAGCGCAAUCUCUCAGAUCUUUGCUCCUUCCUCAUUGCAGUUAGUCAAAAGAUAAACAGAGGUGUCCCAUGUCAACAAGAAGGUAAUCAUAAAAGAACAACAGAAUUGUAAAACAUAUUUUGUUAUAGAUGAAAUGAUAUGAGCAUCCAUGUAUCUAUCCAGCAUUUAGGACACCGCAAUAUAUUCAUAUGAAACGUAAAACGAUUUAAUAUCAAUUUUCUUAAGGAGACUGAGCAGGUUGUCUCGCAAGUGGCGCAUUAGUAUUGUAACGUCUGUGGGGUCUUACAUUAUCCACAAAAAUAACUCGUCCAUCUAGUAAAUUAGAGAAAAAUGAUGCAAUUUCACCUUCCCACUCAUGUCUGCCAAGGCUUUUUGGGCUUCCUCUUCUGUACGGAAAGUCACAUACCCGUAACCUUUUGAUCUGUUCUUACCUUUAUCCAUUAUUAUGGUAGCUGCAAAAAGAAAAGAAUCGGAUAUUAGAAAACAGUGAAGAGGGAACAGGGGUUGAGACUUAAAAUAGAAAUAGACCAAACCCUCAGUGACUUGGCCAAAUUGUGAAAAAGCAUCAGCUAACAUUCCUUUAGUGGUUGAGAAAGAUACGCCUGCAAAGGAUGCCAGUUAAUUUUAUCAUAAUUAGAUGGUAAGAUUGCAAAUUCUGCAGCCAAAGGCAGUACGCAACUGAAUGAAGGAAAUCAAAUAUGAACAUGUUUUCAAUCUCAAAAUAUGAAGAGUAGCAGAAGUAACUUGUGAAACAGUUAUAAGUUCAAGGGAAUUAGAUGAUGGCAUGGUUGAAUUUUAUAAAUAUUUGAUAUUUUGGACCGAACAGGGCAAACAGAUGGAUCCAGAUAAUUAAGAAAAACAUCAAUUCCAUGCAACCAAAUUAGUGUGGACAAUGCAAUUGCCUUUCCCUAUGAGAGUAGAGGGCCUAAAUACAAGCAAAAACCUACUGAUGCAUCUACAGAAGCUCACAUUCACUAGCUGCAUGAUUAAAUCACUGGAUGGUCUCACUAUGCAGUAAAGAAUGAAAUAAUUAACGACCUGAUAAGCUGCAAGGUGAAGAAAAUAUUCACCAGAAAAGUUCAAAAUCAAAUCAACGUGGCUUUGAUUAUGGAAAAAAUGAAACAAUAUGUAGUGAAUGAAUCUUCUCGUAACUAUGCAAGACACAAUCACUUCCCAGGAUCUCAGAUAUAGAUUUACCAAGUUGCACAGAUUGAAGAACGAAUCCAGAAAGAAUCAAUUUAAGACAAGAAUUAAGAGAACUGAAAACAAUAGAAACAAACACAGACAACACAAGAAUCAAUUACGUGGUUCGGUUGCACCAAGGAGGCACAACCUACAUCCACGGGAGAUGCUUUCUGGAGAGCUUUUAUUGAAUAACAAUGGAGGAUCUUUUACGGGGCUUUUACUUAAGAUUACAGAGAACUCAUCUUUCACAUUCUCUGAUAUCUCUCUCUCUCUUAACACGGUUACACACCCGCUCAGCUCACAAACUGAACUACAAGAGCAACGAAUCAGCUAAAUCCAGAUUGCACAGCUUGUUGACACGUUGAGUAACAAACUUAACGAACUGAAUCAAGUUGCCUCGCACGGCUAUCACGUGCAUCACUUAAAGCUUUCCCUUAAACGACAAAGAUGAACUGCCGUUUCAAGCUUAAGAAACAAGUGAUUACACACGUGCUUCAGCCCGUGACUUUUAAGUGCUCUUAUCUUAUAUUGCCAAAACGCUGCCGUUUAGAGCUGAUGAGUUUGAUUCACCAGCAAGCCUCACACAAUAUCAGUUGAGCAACACUAUAAAAUUAUUCAAAGAAAUCUCUAGGUCAGUAUCCAAAUAUGUGGCUCCGUCAGAAGCAGAAAAGUUCAAAACCAAAGUAAGAGGUGAGCAGAAGCGGCCCAGUUUAGUUAUAUGCCAUGCAUGCGAUCAAAAUUGAAUGGUUAAAUUCAGUUGUUUCCAAUAAUUUUAUGUUGUAUCUUUUUUAAGAAUAAAGAAAACUUGCAUUAAAACUAAAAGUAGGGUAAUACCUGAUUUUCUAAAUAGAUUGCAAUGUAAUUUUGAAAAAUAAAACAAUAAUUUACGAAAUGGUUAUAACAUUAUUUUAAUUUUUUUUUCAAAAAGGAAAAACAACAAAAAUAAGAAAUAAAGAAUGAGGGCUACAAACUUUUUAUCUUAAACGGCCGUUAGAUUAUUUGUAAAUGAAAGCAACGGUCAGAUAUUGGUGGCUUAUGGAAACAGGUAAUCAUAAGGACUACGAGUUUUUUUUUUUUUUUUUUGUUCCAUUGAUAUAUAACAAUCGGGAUUCUAUUAAUAUUUACAAUUAGAAUUUUAUCUAACUAUCUUUGAUAAUUCUAAACUAGUACAACCCAAAUUCCUAUUCUCAUAUAAUAUGAAAGAGAGAUAUAUAUUCUUUUCCUCUAUUAACGAAGAGACAUUUUUACUUCUAUCCAAUUUAACUGGAACGAGAAUUAAAUCCUUUCAAUAGUCAGGACUCAGACCUCAUACACGCUAAUUUGAGAGUGUGAGGUGUGACAAUGGGCCAAGAGACCAUUGACAAGUACAAAAGAGUGAUUGCAAUUAAUUCAAACCGCUACACACGCUAAAUUAAGGGUCCAUUUUUGUUUAUUUCAUUGCAAAGUAGUUUGCACAAUUAAUUCAAACCGCUACACACACUAUUGCAUCUUUUGAAAAAGAAAAAUGGAAUAGUUUGAAUUGCCCAUGACAAGAAUGCUUGUGUUGUGAAAAGAAAUCCAAUGGUUUGUAAAUGGGUUGAAUUUUUCGCUUACUUCAAUGACUUGCUUAUGCCCAAUAUAUUACUUUGCACAGUAGUAUUUGGGAUCCUAACAAUCAACUCUUAAUUUGGUCCCAAUAUAUUACUUUAUGAAUGCUUGUGCUGUUUUUUUAAUAUAAAAUAAUUUAUUUAACUAAUCAUAGAAAUAAGAGAGAAAAGGGGGCAUUUGUUGACUCAAAGUCAAUUACAAAUAUUCCAUGCCUAACUUCCACGCACCCUAAAACGGUUUGAUUUGCUUUCAUGCGUUCAUGAAUUUCCAUGAAAGAGAGUGCCUCCCGUCUCUUUACGGACAGUGACUCCAAUUAUGUUAGCGUGACAAAUACAUAACGUUAUUACAUACAAGAAUAAGUUUUUGGAGCCGAGACUUGAGGGAGGUUCUAUCUAAUUCUAAAGAUUGUAACCAAAUCAUUAUCCCCAAUUUUUUUCAGUUAAAUAAAAUAAAAUUUAUGCUUAAAUAUAAAUAAUACUUUGGACAUUCUUGAUAUUUGUCCUUUUAAGAUAAACAGCAACCCAAUUAUCUAUUUGUUUGUCUUUUUUUUUUAGUAACAGUUUGUUAGCAUAAAUAUUUACCUGUGAAGUCGAGGAGGAGAAAAUAUUAGAAAAAUAAAAAGAAAAAAAAAUUAAGGGAGAUAGAAUCAGAUUUUCUUUUUUGAGCAAAGAACAUACGUAAAAAGAUAUUAAAUCUAUUAAGUCUAAUUGUCUAUAACAGUAAAUUGCAUAACGAAUAAUUUAUCAGCGUAAAAUAAAUUUUAUUAUGUUAUGAGUGUUCUGAUUAUUUUCUAGAGUACGAAUUGUCCCAUCGUAAAACAAACGACGAGAAAUAUAACCUUUGCGGUGGUCUUUUACCGUGUCGUUGUAAAAAGGUUAGUAGUUGAGUACUAUUAGUAAUUUAAUGCACCAAUAUUCUUUCUUUGUCUUAUGAAAUUUUUUCGUUAUCCAAGAGUUUUAAUUGAAAUACUUGGCUUCCAGUUAUUUUGUAAAGCUGUUGAAAACUACCACAGUAAUUUUUAUUUGAGGGCCAAUGUUUAGCGAUUUGGGGUCAAUUCAAAGUCAACUAACGUGUAAAACAUGAUUUCCUUUCAUGAACUUCCAAGAAAGAAAGGAGACCAUUCACCUUCUUCGUGACAACAAAUGAUGUUGAUAUGACAAAUACAAACGCUAUUACAGUAUAAGACCGAGACUUGAUAAAUUGUUAAAUUACAUGUCAUUUUCUUGUUGACUAAAUUGGAAGAAAAAAAUUAAAAUAAAAUAAAAUUGUAAUCAGGGUGAUGUGUGGAAUAUAUUGAAAUAAAUAAAUGGAGAAGAGAAAUUCGUUGAUCAAUAUUCAAGAACUCAUCCAAAGUGACCGUUAAAGUCUGGAGGUUCCGUAUGAUUAGCAUUUAUUUUUAAUUUUUUGGCUUAACAUCAUAUGUAGUCAUUGGUCGUGUGAUCUAGGACAGGUUUAGAAAUCUUUUUUUUUAACUUCCGUAUUCUUAUUAUUUAAUUAGUUAUAGGAUUUUUUAGUAUUUGAGUAGUGAUCGCAUGUCUCCUAAUCUAAAAAUAUGUUUCUACGAGUACAAAUAAAAACUAAGAUUUUAACAACCUUUUAUACUAAACCCUAAAAAUACAUGAAUUUAUCAAAAUAAAUAAAUUUGAAUUGGUAUGCCAUAAUAAAAAUUUUACUUGCCAAAACAAAUUAAAAAAAUGUGACGCUUAAAUCAAAUGUUGACAAAAAUAGACAAAAAUCCAACAAGAAUCUCAAAAAUAAGAAAGAUAUCUUCAAACAAAAAUAAAAGCGCUCAAGAGAAAUUUGGCGACGAUCUGCUAAUCCAUAUUAAAAAUGUCACUUUGACUCACACUCUUUUCCUCGAGAACUUCAGAAUGAUAUAUUAUGAGCCUAAGACAAAUAGCUAUUGCUCAAGUUAUGGCCUUAUGAAUACAUCUUACUCAAUGGCCAUCCUAAAUCAAUAGAGCAACUUGGACGUGUCGAACAUGUUUGCAUUCAAAUUUAGGUAAAAAUCUAUUCUUAUUGAAGGUAUAUAUAGGUGCCUGUGAAGUCUCAUACCGGAUAUAAUGUGAAAGCAAAUCAUGAAUUUAAUCAUUCAGCCAAUUAUUAGUGUGUACGUAUGGUAGGGAUGGCAAAAACCCCGACCGUAGGUAUAGUAUUACCCAGAUUUGGCCUAAUCAUUUUUUUUUAACACCUAGACUUUUUCAAUCAGAGCUUAAAAACCUAUAAUAUUAUAUAUAUUUUUAAUUUAUUUUAUAAUUUUAUAUUUUCAAAUUUUAUUUUAAUAAAAUUAGACUUGAAAAUAUGAAUUUUAAAUAUUUAAAACUUUAAAUAUAGAUAAUAAGUGGACCAAAUGAACAAAAUAAUAGAUAUUUUAUAAUAUUCUUCAUAAAAAUCCAAGUUUUGAGCUGGCCCAUAAGCUUGUGUGGUGAAGUCUGGGAACCCGCGUUGCCCAAGGUUCCGUCAGAAUCCAGGCUGUGCAGAUAUUUAUGACAUCCCAUAUGGACGGAGAGGAAAUAUUUUCAGUUGACUGAAUUAAAUAAAAAUAUAUUACAAUCAUAUUAUAUAUUAACAGAAAAAAUAAAAAGAAAUGAAGAAAAACGUAUGCAAGACUUAGAGAAGUCAAUUAAAAGCUGGGAGUAUCAUCAGUUCAAUUGGUUAUAAAUAGCGUAGAGCCAUCCUCUCGUUGUUGCAGAACUGAAGGAAAGAGAGACAUAAAGAGUGUGUGUAGGUGAUUAUAAUUAAGAAGAUAUAAUGUGUGGUUCAAAAAGAGUGUGGGUGAGUGAGUUGAUUUUCAUAUUAUUAGUAGUAAAAGGGUGGUGGAGUGAAGGAUGUUUGGAGCAAGAGAGGUCUGCUCUCCUCCAACUCAAACAUUUCUUCAAUGGUGAUCAACGUCUUCAAAACUGGGUAGACGCAGGAGAUGAUGAGAAUUAUUCAGAUUGUUGUCAGUGGGAAGGGGUUGAGUGUAAUAACACCACUGGCAGAGUGAUUGAAUUACAUCUAGGAUAUACUCGGAAUUGGGAAUCAGCAGAGUGGUAUAUGAAUGCCUCUCUCUUUACUUCCUUUCAACAAUUAGAGUCUCUUGAUCUAAGUUGGAACAAUAUAGCUGGUUGUGUUGAAAAUGAAGGUCCUUAAUUUACUCUAUUUUAGUUCUUCCUCGUAAUUUCUUACAUUUAUCUGAUCCCUUUGGGCUUUUGUUUAAUUUGUACAUGAUACAAUAACAUUUUUUUUAGUUUUUAUUUUUUAUUUUUUGGCAGGUCUAGAGAGGCUAUCAAGGUUGAACAACUUGAAGUUUCUUUAUUUAGACGAUAACCACUUCAACAACAGCAUCUUUUCAUCUCUAGGUGGUCUUUCAUCACUCAGACGCUUAUCAUUGGUUGAUAAUAGAUUGAAUGGAAGUAUUGAUAUUAAAGGUAAGCAAGCUUCAUCCCUUCUCCCGUGUCCCAUCUUUUGUGGAUCUUAUUUCAUUGACCGGCUGGAAGUAUUGAUAUAAGAUCUGGCUAAACUCUUGCUAGUUUAAGCUUCAAGGAUUUAAAUAUUAUAAAAAUAGGUUUAAGAAAUUAUCAAUAUAUGCAAUUUUCAAUGCUUCUCAUAAUCAGACACAAUUCAAUCUAAUUAUUUUGUAUGUCCUGUCUUCAAAAGUAAAGAAUUGUACACUAAAUGGAAAUCGACAUCGUAGCUUUUUAUUUUUUCUAAUGCUCUUUUUUCGUUAACAAGUUUAUAUCCUAAGAGGGAUUGGAUUAAAAAAAAAAAAAAGUUUUGAUGUUCAAGGUAGGCCAUAAUAACCUGCAUGUUAUUUGUCUGCCUGUAUCUAAAUUUGUGCACUGAAUUUAGUAUUUUGGUUAUUGUGAAGGGAUCAGAUAUUGGCUUCCAUAGACCAACUUGUAUUUAGUUAAUUAAUUAAUUAACUACAUUUAGUAUUUAACAAAUUAAAAUUUAGUGUUUAAUCUAUUUUAAUUUUUUUAAGAAAAAAGAAAAAGAUAUAGCAGUAGGUAAAGCUAAAAUAAAUUUUAAUUCCUUACAAAUUUAAAUUCAUGGUUGUCAGCUAAAUAUACUUGCUUAAAGCCACUUAGUCGAGCCCUUUGAGAGCUGCUUUAAAUUUUUCGGAUUAGCCAUAUUCUUUUCUUAUUAAUAAAAAUCUUUUCGUUGAGAUUUAACAUAAAAAAGGAGAAAAUAAGUUAUUUAAUUAACUCUGUUUUAAGUGUUGGAAUAAAUACAGGACUGGAUUCCUUGAGUAACUUGGAGGAGAUGGACAUGAGCGACAAUGCAAUCGAAAAUCUAGUGGUUCCUAAAGGUAUACAAAAUGUUCAAAUAUUAAUAAUUUGGAGGACAAUUUAAUUGAUUUGAUUAGGGAAUGCCCAAUGACACUUACCCAAAAUAAUUUAAUCCGAAAUUGUAUCUCAAAUAGAUUACAGAGGUUUGAGGAAGUUGAAUACCUUUUAUUUGGAAGCAAGGUGUUGCAAUCAAUAAAGAAAUUCGUUGGUAAAUAUUCAAGGACUCAUCCAAAGUGAUCAUUAAAGUCUAGAGGUUUGCUCUCCUCCAAUUCAAACAUUUCUUCAAUGAUGAUCAACGUCUUCAAAACUGGGUAGACGCGGGAGAUGAUGAGAAUUAUUCAGAUUGUUUUCAGUGGGAAGGGGUUGAGUGCAACAACACCACUGGCAGAGUGAUUAAAUUAUAUCUAGGAUAUGCUCGGAAUUGGGAAUCAGCAGAGUGGCAUAUGAAUGCUUCUCUGUUUACUCCCUUUCAACAAUUAGAGUCUCUUCAUCUAAUUGGGAACAAUAUAGCCGAUUGUGUUGAAAAUGAAGGUCCUUAAUUUACUCUAUUUUAAUUCUUCCUCAUAAUUUCUUACAUUAAUCUGAUCCCUUUUGGCUUUUGUUUAAUUUGUAGGUGAUACAAUAAAAUUAUUUUUUAUUUUUUGUCAGGUCUAGAGAGGUUAUCAAAGUUGAACAACUUGAAGUUUCUUCGUUUAGAAUCUAACUACUUCAACAACAACAUCUUCUCAUCUCUAGGCGGUCUUUCAUCACUCAGAAACUUAUCAUUGGCUAGUAAUAAAUUGAAUGGAAGUAUUGAUAUUAAAGGUAAGCAAGCUUCAUCCCUUCUCCCAUGUCCCAUCUUUGUGGAUCUUAUUUCAUCGACCAGCUGGAAGUAUUGAUACGAGAUCUAGCUAGACUCUUGCUAGUUUAGGCUUCAAGGCUUUGAAUAUUAUAAAAAUAGGAUUAAGAAAUCAUCAAUAUAUGCAAUUUUCAAUGCUUCUCAUAAUCAGACAGAAUUCAAUCUAAUUAUUUUGUAUGUCCUGUCUUCAAAGGUAAAGAAUUGUACACUAAAUGGAAAUCGACAUUGUAGCUUUUUAUUUUUUUCUAAUGCUCUUUCUUCGUUAACGAGUUUAUAUCCUACGAGGGAUUGGAUUAAAAAAAAAAAAAGUUUUGAUGUUCAAGGUAAGCCAAAAUAACAUGCAUCUUAUUUAUCUGCCAAUAUCUAAAUUUGUGCAUUGAAUUUAGUAUUUUGUUUAGUGUGAAGAGAUCAUUUAUUGGCUUCCAAAAACCAACUUGUAUUUACUUAAUUAAUUAAUUAAUUAACACCAUUUAGUAUUUAACAAAUUAAAAUUUCGUGUUUAAUUUGUUUAAUUUUUUAUUUUUUGAAACAAGAAUAAGGUAUAGAAGUAGGUAAAGUUGAAAUAAAUUUUUAUUCCUUACAAAUUUAAAUUCGCCAUUGUCAGCCAAAUAUACCUACUUAAAACCACUCAAUCAGGCCCUUGGCAUCUGUUUUUUAGGUUUUUCUAAUUAGCCGUAUACUUUUUUGCUUAUUAAUAAAAUUCUUUUGCACCAAGAUUUAAAAAUAAAGGAGGAGAAAAUAAGUUAUUUAAUUAACCUUGUUUUAAGUGUUGGCAUAAAUACAGGACUGGAUUCCUUGAGCAACUUGGAGGAGCUGGACAUGAGCUUCAAUGCAAUCGACAAUCUAGUUGUUCCUAAAGGUAUACAAAACGUUCAAAUAUUGAUAAUUUGGAGGGCGGUUUAAGAGAUUUGAUUAGGGAAUGCCCAAUGACUUACCCAAAAUAAUUUAAUCCGAAAUUAUAUCCCAAACAGAUUACAAAGGUUUAAGGAAGUUGAAUACCCUUCAUUUAGGGGGAAGGGAAAAUGCAAUGAUAGAUGGAAGACAGGUGUUGCACUCAAUAGGAUCACUGUCGUCCCUCAAAACACUUUACCUUUUGUAUACCAAUUUUAUGGGAACAGUAGUUAAUCAAGGUAAGUAAAUCUUUUAUCUCGAAAAUAAUUGAAUUAAUAUAUAUAGCUAAAAUUUAUUGUUUCUACUUCUUUCUAAAUAGAAUUGCACAAUUUCACCAACUUGGAAGAAUUGAUAUUGCUCGAGUCUUAUCUCCAUGUAAGCCAGCUUCUACAAAGUAUCGCAUCAUUCACUUCGUUAAAGUAUUUGUCAAUGCAACAUAGUGUACUCAAGGGUGCCCUGCAUGGUCAAGGUAAAUUACGGGUAUAUGAAGCGUUUGUGAUAUUAAUUCGAUGAUAAUUCUUUCUUUUCAAGUUAAGUUUUUCUUGUAAAAUAAUUUUUUUCUUUUUAAUUUUAUAUAUUUUCACUGUCCAAUAGUUCUAUCUUCUCUAAUUUGCUGGAUUCUUGAUUAAGGUUAAUGAAAUUUUAGUUCUGUUAUGUUAAGAAUAUUUCGAUCGCUUAAAAGAGUAAAGAAAAAUAAGUAAAUUAACCCAAAAAAAAAAGAAAAGAAUAGGACCGGAUUAUCCUUAUUCCCUUGCAUUAUGUGAUCAAUAUCAAAAUUAUAACCAUUUCUUGUUUAUUGCUUGUAGAUUUUCGUAAAUUCAAGAAUUUGGAACGUCUGGACAUGGGUGGGGCGCAGGUUGACGUCAACACCAAUUUUCUUCAAAUUGUCGGCGAAUCGAUGCCUUCUCUUAAGUUUUUAUCACUGACAUAUUCAAGUCUUAAUAAAAACACCAUUCUUGAUCAAGGUUAAUUAAUGAUUCUCCGUCUCCCUCUCUCGCAUCAUAACUAAAUUUAAUUGAAAAUAUCUAUAAUGUGAGCUAUUUAUAAACUUAAUGAAAGAUGAUAAGGAGCCAUAAUAAUGACAAAAACAACUGUAAAAUUUUACAGUUAUUUUGUUGCCAUUACGUCAGAUUCUACUGUUCAACUAUCAGUGAUCAAACUUAAUUUUUAAUAUGUACUUUAAAGAUUUUAUGCAAUUAUUUAUCUAUGUGUACUGAAGGAUGAAUUAUAUAUUUUUCAGGACUUUGUCAGUUAGUGCAUCUGUACGAGUUAGACAUCGGCCGUAACGAUUUGAGAGGUAGCUUGCCAUGGUGCUUGGCAAACAUGACAUCCCUUCAAGUGUUAGAUGCCUCUUCUAAUCAACUUACUGGAAACAUCUCCCCAGGCCUUUGUGAGUUGGUGCUUCUGAGAGAGUUAUACAUUGAUAACAAUGAUUUAAGAGGUAGCUUGCCUUUGUGCUUGGCAAAUUUGACUUCCCUUCGAGUAUUAGAUGUCUCUUACAAUCAACUUACUGAAAACAUCUCAUCUUCCCUCAUGCAUCUAAUAUCUAUAGAAAAGCUCAUACUUUCAAAUAAUCACUUCUUCCAAAUCCCUAUUUCACUUGAACCACUUUUCAAUCUCUCAAAACUCAAGACUUUCGAUGGUGAAAUAUGCACAGAAACUGAGUCACAUUAUAAUUCUUUGACCCCAAAAUUCCAACUGACUUCUAUCUCACUGUCUGGUUACAUAGAUGGUGGCACAUUUCCUAAAUUCUUGUACCAUCAGCAUGACUUGAAGAAUGCUGAUCUCUCACACCUUAACUUGAGUGGAAAAUUUCCAAAUUGGUUGGUAGAAAACAAUACGAACUUAGAGACGCUUCUUCUUGCCAACAACUCUCUUUUUGGGUCAUUUCGGAUGCCAAUUCAUUCCCACCAGAAAUUGACAAUAGUGGAUGUCUCCAACAAUUUCUUUCAAGGCCAUAUUCCGGUGGAAAUCGGAACAUAUCUGCCAGGUUUAAUGGAUUUAAACUUAUCUAGAAAUGCUUUCAACAGUAGCAUUCCCUCUUCAUUUGCUGAUAUGAAAAUGUUGAAAAGGUUGGACAUAUCCUACAAUCAGUUGACUGGUGAAAUCCCUGAGCGCAUGGCCACGGGUUGCUUCUCUUUGGAAAUUCUUGCAUUGUCAAACAACAGUUUGCAAGGUCAUAUAUUCUCUAAAAAAUUUAACUUGACAAAUUUAAUGAGGUUGCAGUUGGAUGGUAAUAAUUUCACUGGAGAGAUCCCAGAAAGCUUAUCUAAGUGCCGUUUGUUAGGAGGACUAUAUCUGAGUGAUAAUCAUCUCUUUGGUAAGAUUCCAAGAUGGUUGGGUAAUUUUUCAGCUUUAGAAGAUAUUAUAAUGCCCAAUAACAAUCUUGAAGGACCAAUACCAAUCGAGUUUUGUCAGCUUGAUUCUCUGACGAUUUUAGACCUUUCAAACAAUGCUAUUUUCGGAACCUUACCAUCUUGUUUUAGUCCAUCAUUUAUCGAACAAGUUCAUUUGUCAAAAAACAAGAUAGAAGGACGGCUGGAAAGUAUAAUCCAUGACAGCCCUUAUUUGGUGACAUUAGAUCUUAGUUAUAACCGCUUCCACGGAAGUAUUCCAAAUUGGAUUGACAUACUUUUUCAGUUAAGCUACCUUCUUCUAGGUAAUAAUUAUAUUGAAGGAGAAAUACCAGUUGAAUUAUGCCAGUUGAAGGAAGUGCAGUUGAUUGAUCUUUCUCAUAAUAAUCUAUCUGGUCAUAUUCCUCCUUGCUUGGUUAACACUGCACUCAGUGAGGCAGUAGCUCCAACUUCUAGUUCGUGUGGUCGAGCGUCUGGCUAUGCACGUCCAUGUGAGAAAAAUACAAGUGGACCUCCGAUGGGAAAGGAAGAAACUGUACAGUUCACAACAAAGAAGAUGUCCUACUAUUAUCAAGGAAGAAUUUUGACGAGUAUGUCUGGGAUUGAUCUUUCUUGUAACAAACUGAUAGGUGAAAUUCCUACUCAAAUUGGAUAUCUUACUAGGAUUCAUGCACUAAAUCUAUCUCAUAACAAUUUGACGGGCACAAUCCCGACAACAUUUUCAAACCUGAAGCAAAUUGAAAGCUUGGACCUCUCCUACAACCUAUUGCAUGGGAAAAUCCCUCCUCAACUAGUUGCGCUAAAUACAUUGGCAGUCUUCAGAGUAGCAUACAAUAACUUAUCAGGUAAAAUUCCAGAUAGAAUUGCACAAUUUUCAACUUUUGAGGAAGAUAACUAUGAGGGGAAUCCUUUUCUUUGUGGAUUGCCACUGUCUAAAAGUUGCAAUGAUAGUGGAUUAUCAGCAGUGACACCGGAAGCUUACAUUGAAGAUGAAGAAGGUGAUUGUUUCAUUGACACGAGCAGUUUCCUGAUCACUUUUACAGUAUCUUAUGGAAUUGUUAUAAUAGGAAUUAUUGGAGUUUUGUACAUAAACCCCUAUUGGCGACGAAGAUGGUUUUACCUUGUUGAAGUAUGUAUGAUCUCUUGCUACUAUUUUGUAGUAGAUAAUCUUAUUCCUAGAAGAUUCUAUCGUGGAUGGAUGUAAUUUCCUUACAUUACAACUUAUAUGUAAUUUUUAAAGAAUUUUCUUUUGCAUGCAUGGAAUAGCAACUCAAUAAAAGUAUUUGAUGCAAAUUGUCCAAGAACAACUUAGUAAUUUCAUUGCAACUAUUCGGUUGUAUAUAUACAGUUAAUGAAAUUUUUAACCAUUCGCAGAAUACCCUUAGGAAUUUCUUUAGAUGGCGGCCAAAAAGAGAUUCGGGGCUCUACACGGUCUGGAUGAAGAUUAACUUAAUGCCCUCUGGAUUAUGUGUAAGUUCUCUUUUAAAUUUAAGGGUUGAGAUUUCAGGUCCGGAUGAAAGUUGAAUGCAGGUGACGAGACUUCACUGGGACAAACUUAAAAUAAAAAAUUAUAGUCCACAAUAAGUGUAAUACCCUACCCCUGGUUUUUGACCAUGCUGACCACCCAUAUAUAUAUAUAUAUAUAUAUAUAUAGAGAGAGAGAGAGAAGUAAAGAGAGAAGAGACGAGAGAGAGAGUGAAAGGAGUUGACCCGAGUUUGACCCGAAUCCGACCCGGAACCCGCGACUUUGACCCAGCGAUUUCUCCCAUUUCCGGCCACCGUUCCGGGCAAGCUUGGUACCGAUUCGAAGCUUGAGAGACGAGCUACGUGUCCAUGCCAUCCUUGCCGCCGGAAAACGAUCGGAAAGCCACCGAUCGAAGCUUUGAAGUUCCGCGGAAUCACCGGCUCGAUUCGCCGGUUUCCGGUGAAGCCAUCACUUGGGUUUGGUCCUUACCUUGCCCUCUGCCAUUUCCGACUAACCACUGACGCCGGGGACAUCGUUUUAUCGGUGAUCAGCCGUUAGAGGAUUCACGACUUCGGGAGCUCGAUUCGGAGCCAUCGCCGCGCGUGGGAGGUCACCACCGCCAUCAUUGGACUCAGCGUGGCUUGAACUUUCAGUUCUGAGCUUCCCGUCGCCGUCGGAUGAAUUCCGGUGACCGUUGACCGGCAAGGGUAUUUCGGUGAUUUCACAGUCUAAGGGCAAUUUUGUAAUUUCAGAUUUUGUGGGUAUUUUCGUAAUUGCAUUGAUUGAGGAUAAAGUUGGUAAUUUAUGAUUUUGAGGUUAAUUUGGUAAUUUUGAUAUGGGGGUAUUUUGGUAAUAUUGAAUUCAAGGGUAUUUUGGUAAAUUUUGUAAUUUGAGGGUAAAUAUGUAAUUUGUGGAAUCAAUGGAUAAUUGGUAAUUUUAAGUGAGGGCAGUGAGGUAAUUUGAGAUUACGAUGGUAACUCGGUAAUUUAAGUCGUAAAGGAUAUUUUGGUAAUUUUACGUUCCGAGGGUAAUUUCGUAAUUUCUGACAUUGUGGUUAUUUUUGUGAUCUGAAUUGAGGACUAUUUAGUAAUUGAAGAUUAUGAGGAUAAGUUGGUAAAAUAAUGAUGUUGGGGGCAUUUUGGUAAUUUUGGCAUGUAGGGGUAUUUCGGUAAUUUUGUGCAUGCGGGAAUAGUUUAUUGUUAAUAGAUAUUCGUUUCGAGAUUUAUUAUAUAAAAUUGGUUGUAUUUCAAUUUACGGAAAAUGAUUAUGGCGUUUCCUUGAUUAGGAGGAUUCGCGAACGAGAAUCAACCCGCGGACGUUGUUGGCACCAAAUCUGGAUAUUGUCACUCUGAGUGGAAUAUACGAAACUUAUUUUUAGAGUUAAUUAUGAUAGUAAAGCAUGUUUGCGGAAUAAGUAUUUUAAAUGUUCUGAUUUAAUGAUUUCUUGAAAUGGAUUUAAUGUGAUUUCCUCGAAAUGGAUUUAAUGUGAUUUCCUCGAAAUAGAUUUUAUUCAUGUGUUGAUAUUUUAUUAAAGUGUUUGGUCAAUGAUUUUGCGUAUCCAUUUUGAAUAACGCAUGAUAUUAUUUGAAAAAUAAGAAAAGUGGAUUCAAAUGUGGUAUGAUUUAAAAUAUGGUUAAGAGGAUUGUUUUUGAAAUCAUUAGACAGUACCCUUCCCCUCCAGAUACAGUGAUAUAAAUGAUAUGAGAUGAGAGGCCUUUGGGGUUCGUCUGAACACACAUAGAGGCUUUGGGCCGUGUGUUUGAGCGUUUUUGCCUUUAUAUGCAUGCAGUACAGAUAUUGAGUUACAGUGAUACAGAUAUGGGCUACAGACAUAUAUUGAGUACAGUGAUACGGAUAUGGGAUACAGAUCAGUUAUUGAGAUUCAGAGAUACAGUGAUACAGAUAUGAGAUACAGACAGUUGAGAUACAGAUGAGAUACAGGCCUUUGGGGCCCGUCUGAGUACACACAGAGGCUUUGGGCCGUGUGCUUGGGCGCUAUUGUCCUUUGGGGACUAGAUUAUGCAUGCACAGAUAUGAUGAGAUAUGAAAUAGUAUUUCCCUAUUUAUCCGUGUAGCUCUGGGGUGUGACGUUACCCAGAUAGUACGUCAUUGCCCGUCCGUUGAGGUCCGUAUAUGACGAGAUUAUUUCCCUGGGUACUUGUUUGAUGAUAGUUUUGGUAUUUAGUAUUUGAUAUGAUAAGUAUGGGUAAUUUUUAAAAACCUCCCCUGAGGUUUGAGGCUGUUGCAAGUAGAUGGUGAAAAUCAUUUUAUUUGUAAAAGACCCCCUACCGUCAGUUAAAAUUUUUAUUGACUAACUGUUGACUUUAAAAAGACAAUAUUACCGCCAAUAAUAGUUUACGUCAGUUAAAAUUUCCUUAAAAUCUUAAAAAAAUAAAAUUACAAACUUAAAAAAAUUAUAUUUUUAUAUCAAAUAAUUAAGAUUUGUAAUUUUAUUACAAACUUUAAAAAAUUACAUUUUUAUAUCAAAUAAUUAAGAUUUGUAAUUUUAUUACAAACUUAAAAAAAAUUAUUUUAAGAUUUGUAAUUUUAUUUUUUUAAGAUUUUAAGGAAAUAUCAAUAACUUAAUCAUGGUGAAAAUAAUUGUUUUAAUUACUUAUGAAAUUGUAAAUAUUUGGAAUUGUAAAUAUUGGGGGUAAUAUUGUCUUUUCAAAGUCAACAGUUAGUCAAUGGAAAUUUUAACUAACGGUAGGGGGCCUUUUACAAAUAAAAUAAUUUUCACCAUCUACUUGCAACAGCCUCAAACCUCAGGGGAGGUUUUUAAAAAUUAUCCUGAUAAGUAUUAUGUUUCCAUCGAUUUUAUGCAGAUUUAUGUAAUAUAGUAUUUCAGUGACUGAUUUGAAUUAAAUAAGUUUAUAUAAGUUCUUAUGAUAUUCUGAUGAAAUUGAUUUGAGAAAUUGAUUUGAGAAAGAUUAAAUCAUUUUAAAAGAAUUGAUUUUUUAAAAUUACUAUCCACUCACUGAGUUCACUGAGUUUUAUACUCAUUCCGCUUUUAUUAUAUUUUCUUCCCCCCACAGGAGAUUUGCAGGUACAUCAGUCGACCUAGUAUCGAAUGUUAGUUUUGAAAUUGUUGCCACGUGAUGGUGUUAGGAUGUCAUAGAGUUAAUACUGUGAUAUUUAGGAUAUUGCGAAUUGUAUUUAUUUAUUAUAUUUUGUAAUUAAGGAUAACCAUUGUAUUUUUUAAUAUUAGAAUGACUUGGGUGGUACUUGGUAUGUUGACUUGAGAAGUUGGUUAUGGAAGAUGGUUGGAUAUUGAAUUAUUUUAGGAGUAUUGUUUUGUAAUUUGCAGGUUUGAGAAUGUUAUAUUUAUAAGGGAGAUUCUGCCGAAAUUUUUAUAGAAUUCGUACUUAAUAUCGAUUCAAUUUUACGAGUUUAGAUGGACUUGCCCUGGGGGUGCGGGGCGGGUCGUUUCAGUAAGAGCAAUGGGUAGUUUAACUUAUGGAAGAUAACUAGAACUUGGAAUAACUAUCCGAUCUGCACCUCUUUAUUUGUUAUAUGCUAGUGGGGAUUUUAGGUAGCGUUUAUCGCCAGGGGAGUUACAGUAAUCGAUUCAUAUAUCCUCCUUUACUUCCGAGGGUAACCCAGCUCUAUACAAGAACAACAAGAGGGUUCAAUUAAGAACUCUCUCUCUUCCUCACAACAAAUACACCUAACAGACCAAACCGUGCGCAAAAUAAUUCUAUUCCGUUCUAUUCAUGUCAUGAAUCCCACAAGUCAAAAACUAUCGCAACUCAUUUUGUUUAAUCAGCAUAACUAAAUUGUGGGUAUAAAUGAGCAAACUUUUGAAGCCUGUAACUUAUAAUAAACGCAAACCCAAAAAUGACAUUUAAAUCCUCAUCAUCCCUAACAAAAAGAAACAGGAAUAAUUAUAUACCAAUAAUUUUUCCACAACAAAUACUGAUUUGAGUUGAAACACUAUACAAACUGGGUCCUAUACACUUGCAGAAAGCUACACAGUAGAGAAAAUCUAGCAGCUACAUAAUGGUAUCACUUUCAGCUGGUCACGAAUGGUGUGCAUUCAGCAGUGCUCGACAGACCAUGUCUACGAAUUGAUUGUCCUAUUACAUAUAAAAGCUGGUUAGAUAUACAAGGAAAAAAUUAAUAAUUGAAAAUGCAUCACAAAAAUUAAGAGUAUCGCAUUAGUGUUUGCACUCUAAGCAUGGCAAAGUGGUGGGGGGUUCAUUAUUUUGAAGACUGGGAUAAGUGAAAAAUAGUUCAAUCCACUGAUGAGCAUAAAUUUAUUUACAUGUCAAUUUAGAUAUCAUCAAAAAGUAAACAGUAAUUCACAGUCACUUAAAAGAGUGGACAAAAUGCAUACCAUGAAUGCAUUUUUGUACGUAAGAAAUCCAAAGAAUAUUUCUGAUAAUACAAAUAUGCUGGCUUUAAAUCUGCUGUCAAUAAGCAAUUAAGAAGAUUAUACCAGCUGCAUGGUAAAGUUCCCCUACUCUUAAUAACAGUAAACAUGAACAUGUCAGAUGCAAUUCUAGCAUCGACCAUUUGCAUAACCAGAAAUCCUAACCUGAACAAGCACCAGAAGUGCCUCCCGGACUUUCUCCUUGCUGAUAAAUGGUCCACAGUUUGAAGUAAGAGCAGGAGUAAGAGAUGGUGGAGGGAUUGGUGGUGGAAAAGGUUGAAGCACUGGGGCACCACAUGGGCGUUGUAGACUCAAGGGAGUAUUAAGUGGCGGAGCUGUUGGUGUAGAUGAAGAGACAGGCUGCAUCAUCCGCGCAGAGGAGGAUGGAGGAGGAACAAAGAAUAAGGAAGGCUUUACAAGAUUAGGUGUCCAGUUGCCAGAUUCAGAGGUGUCAAUGGGUGGCAUUAAAGGGGUAGGUGCUGAUAGAGGCGGGGAUGGUAUUUGCAAGGUUGGCACGAUAGGAUAAGCAACACUGGCGGGAUGAGAAGGUACAGAAAUAGUUGUAUCAGACUGCUAAGGUUGUGCAGAGAUUGCUGCAUUAGAAGUACUCCCCACAAUCAUAGCUGUCUGUAAUGAUAAGGACAGAUGUCAGAUACAAGGACUUCAUAGAAGUUGAACCUCACACUAAAAAGAAGUGAUAACAUAUGAAAAUAGUAUAUGACUUGCAGCAUUUUUGUGGUAAUGUUGCAUACUUAUGUAGAAACAUAUUAUUUCAAAGAAAACAUACACUGAAGAAGUUCACAAAAGCAGGAUCCUCAGGAACAUCAGCAGCAUUUGAGGGAGUUGACUCUAGAGGACCAUCCAUAACUGCCGUAGUUGGAACAGCUUCCAGUUCCUCAAACUCACUGCAGUUUAACAAUAAAAGGAACUCGAUGACCAAUUUAAGUAACAAUUAGAUGAUAUAAGAGGUUAGGGAAAAUGAUGAGCGGACCCUUAUGGAAGGUGAUUUCACCUUAGCUAAACACGAAAAUAAAAAGAAAUCAAGGCCGACUCCUCGAGUGCAAUGCAAAAAAUAUUUUCCCUCUUCUCUAACUCCUCUUAUUCAAAAUUGCUCAUCAUUGUGCUGUUCUUUGAGUUUUCACUAGAGUAGAGAACGCUAUUCUCCUGUUAAGUGCAGAGGAAAGAGAAGGGCAAGGGCCUGGUAUGACGCUAUUCUAUAGAAAGUGAGAAGGUGAAGGGUUAAAAUAUUUUGCAAUUUGGAGGUGGUGUUUGUUAGUGUUCGUACUUCUGAGUUUAUUACCUCUUUAGGAUCCAUAGAAAUUGCCUCUUGUUUAGCAUGCACUGUGCCUAAGAGUAAGGCGAGCUUGCAGAGUAUCUAUUAUUUAUUUACUUGGAUAUUCAAACAGGACUACCAGCAACCAAACCUGUCCCAGCACACUAAUCCCCAAACAAAACACUCCUUCAAGUGCAAGGAAAGAGUAACGUGGGCAUAUUUAUGGUUCAAGCACUACAAUAACUAAGAAUGUGAUGACUGUCCACAAACACUAUAUCAGAACCUUUUGAACUACAUCACAUGCUCGAAGAUUGUUUUUUCAGUCAUACAUAAAUUAGCCAUAAAAUUAAGGCCAUUAUACAACUAAAAAGAAAGAAAAAUUGUUUGCUACUACAUAUCAAAACUGGUAAUAGAAAUGUAAUAUGGCAGACUUCUUACUUAAACAGAUGAGAGGCUACAAAAAAAAAAUUGUGCAAAUAAAAUAUAUGAUAAAGAGCAUAAUACUUUCUUGGGGGCUAAAAAUAAUAUACAACAUGUAAAAUAUAAAUUGAGCUAUCAUUACCUUUUAGACGUGGCAACUUUCGACUUUUGAGGCACCUUGGAAUAUGCAUUCAGAAUCCUGCAUUUGGAAGCCAAAUAAAUAAUGUUAAAAACAAUUUUACAAUAGAAACAUUAAAAAUUGAUAAAUUACAGUUGCAAUUUAUGUAUGCGAAAAGAUAGCAUCACAUCCAGGGUCCUCCCCUAAACAUGCUUGUAACGAGAAUUAGUCUGCCUCCACUGUUAGCAACUGCUAACAAUAUACAAUAGUAAAAAUCACUCUCAUGAACUCACCAAUACCAGACACCAAUAAGAGUAUGAUACAACUAUUCUAAAUGGAAGAGAAAACCACUGUUUUAUAACUAUGUCGCAUCCAAAGAUAUGUUAGGAGGAUUAAUCCAAAUACCUUCGAACCCAAUUAACAAACUUGAGGCAAAAACCAGGGGCCCCAACUGAACCUUACAAUCUUGAAGGAAGGAGGCUUCUGGCAUUUUUCAGAUAGGUGAGUUACUAGAUCUCCUGCGAAGAGAAUAUCUUUUGCUUUGAACCUCCAUUGAAAUUUCUUUUUCCCUUUUUCUUGUUUUGACUUGGAACUUUCCAGCAUCAUCUAUUUGACCUUUUUUAAAGCUAAAAUAGCAAUCUAUGGGUUGUCAACAUCUUAUCUCCCCUUCCCCCCCCCCCCCCAAAAAAAAAAAAUCAAUGGGUUGUCAAUAAAUAGUGCCUACUCAACUUAUGUUUUCCAAGGGAUGACAAUGUGCAAAUCGACCUAGUAGCCACACUUUUCCCCCACUUUCAACCACCGUUAGGCAACUUUUCUAACCUUUCUUCAUUGCCCACAUCUACAGAACUAUCAUAUAAAGACUACAUUAUUAUUGGGGUAGAGGAAAAAAUACAGACUAUAUUAUUAUAUCUCAUUUUACUAAUUGGAAAAGACACUCAUGAUAAUACAGACCUUAAAAAGCAAUAGCUAGUAACACCCCAUGUACUCCUAUUUUAGCCUUCACUAUCCUAGUAAAAACACAAUUAAGUCUUGCAAAAGAACAUUCACAAGUAAAUUCAACAUUAAAUGAGAUUAGGUAUCCACUGCACCUUCAAUCGAUGACUGGGUGAAUAGCAUGGUCAACCAUCUAGUUCCUGCAGCCCUCCUUGUACCUAUGUUAGUUACAUUUUACAUAUUACGCCACGAAAAUGAAGGAUCACAGCCUGGUAAAGAAAGCCAUUAAUUAAUAGCUUUUGUUUAAAAAGUUCUCAUUUAGAUCUUUCCUAUUCAAUUAAUCAAUGUAAUCCAAAGAGAACUCUUCCAUUUCAAGCAGUGUUAGAAGAUAAUUGCAAAGCCUAAAGAUAAUAUACAAGGACCAAGAUAUCAAUAAAGUCAAAUAGUGAAUGUCAAAUAUAAAAAAUAAAUAAAAUAGUUGAACGUGAUCAUUUACUAUCAAGUUCUGUAAAACUGAAAAUACCAUUAUCCCUGUAGAGAUUCUCAAAAAACUCUUUAGCAAAUCAUUAAAUAGCAAAAAAAAGAACGAAAGUUCAAAAAAAAAAAUGUACAACAUCCAUAUCAGGAGAUAUUUUUCUUCUCAAUAUCAAUAUUUUCUAGCCGUGAAGCAAUUGAAAAGCUUAACACCAAGUGAAUUAUUAAGAAUUCAUCAUUUAAAUUCCCAAAUCGCAAAAUGUUGGUGCAACUAGGAAAGUGCAAAUGCAGUCACUUAACUAACACAAUAAGCACCAAUAGUGAGAAGCCCACUUUGUAUCAAAUUUGAAACAGAUAGAUAGAGGUCAAAAAAUUUAUAAAGACACUCAAUUGAAAGCCUUUCAAGCAGCUUUUGCAUGCAACAAGAGCAAAUCAAAGGCGAUGAGAAUGUAUUCAAAGACUAAUUUACAAUCAUCUAUAGACAUAAAUAUCUUGGAUACCUACUCUCUAUACCUUACUGUCCCACUGAAAAUCAUCAAAUCCCUCCAAACAAAAAUGACAAAAUGUAUAAGAAUUGUGUGGUCAAACUUCAAUAACUUAGCAGCCACAGCAAAAACUUAUGUAGACAUGCAAGCCACUCAAAAUAGUCAUAUUUUUUGCUUUCCAAACACAAGCCACUGUGUAAUGAAUGCUCAUAAAUUGCUACUACCAUGUUUGUUAAAACACGUGAAAACCACCAUAACUAACUCAAUGUAACUGAUGAUCACAUCACAUUCAUGGAAUCACAUAUCUGACAGUAUUAAUUAGUGCAAACUGCAUGCUUCUUGAAACUCCUUAUUUAUCACAUGGGUGCCAUUCCAAUCAACCAAUGAUUCUGAUCUAGUCAGCAAAUUCAACCCACGAGCGAGUAAUACCUCCUAUUGCUUCUUUACAUUUCUCAACAAAAUUCCACAUUCUACCCAUACUUCUGAACUUGAUGCUCCCAUAGACUAAUACAAUAUAAAGAUUUCUUCCCACACCACCCCAACCCCCACCCCUAAAAAACCAAUUUAAAUUCUCAUUGGAUGUACAACUUAUAGUCCAUACCAAAUUGAAAAAUUUGCAAAUAUAGAACCUCAAAGAAUCUGCUUGCGUUCCAUUUUCUACAGCAAGAAAAUUGACCUUUACCACAUGCAAGUCAACAUAUAAAACAAUCAUGUCUUUGUGAGAUGCACAUUUUCAGAUGAAUCUGGAGAGCAAUGAAACCAUAAAAACCUAAUAUGAGAACACCGAGGGCUCCAGAUAUCAUCUAUAGAAUCUUUGGUGCACCCUUGCAUGAUGAAAAAAAUUGAAGGCUUCGUCACCAACUCCCCAGGUUGUUUUGUUCUCCUAUCUCCUAAAUGCACAGGAAAGGCAACCCGUUCUUUUUUCCAAUCUUAAGGGGCACAGAAUGACUCCGGUAUAAAAUAGUCAGUUUCUAUACAAAAAUAACUCCUUUGCACUUGGCAUUGCACAUCUCAAAAUAAAAAGCAUGCAAGGAGGAGAAUAUAAUAGCAUUAAACAAGUUUUAUUAACCAAACUUCAAAGAUGCCAGACAAGGCAAAAAAGGAAUCUGUACAAGCCAGAUUCCAAGAAUAAUAAUUCCAAUAUACAAUUCAAGAAAACAAUAACUAAAACCAUGUUCAUGAGGCCUCAGUAGAAGCAACAUGUAAUAACCAUACUCUAUUAUUUGAAACACAUUUCCAAGUUUGGUUAAGAUUCUAAACUAUUCUCUAUCUGUCAAUUAUUAACAUGUAAAACAUAAUAAUAUACACUUAAACUACUACAGUAGUAAAACCAGUAAAACAACAAUACCUGCUAAAAAGAUUUGCUACCUCUUCACAUUCACGAGCAUUGUAGAACCAAAUCCCAUUUACUUCUUGGGAUGCAUUUCGAUAUAACAAAUACGGAACCUGAACUUCAAACUCAAAAUCUCCCAAAAGAUUUUCCACUAAAUUAUCUGCACAUAUACAAGAUAUUGAAGCUUAUCAGUGCAAAAACAUAUAUAAAAAGACAUGAAGGUUAGAAGACAUAACUAAAACUUAGCAACAACUGAUAAGCACAACAAGACAUGAAAUAUAACACUAGUUGUAAACAAGAUAGACACAUGGUAUCUAAAAAAUUGUACCAACCCCCUCUCCUGAUUGUCAUAAAACGGCCAAUAUUUAACCCUAGACAACAAAAUUGCAAAUACUCUAGCCUCUAUAUUAUUGGCAUAUAAAUAUUUUAGGUUAGGUACAUUAUAUUCUUCGUUCUAAAACCUCAAUUAUUAGCUAGUACUGUGAUAAAAUGAUUCAUCACUGAAAUUAAAACUAGGUCACGUACAAAUAAUCAAAACUGAAAUAGAAGCAACGAUAAACCAACCUGUAUUACGUCGAUUCAUCACAACAAACUGAAAUCGAGGCUGUGUGUUCCUGAAAAUUGAAAAAAAUAAUAAUUUCACCAACUUCAUGUGUAAUACAAUCUCCAAAACACCGAAUAUCAAAUGAAAAAAUGGAAAGCAUAAGAGAGAAAAGAAUCUAAUUUUAUUGACCUUUUGACGACGAACAGAGAUCCUUCAACAUCCUUACGACUCCAUUGGCUGAGAUCGAUGUUGAACUCGUAGAAGGUGACAUAAGCGGCCGUGAUGAGGAUCUCCUCAAUGAAUGGAUCGAUUCGCUGAAGAACUGUCAGGUUUAGGAGUUUUGUGCUCUGCUGGUCCAGAUUAGGCAUCAAUUUUCCGUUCUGCGACAUUUUUCGUAGUCCUUUCGGGCUCUGCCCCGAGCACAAGCCCCAUGGUUUUUCUGUGAGCUCUCUCUUUUGUAAAUAAAGUGUUUGAUGAGAUAGCCGAGAGAGAGUGAAAGAGUUGAACACCCAAACAAGGUGAGGUGAACAGUUUCGGAUUGAGACUCGAGAUUGAUCUUGCUUUAACGUCUUUCAAAUAUUUGGGAAAUAGCAUUUAUUUCUUUCAAUUUCUCUACUUUUUUUUUCCUUUAUGUCAUUUAGACCCAAAAAUUAGAUUUAUUAUAAAUUUAUAAUCAUAUUUUACCCAUUCACUAGUAACCCCUUUUAUUUUUGAAAUUUGUCAAUAUUAAUGUGUUAGAAUAAUGUUAGAAAUCCCAAUUAUUAUCUCAAUGUUUCAAUCAUAACUAAUGUGAUAACUCAUCGGUAACUGCAACAUUAACUUAAUUAUUAAUAUUUAUCAUGAAAUGAUGAGAUUAUUAUUCAAGAAAAAAUUAGUAAACAUCAAUGACUAAUAUAAUGUGACAAUUACAGCUGAAUAUUAGUACAAUAAUUAGGAUUCCUAAAGUUAGUGAUGUAUUAUAAUAUAUGUGUUAUACCACUUUAUGUCUCUCAAAUUCAAUUGAGUAAUUUCAUAUACCUGAGUACCUUUUAUUACAUUAAUUAAUUGGGUCCGCCUAACUUACGCUCAACGUAAGUUACGCUCAGCCCGUCCAAUUUCAUAUAGUCCCCCUAUACUCUAUACUAUUUAUAUUUUAUUCAUAAAUAUUAUAAAUUUUUUGAAAUGUAAAAUUUCAUUUAACCCCCUCUACUCAAUUUUAUUUUAUUAAAACCAUAGAGUAUGAAUUUGCCCCCAUAAUUUUAAAUUCUCAAAAUAACCCCCAUUUAAUUAAAAAUAUAAUUAUUUUUAAAUGAAUUAUAAUUAUAAUUAUAAUUUUAUUAUAAUCAUAAAUAUUUUUUUAAUAGAUUAUUGUUAUUAAAAUAAAAUUUUGUUUAGCCCCUCUACUCAAUUUUAUUUUAUUAAAACCAUAGAGUAUAAAUUCGCCCCCAUAAUUUUAAAUUCUCAAAAUAACCUCCAUUUAAUUAAAAAUAUAAUUAUUUUUAAAUGAAUUAUAAUUAUAAUUAUAAUUUUAUUAUAAUCAUAAAUAUUUUUUAAUAGAUUAUUGUUAUUAUUAAUAACGAUAAUAAAAAAUAUUAUAAUUAAUUAAUUAAUCUAUUAACAAUAAUUAAUAAUAUUUUUAUUAAAUUGUUAGUAAUAAUAAUAAUAAUUAAUGAUAAUCAACAUAUUUAUGAUUAUAAUAAAAUGGAAUAAACACUGAGUCUAUAUUUAUAUAGGAGACUCUUUUAUAUUUCUAUACAUUUUAAUUUCAAGUACUUUUAGGAUUUUUUUGUUACCUUCAUAAAUAAUGAUUUUGUAGGCAUCUCAUUAUUAAACGGUCAUUUUUAAGUGCUUCUAGUGUUGGGAUCGUAUUUAAUUGUGCUUUUCAGCUUUCUUGUCAUAACAACUAGGGUAUUACUCUUUCUCCAUAUCAAGCUUGAAGUUCUAAAUUUCAGUUUUAUCUUUUAUUUGAUGUUUUAUAAGUUCUAAAUUUCAGCUUUCUCUCAUAACAACUACGAACGUGUUAUGGUUUAGCUCAGUGACACAAAGGACAGUUUUCAACAAUUGAUCCUAGGAAGAUGCCCAUAGCUUGUUGUGCCAAAAAUAGAAAAUCUAAGAUGCGAAAAAAUUUUGUUGAGAUUCAUUUUUCAUCCUGAUGUUACAGCUGGCCUUUUUUUUUUUUUUUUUUGGCAGAGAAUAAUGCUUAUGUGAUUUCUGAACUUGGUUAUUGUUGAAAUGAGCUGAAAAUGAGCUGGAAAUGUGUUUGGUUAAUGAGAAAGAGAGCGAGAAAAUGAAAGAAAUCUAUUUCACUUUUUAUUUAUCAGAAUGAUUACAUUCACAAUGAAUCUAAGCUGAUAUUUAUACUUAAAUGAAUACACACGAGAUUCUUCUUGCUAGAUACUUCUAGAAACUCUACACGCACACUCACACUGAGCUAGUGGUUACUAAAACCGUUACAACAAUAUUGCCAGCUCAGCAUAACCAACUUAUAACUAACACACUCAGCUGCAGGGGAAACCAUCAAGCAUACGGUGCAUCCUCUGUAAUCAAGCUUCUUUAAGCAUGCUCUGCAGAUCAUACGUCUGAAUUAUCGAAACAAGAUGAAUUAUUUUUUGUUUAUUUUAGCAGGCGAUCUAUGAUCGGAAUUUCUUGCAACAAAAGAUGUGUGUCCACCAGCUUGUAUUCAAUUCGCGAACACAGUUUGAGAAGAAUCAGACCAUUAAUUUUCUUUUGAGCCAAUCAACAGAAUGUACAUUUCUUCUAAGAACCUGUAACCGAAACCGCAGUUUUUCAGGUUUGCUCCUUCCUCAUAGCAGUUAAUCAAACGAUAAACAGAGAUAUCCCAUGUCAACAAGAAGGUAAUCAUAAAAGAACAACAGAAUUGUUGCAACAUAUUCAUAUGAAAUGUAAAACAAUUUUGAGAAAAAAUAUUGGGAAGAUAUUUUUUUUUCAUAGAAGUUGCAAUCUUUACGUUAUUUACUAGUUGCAAUCAUACGCCUGCAAAGGAUGCCAGUUAAUUUUAUCACAAUUAGAUGGUAAGAUUGCAAAUUCUGCAGCCAAAGGUAGUACGGAGCUGAAUGAAGGAAAUCAAAUAUGAACAUGUUUUCAAUCUCAAAAUAUUAAGAGUAGCAUAAGUAACUUGUGAAACAGUCAUAAGUUCAAGGGAAUUAGAUGAUGGCAUGGUUGAAUUUAUAAAUAUUUGAUAUUUUGGACCGAACAGGGCAAACAGAUGGAUCCAGAUAAUUAAGAAAAACAUCAAUUCCAUGCAACCAAAUUAGUGUGUACAAUGCAAUUGCCUUUCCCUAUGAGAGUAGAGGGCCUAAGUACGCUGCCGUUUAGAGCUGAUGAGUUUGAUUCACCAGCAAGCCUCACACAAUAUCACUUGAGCAACACUAUAAAAUCAUUCAAAGAAAUCUCUAGGUCAGUAUCCAAAUAUGUGGCUCCGUCAGUUCCACCACAACCCAAAAUAUCAGAUCCCCCCAUUUGGAUUCGACUGAUCAAUUUGAGCAUAUAAAAUCGGGUUUUAAACUUCCCUAAUUAAAAUUUAUAUUCCACAGAAUCGUUUCCUUUAACAUGAUGCAUUACAUAAUAUUUUGUUUGCAAAAUAAAGAAGAAAGAUGACAUAAUAGAAACACUCACAGAGAGAGAAUACCUUUGACGAAAAGCUUAGAAGUGAAUCCUCUGUAAAAUACGAGUUGAGCUGCUGAAUUUUUCGAGUUUGAAUGAGAGACUGCGCCGUUUCUGAAAAUGUUUUUUUCUCAGUAGCGCCGCCAUUUUUGUAAUAGAGGGUAAAGAAAUAAGUAACAGAGUAAGAGGUGAGCAGAAACGGCCCAAUUUAGUUAUAUGCCAUGCAUGCGAUCAAAAUUGAAUGGUUAAAUGGCAGCCACUAUGUUACAUCUUGUGUAAGUAACAAACCGCCUACAUGGAUCGUUGGAUUUGGGAAUAUGAAAUCCAAUGGAUAAUAUUGAAUUUAACGAAAAAUAGAUUACAGGUUGCAUUAGUCCAAGUUUAUUUCAAACAAACCAGCUGACGAAAUAGCCGCUAAUCAAAUUUAAAAGGGAAAAAAAUUCAAAUUAUAGGUUAUAGAUCUUAUUUCCAUCUUAAAUCUAUUUGUCUUUCAUGGUGUCUCAAUGUGUAUACUAAUUUAUAAUUUGGAUUUAUAUUAGAGCUAAUGCUUCCCUAAAUAACUAAGAAAAUUUUCUUUUCAUUGAUUUAAUAUUUAUUUCCAAUAUCUUGUAUAUGUAGGAUUUGAAAAGAGGAAAAAUAGUAGGGAUGAUAAUGAGAGAAGAUAAAGGUGUCGAUUCUCAAAUCUAAUAUUAAUGCUAUACUUAUAUUCCUAUACUAAAUAAAUUAUCCAAGGUUCGUGGUUAACAAUACGUUGCAAAAUUUUAAUUUCUAUUUAAAGCUCUGUCUAAUAUGACUUUUCAUAAAGCUUAGAGAAAAGUAGAGCUUUUACCAAAAAAAAAUAAUUAUUAGAAUUGUCAAUGAUAAAUUUUAAAAAGUACUUUAAUAAAUAAGCUUUUAAAGUUAUAUAUAUUAUGAAAGAAAUGAAAUAAGAUUAUAUAAUAAAUUAAGAGUAUCUUAGAUAAUUGAACUUAAAAAAAAAAACUCGCUAAGAGGUUUAAAAUUUGAGUUUUAAUAGUGGAUACAAAAUAGUUUAUUUAAUUCUCAAAAGCUCUACUCAAAAUAGUUUAUUUAAUUCUCAAAAAAUAUUUUUUUCAUUGAGUAAAUAAUACUAAACAUGCACUAAAGUGUUAGGACCAGAAGUUGUACAAAAAAUGAUGGCUACAACUUAAAUUAUGAAUGGAGUAAUCGGAGAAUAUUGAAACCCGUUUAAUUUGGAUCGUGCAUUGAGGGACGAAAGGAUAAAAAAUUUAAUUUUGAAAUUGCUGUUGGGUACGGUACAAUGACUUACCGUUGACAGCUUUUGCAACCGGAUUACAAUCGGUUAGUUCAAUAAUUUUAUAUCCCCAUUUAACCGCCAUGUGCUGCUGUUACAUGGGUCAAUUAGUCAUGUCAUUACUGUUACUUACAGAUGCCGCAACAUAACCGGACCCUGGUUAAAUUCUGUUGUUUCCAAUAAUUUUAUGCUGUAUCUUCUUUAAUAAUAAAGAAAACUUGCAUUAAAAUUAAAAUUAGGGUAAUACCUGAUUUUAUAAAUAGAUUGCAAUGUAAUUUUGAAAAAUAAAACAAUAAUUUACAAAAUGUUUAUAACAUAAUUUUAAUUUUUUUCAAAAAGGAAAAACAACAAAAGUAAGAAAUAGAGAAUUAGGGCUACAAACUUUGUAUCUUAAACGGCCGUUAGAUUAUUUGUAAAUGAAAGCAACGGUCAGAUAUUGGUGGAUUAUGGAAACAUGUAAUCAUAAGGACUACGAGUUUUUUUUGUUACAUUGAUAUAUUACAAUCAAAAUUCUAUUGGUAUUUACAAUCAGAAUUUUAUUUGACUAUCUUUGAUAAUUCUAAACUAGUACAACCCAAAUUCUUAUUCUCAUAUAAUAUCAAAGAGAGAUAUAUAUUCUUCUCCUCUAUUAAUAAAGAGACAUUUUUACUUCCUUUUAAUAGUUAGGACUCAGAACUCAUACACGCUAGUUUGAGAGUGUGGGGUGUGACAAUGGGCCAAGAGACCAUUGACAAAUACAAAAGAGUGGUAGAAAUUAAUUCAAACCGCUACACACGCUAUUGCAACCAAAUUGAGGGCACAUUUUUGUUUAUUUAGUUGAAAAGUAGUCUGUAAAAUUAACUCAAACCGCUACAUACGCUAUUGCAACCCAAUUGAGGGCCCAUUUUGUUUAUUUUGUUGAAAAGUAGUUUGCGCAAUUAAUUCAAACCGCUACACACGCUAUUGCAUCUUUUGAAAAAGAAAAAUGGAAUAAUUUUUCAAAAUUAAUUUAGAGAAUAAGAUUUACUAAUAAUGAUGUUAGAAAUCUUGAUAUUUGAAUCUUAAUAUUAUCUAUCACUCAUUUAUUAAAUAAUAGAUUUCAUAGUUUGUAAAAUUACUUAACCACUUGAUAAAUGUUAUAUUUGUUGGGACUAGAUUGGGACUUAAAUAUUGGAAUAUCUAGUAUUGCAUAAAAAAAAACUUAACAAUUUAUCUUCACACGACUAAUUGUUUUUACAUCACAACUAACCUUAAUUAUUUUAAAAGUUAUAGUAUUAUUAAAUUGCCCUAACUAGUUAUCAAAAGGUGAAACCAUGUUUUAAAAAGAAAUUACUAAGAAACAUUUGUUUAAACGAAGGUUAAGGUUAUGAUCAAUUAAUUAAGAAGAAACUUACUAUCAAAGGUUAAGAUUAUGAACAAUUUAAGGAAGUUAUUGAGUAGAGAAAGGGACAGAAUGGUUGUCUGAUUUGUCGGUGACAAGAAUGCUUGUGUUGUGAAAAGAAAGCCGAUGGUUUGUAAAUUUGUUGAAUUUUUCGCUCGCUUCAAUGACUUGCUUAUGCCCAAUAUAUUACUUUGCACAGUAGUAUUUGGGAUCCUAACAAUCAACUCUUAAUUUGGUCCCAAUUAGUAUAGUAAUCAUCUAUUGAGCGGUAAAAUAUUAAUUCUAAUAGUCAUGAAAUCCAAUAUAUAAUAGAUUAAUAACACACAUAAAUUAAAACAUAACUGUCUGAAAUCAUAACAUUACUCUACUCUUCAGUGAAGUUCUCUUAAACUGAUUAUGUGAAAGCAAUAUUCGCUUUUUGAUUAUAUCCAUAACUUUGAAUUGAUAAAGUUGUAUUCAACAGCUCUUGAAAAGACUAAGCAGGUCUUCUUUGCAUUUGAUCACUGGCAUUUCAGUUAAGUUUGUCACUUACUUAAAAUUUUCUUGCUUUCAAUUUCCACUGUUAUUUUUUUUUAAUAAAAUAAUUUAUUUAAACUAGUCAUAGAAAUAAGAGAGAAAAGGGGUCAUUUCUUGACUCAAAGUCAAUUAUAAUUAUCAAAACUUGAGGGGACAUCGCAUGCCUAAAUUCCACGCACCCUAAAACGGUUUGAUUUGCUUUCACGCGUUCAUGAAUUUCCAUGAAAGAGCCUGCCUUUCGUCUCUUUCGGGACAAUGACUACAAUUAUGGAAAAAAUUAUAAUUCUCGUUAGAUUGUAACCAAAUUAUUAUCCCUAAUUUUUUUAAGUUAAAUAAAAUAAAAUUCAUGCCUAAGUAUUUAGUAAUUAGAGAGAGAUAGAGAGGAUUGAGGGCCAAUGUUUCACGAUUUGGGGUCAAUUCAAAGUCAACUAACGUGUAAAACACGUGUAUGCAUAGAAAACGCUUAGAUUAUUUGUGUUCCAAGUGCAAGAAAUUAAGAAAAGAAAAAUUGAUUUCCUUUCAUGAACUUCCAAGAAAGAAAGAAGACCCUUCACCUUCUUCGUUACAACAAAUGAAUGAAUGAUGUUGAUAUGACAAAUACAAGCGCUAUUACAGGGAACAGCAUAAGACUGAGACUUGAUAAAGUGUUUGUUAAAUUACAUGUUAUUUUCUUUUAACUUGAAUGAUGUUGAAAAUAAAAUAAAAUAAAAUUGUAAUCAGGGUGAUGUGUGGAAUAUAGUGAAAUAAAUAAAUAGAGAAGAGAAAUUUGUUGAUCAAUAUUAAAGACACAUCCAAAGUGAUCGUCAAAGUCUAGAGGUUCGGUAUGAUUAGCAUUUAUUUUAUUUUUUUUGGCUUAGCAUCAUAUAUAGUCACCUGUCGUGUGAUCUAGGACAGGUUUAGAAAUCCUUUUAUUUUAACUUCUGUAUUCUUAUUAUUUAAUUAGUUAUAGGGUUUUUAAGUAUUUGAGUAUUGAUCACAUGUCUCCUAAUCUAAAAAUAUGUUUUUACGAGUACAAAUAACAAACUAGGAUUUUAACAGCCUUUUAUACUAAACCCUAAAAAUACAUGAAUUUAUCAAAAUAAGUAAAUUAAUUUAAAUUGGUAUGGCAUAGUAGAAGUUUUACCUGCCGAAACAAAUUAAAAAAAUAUUACACUUAAAUCAAAUAUUGACAAAAAUAGAUAACAAUCUAAUGAGAAUCUUAACUAGACAUUUUUACUUCUAUCCAAUUUAACUGGAAUGAGAAUUAAGUCCUGUCAAUAGUUAGGACUCAUAACUCAUACACACUAAUUUGAGAGUGUGGGGUGUGACAAUGGGUCAAAAGACCAUUGACAAGUAUAAAAGAGUGGUCGUAAUUAAUUCAAACCGCUACACACGCUAUAUUGAGGGCCCACUUUUGUUUAUUUCGUUGAAAAGUAGUUUUCACAAUUAAUUCAAACUGCUACACAUGCUAUUGCGUUUUUUUUUUUUUUUUUUUGAAGGGAAGCAAUUUCAUUAAACCAAAACGAAUUACAGACUAUGUAAUAACCACAAAGGUGGAACGAAAUUCCACUCUUGGGGACCUGACAUAGAACCUACUGCCCUUGCAACAGAGUGAGCAGCCAGGUUCGCAGACCGACGUACAAACGAGAAUUGUACUUCUCUUAAAGACUUAGCUAAAGCUCGACAUUCAUCAACUAUUAAACCAAAACCGUUAGGCCCUGAAAACUCCUCAACUAGAGCUUGAAAUACUUGUAAACAAUCAGUUUCAACAAUGACACAAGGAAAUUGUAAGCCUUUAAGCCAACUAAGGGCCUCCCGAAUACCAAGAGCUUCAGCCUCCCUUGCUCCAAAAUUCCCAGCCAUUCCAGCACAUCUUGCUGUUAAGAAAACACCCUCUGAAUUUCGAAGCACACACCCAAAACCAAUAUUUCCCUGAGAUGAAAAGAUAGCAGCGUCAACAUUACAUUUGACCCAACCAAACUUUGGCCUCUCCCAACAUAUUGCCCCAUGGACCAGCUUAUGGACAUCAGUAUCAGCAUAGAAUUGUUGCUUCUUUGCUGCUUGCCACUGAUAGAGAAGUUGCCCAGCAGAAUUGAGCACUUGAUUCACUGAAUCAGUUUUGUUAUUCCAUACUUUGUCAUUCCGAUUAAUCCAAACUCUCCAGCAGAUCAUCAUGGCAACAUGGCAUUCUUCUUUGCUGCAGCGUGUAAAGAUGUGAUCAAGCCACUCUAAGAAAGAAUAACAAUGGCCAACAAAACCCACAGAGGAAGAAAUCCAGCAAGCCUUAGCAACAUUACACUCAACCAACGAAUGGAGAAUAGUUUCAUCAGAAGCAAGACACACAGCACAAGUAGGGGGGAUAUUCACCCUCUUAGAAAUUAAAUUAACUGCAGUAGGCAGCACAUUAGUUGCCGCUCGCCAAACAAAAUUCUUAACCUUAUUCGGCACAUUCAAGUUCCAUAGUUUUCGCCACACAUCUGUGAAAGGGUCAGGGGUAAGAGAAUGUAAAACCUUAUAACAGCUACGGACUGAAUAGCAUCCGCGAGAAUCAGCCAACCAAUACCACACAUCAUCAUUUCGGCGGGAACUAAGGGGAAUUUGAAGAAUCAACUCCUUGUCUCUUGCGUUGAAAAGAUCCGAAACAAGAUCAUAAUCCCAAGCUCGUUGAUUAGGCACCAGUAAACUACUAACAGGAGCUGCAGCAAGCUCGGCAUGGAGAUUAGAAGGAACAAAUCCAUUAUUAGUAUCAGGAAGCCACGGAUCCUUACCAAUGAAGAUCGAAUUUCCACAGCCAACUUGCAGUCUACUCCCUUGAAUUACCACAUCCUUUGCAGCCAAAAUAGAGCGCCACACAUAGCUAGGAUUAUGCCCCGCAGAAGCUUGAAGAACAGAGGUGCGCGGAUGGUAGCGAGCUUUAAUUAUCUUGGCCACAAGAGAUUCCGGACAAGUUAACAGCUUCCACAUUUGCUUUCCUAACAUCGCUAUAUUGAAUAAAUGAAGUUGUUUAAAACCAAGGCCACCAUAUCCUUUUGGUUUGCACAGAUUUUCCCAUUUGGACCAGUUUAAAAAAGAAAAAUGGAAUAGUUUUCCAAAAUUAAUUCAGAGAAGAAGAUUUACUAAUAAUGAUGUUAGAAAUCUUAAUAUUAUGUAUCACUCAUUUAUUAAAUAAUAGAUUUUAUAGUUUGUAAAUUUACUUAACCACUUGAUAAAUGUUAUAUUUGUUUGAAUUGAUCCAAUAGCUCUUGAAAAGCACAUAAUAAUCAUUAUAAAUUUAAUCAAAGACUAAGCAGGUCUUCUUUGCAUUUGAUCACUGGCAUUUCAGUUAAGUUUGUCAUUUAUUUAAAUUUUUCUUGCUUUCAAUUUCCACUGUUGUUUUUUUUAAUAAAAUAAUUUAUUUAAACUAGUCAUAGAAAUAAGAGAGAAAGGGCGCCAUUUCUUGACUCAAAGUCAAUUAUAAUUAUCAAAACUUGAGCGGACAUUGCAUGCCUAAAUUCCACGCACCCUAAAACGGUUUGAUUUGCCUUCACGCGUUCAUGAUUUUCCAUGAAAGAGAGUGCCUCUCGUCUCUUUCCGGACAGUGACUGCAAUUAUGUUAACGUGACGAAUACAAAACGUUAUUACAUACAAGAAUAAGUUUUUGGAGCCGAUACUUGAGGGAGGUUCUAUCUAAUUCUAAAGAUUGUAACCAAAUCAUUAUCCCUAAUUUUUUUAAGUUAAAUAAAAUAAAAUUCAUGCUUAAGUAUAAAUAAUUUUUUUAAGUUAAAUAUAAAAUAAAAUUCAUGAACUUCCUAGAAAGAAAGAAGACCCUUCACCUUCUUCGCGACAACAAAUGAUGUUGACAUGACAAAUACAAGCUCUAUUACAGGGAACAGCAUGAGACCGAGACUUGAUAAAUAUUAAAUAUAUAAAAUAAGUGGAGCAAACGAACAGAAUAAUAGAUAUUUUAUAAUAUUCUUCAUAAAAAUCCAUGUUUUGAGCCUGCCUAUAAGCUUAUCUAGUGAAGUCUGGGUAUCCGCGUUGCCCAAGGUUCCGUUUGAAUCCAGGCCGUGUAGAUGUUUAAGACAUCGCAUAUGGACGGAGUGGAAAUAUUUUCAGUUGACUGAAUUAAAUAAAAAUAUAUUACAAUCAUAUUAUAUAUUAGCAGCAAAAAUAAAAAGAAAUGAAGAAAAACGCAUGCAAGACUUAGACAAGUCAAUUAAAAGCUGGGAGUAUCAUCAGUUCAAUUGGUUAUAAAUAGCGUAGAGCCAUCCUCUCGUUGUUGCAGAACUGAAGCAAAGAGACUCAGAAAGAGUGUGUGUAGGUGAUUAUAAUUAAGAAGAUAUAAUGUGUGGUUCAAAAAGAGUGUGGGUGAGUGAGUUAAUUUUCAUAUUAUUAGUAGUAAAAGGGUGGUGGAGUGAGGGAUGUUUGGAGCAAGAGAGGUCUGCUCUCCUACAACUCAGACAUUUCUUCAAUGAUGAUCAACUUCUUCAAAACUGGGUAGACGAUGAGUAUUAUUCAGAUUGUUGUCAGUGGGAACGGGUUGAGUGCAACAACACCACUGGAAGAGUGAUUGAAUUACAACUACUAGAAACUCGAAAACAGGGAUCAGCAGAGUGGUAUAUGAAUGCCUCUCUGUUUACUCCAUUUCAACAAUUAGAGUCUCUUGAUUUAAUGGGGAACAAUAUAGCCGGUUGUGUUGAAAAUGAAGGUCCUUAAUUUACUCUAUUUUAAUUCUUCCUCGUAAUUUCUUACAUUUAUCUGAUCCCUUUUGAUUUUUGUUUAAUUUGUUCGUGAUACAAUAAAAUUACUUUUUAUUUUUUGUCAGGUCUAGAUAGGUUAUCAAGGUUGAACAACUUGAAGUUUCUUUACUUAAACCUUAACCACUUCAACAACAGCAUCUUUUCAUCCAUAGGUGGUCUUUCAUCACUCAGACGCUUAUCAUUGGCUAGUAAUGAAUUGAAUGGAAGUAUUGAUAUUAAAGGUAAGCAAGCUUCAUCCCUUCUCCCGUGUCCCAUCUUUUGUGGAUCUUAUUUUAUUGACCGGCUGGAAGUAUUGAUAUAAGAUCUGGCUAGACUCUUGCUAGUUUAAGCUUCAAGGAUUUAAAUAUUAUAAAAAUAGGUUUAAGAAAUUAUCAAUAUAUGCAAUUUUCAAUGCUUCUCAUAAUCAGACACAAUUCAAUCUAAUUAUUUUGUAUGUCCUGUCUUCAAAAGUAAAGAAUUGUACACUAAAUGGAAAUCGACAUCGUAGCUUUUUAUUUUUUCUAAUGCUCUUUUUUCGUUAACGAGUUUAUAUCCUAAGAGGGAUUGGAUUGAAAAAAAAAAAGUUUUGAUGUUCAAGGUAGGCCAUAAUAACCCGCAUCUUAUUUGUCUGCCUGUAUCUAAAUUUGUGCACUGAAUUUAGUAUUUUGGUUAUUGUGAAGGGAUCAGAUAUUGGCUUCCAUAGACCAACUUGUAUUUAGUUAAUUAAUUAAUUAACGACAUUUAAUAUUUAACAAAUUAAAAUUUCGUGUUUAAUCUAUUUUAAUUUUUUUAAGAAAAAAGAAAAAGAUAUAGCAAUAGGUAAAGCUAAAAUAAAUUUUAAUUCCUUACAAAUUUAAAUUCAUGGUUGUCAGCUAAAUAUACUUACUUAAAGCCACUCAGUCGAGCCCUUUGAGAGCUGCUUUAAAUUUUUAGCCAUAUUCUUUUCUUAUUAAUAAAAUUCUUUUCGCUGAGAUUUAACAUAAAAAAAGGAGAAAAUAAGUUAUUUAAUUAACUCUGUUUUAAGUGUUGGAAUAAAUACAGGACUGGAAUCCUUGAGUAACUUGGAGGAGCUGGGCAUGAGCGACAAUGCAAUCGACAAUCUAGUGGUUCCUAAAGGUAUACAAAAUGUUCAAAUAUUAAUAAUUUGGAGGACAGUUUAAUUGAUUUGAUUAGGGAAUGCCCAAUGACACUUACCCAAAAUAAUUUAAUCCGAAAUUGUAUCCCAAAUAGAUUACAGAGGUUUGAGGUAGUUGAAUACCUUUUAUUUGGGGAGGGGGGGGGGGGGGGGGGGGGGGGGGGGGAGGGAGGGAAAUUGCAGUGAUAUAUGGAAGCAAGGUGUUGCAAUAAAUAAAGAAAUUCGUUGGUCAAUAUUCAAGGACUCAUCCAAAGUAAUCGUUAAAGUCUAAAGCUCUGCUCUCCUCCAACUCAAACAUUUCUUCAAUGAUGAGAAUUAUUCAGAUUGUUGUCAGUGGGAAGGGGUUGAGUGCAACAACACCACUGGCAGAGUGAUUAAAUUAGAUCUAGGAGCCACUAGGAAUCGGGAAUCAGCAGAGUGGCAUAUGAAAGAUAACUAGAACUUGGAAUAACUUAAAUUAGCUAUAAAAUUAAGACCAUUAUACAACUAAAAAGAAAGAAAAAUUGUUUGCUACUACAUAUCAAAACUAGUAAUAGCAAUGAAAGAUGGCAGACUUCUUACUUAAACAGAUGAGAGGCUACAAAUAAAAAAUUUGUGCAAAUAAAUAUAUGAUAAAGAGCAUAAUACUUUCUUGGGGGCUAAAAAUAAUAUACAACUUGUGAAAUAUAAAUUGAGCUACCAUUACCUUUUAGAUGUGGCAACUUUCGACUUUUGAGGCACUUUGGAAUAUGCAUUCAGAAUCCUGCAUUUGGAAGCCAAAUAAAUAAUGUUAAUAACAAUUUUACAAUAGAAAAAUUAAAAAUUGAUAAAUGGCAGUUGUAAUUUAUGUAUGUGUAAAGAUAGCAUCACAUCCAGGGUCCUCCCAUAAACAUGCUUGUAACAAGAAUUAGUUUGCGUCAACUGCUAGCAACUAUACAAUAGUAAAAAUCACUCUUAUGAACUCAACAAUACUAGGCACCAAUAAGAGUAUGAUACAGCCAUUCUAAAUGGAAGAGAAUACAACUGUUUUACAACUAUGUUGCAUCAGGAGAUAUGUUAGGAGUUUUAAUCCAGAUACCUUCCAACCCAAUUAGGAAAACUCGAGUCAGAAACCAGGAGCUGCAACUGAACCUUACAAUCUUGAAGGAAGAAGGAGACUUGGGGCAUUUUUCUAGAUAGGUGACUUACUAGAUCUACUGCCAAGAAAAUAUCUAUUGCUUUGAACCUCCAUUGAAAUUUCUUUUCCCUUUUUCUUAUUUUGACUUGGAACUUUCCAGCAUCAUCUAUUUGAUCUUUUUUAAAGCUAAAAUAGCAAUCUACGGGUUGUCAACAUCUUAUCCCCCCCCCCCCCCGGGGGCCCCCAAAAAAAAAACAUCAAUGAGUUGUCAAUAAAUAGCGCCUACUCAACUUAUGUUCUCCAAUGGAUGACAAUGUGCAAAUCGACCUAGCAGCCACAUUUUCCCCCCCUUUCAACCACCAUUAGGCAACUUUUCUAACCUUUCUUCAUUGCCCACGUCUACAGAACUAUCAUAUAAAGACUACAAGAUAGACGCACGGUAUCUAAAUAAUUGUACCAACCCCCUCUCCUGAUUGUCAUAAAACGGCCAAUAUUUAACGCUCGACAACAAAAUUGCAAAUACUCUAGCCUCUAUAUUAUUGGCAUAUAAAUAUUUUCGGUUAGGUACAUUAUAUUCUUCGUUCUAAAACCUCAAUUAUUGGCUAGUACUGUGAUAAAAUGAUUCAUCACUGAAAAUAAAACUAGUUCACGUACAAAUAAUCAAAAACUGAAAUAGAAGCAACGAUAAACCAACCUGUAUUACGUCGAUUCAUCACAACAAACUGAAAUCGAGGCUGUGUGUUCCUGAAAAUUGAAAAAAUAAUAAUUUCACCAACUUCAUGUGUAAUACAAUCUCCAAAACACCAAAUAUCAAAUGAAAAAAUGGAAAGCAUAAGAUAGAAAAGAAUCUAAUUUUAUUGACCUUUUGACGACGACGAGAGAGCCUUCAACAUCCUUACGACUCCAUUGGCUGAGGUCGAUGUUGAACUCGUAGAAGGUGACAUGAGCGGCCGUGAUGAGGAUCUCCUCAAUGAAUGGAUCGAUUCGCUGAAGAACUGUCAGGUUUAGGAGUUUUGUGCUCUGCUGGUCCAGAUUAGGCAUCAAUUUUCCGUUAUGCGACAUUUUUCAUAGUCGUUUUGGGCUCUGCCCCGAGCACAAGCCCCAGGGUUUUUCUGUGAGCUCUCUCUUUUGUAAAUAAAGUGUUUGAUGAGAUAGCCGAGAGAGAGUGAAAGUGUUGAACAGCCAAACACGGUCUCGAGAUUGAUCUUGCUUUAACUUCUUUUAAACAUUUGGGAAAUAGCAUUUAUUUCUUUUAGUUUCUCUACUUUUUUUUUCCUUUAUGUCAUUUAGACCCCAAAAUUAGAUUUAUUAUAAUCCUAUUUUACCCAUACACUAUUAACCCCUUUUAUUUUUAAAAUUUGUCAAUAUUAAUGUGUUAGAAUAAUGUUAAAAAUCCCAAUUAUUAUCUCAAUGUUUCAAUCAUAACUAAUGUGAUAACUCAUUGGUAACUGCAACAUUAACUUAAUUAUUAAUGUAACACAAUAAAAGUUUCGUACAGAUUUUGAUAUUGAGAGUAACACAAUAAAAGUUUCAUACAGAUUUUGCAAACGAAAAGCACAUAAUACACUUAACUAGGAGGAAAAAUUAAGGUGUAUAUAUUACAAACUGCUAACAAUAUACAAUUGUAAAAAUCACUCACAAAUACUAGGCACCAAUAAGAGUAUGAUACAGCCAUUCUAAAUGAAAGAGAAUACAACUGUUUUACAACUAUGUCACAUCAAGAGAUAUGUUAGCAGGAUUAAUCCAGAUACCUUCGAACCCAAUUAACGAACUCGAGUCAGAAACCAGGGGCCCCCAACUAAACCUUACAAUCUUGAAGGAAGAAGGAGACUCGUGGUCCAGAUAGGUGACUUACUAGAUCUCCUGCAAAAGAGAAUAUCUAUUGCUUUGAACCUCCAUUGAAAUUUUUUUUUCCCUUUUUCUUGUUUUGACUUGGAACUUUCCAACAUCAUCUAUUUGAUCUUUUUUGAAGGUAAAAUAGCAAUCUAUAGGUUGCCAACAUGUUAUUCUGCCAAACCCCACCCCACCCCCCCGGGGGACAACAAAUCGACCUAGCACACACCUUUCUUCAUUGCCCACACCUACAGAACUAUAAUAAAAAGACUACGUUACUAUUGGGGUAGAGAAAAUAUACAGACUGUAUUAUUAUUACAUCGCAUUUUACUAAUUAACUAGUGCAAGACUUCUUUAGUGUCAAAUCAAGAACUAAUUAGAAAAGACAACUCAUGAUAAUACAGACCUUAAUAAGCAAUUGCUAACAACAUCCCAUAUACUCCUAUUUUAGCCUUCAUUAUCCUGGUAAAAACACAAAUAAGUCUUGCAAACGAACAUUUAUAAGUAAAUUCAACAUUAAUUAAGAUUAGGUAUCUACUGCACCUAAUAGCAUGGUCAACCAUCCAGUUCCUGUAGCCUUCCAUGUACCUAUGUUAGUUACAUUUUACAUAUUAAGCCACGAAAACGAAGAAUCACAGCCUGGUAAAGAAAGACAUUAAUUAAUAGUUUUUGUUUAAAAAGUUCUCCUUUAGAUCUUUCCUAUUCAAUGAAUCAAUGUAAUCUAAAGAGAAUUCUUCCAUUUCAAACAGUGUUAGAAGGUAUUUGCAAAGCCUAAAGAUAAUAUACAAGGACCAAGAUAUACACAGAUGGUUUCUUUAUGGAAUUAAAGAGCUUUAUAGAUGUUAAAACUGUUUCAAACAAUUUUUCUUGUUUGGUUUAACUAAGGAAAAGCUUGUGGAAGAUUAAAAAUGAUGUUUCCUAUUCUCUGUAGGAAACUUUUAGGAGAUUUUUUGGGCUUUUUUGAAAGGUUGAAUUGUCAAAAAUACCUUGAUGUUAUUGUUUGCUAAAAGAUGUUACGGACAUCUAAACAACCAACAACAUUUUGUUAAAAGCUCUACUAGUGUAGGAUCUACUUAAAGAAGCUAUACCAAACAGACUCUUAGACUGAAUAACUCGAUCUUAAGUUUGUAAAAUUGGGCUCAGAAUCUCCACUAACAACCCCGCUUCGGUGAGAAAGCCCAAGCCUGUUACUUUGUAUAACCUUAUUCUGUAUGUUUGAUUGCAGGAACUGGCCGAUCAUACCGACGAGGUGAGUGUGCAACAUGAGGUGCUUGACGGGAUGUUUACUUUCUAUGAUACAACUAAAGCUAGCCUCAACAUAUAUCAGGUGCCUGCUUGUUUUUACCUUCUAGAUACUAAUAUUGUUUAGACGUGUAAUCUCUCUCUCCAUUGAACGCUAGACGGCUCGUCUCAAGCCUUCUACGUACUUCAGAGUCCUUCACUAGCUUUUUAUGUAUAAAGUUUUGAUCUUUUUCCUUCAUUUGCUUGAAGCUCAUUACUGCAGAUUUUUUUUACAGGUUGGUAGUGUAACAUUCGACUUGCUGUUGCUUCUAGUCUUGGGAUCGUAUUUAAUUGUGCUUUUCAGCUUUCUUGUCAUAACAACUAGGGUAUCACUCUUUCUCCAUAUCAAGCUUGAAGUUCUAAAUUUCAGUUUUAUCUUUUAUUUGAUGUUUUAUAAUUUCAUUGCAAACAGAUUAGAAUAGAAACUUCAAAAGUUCCAACUGACUAGUCCCGUGUAACUUUUUCAGGGAAGAUUUUCUCUCAUAACAACUACGAACGUGUUAUGGUUUAGCCCAGUGACACAAAGGACAGUUUUCAACAAUUGAUCCUAGGAAGAUGCCCAUAGCUUGUUGUGCCAAAAAUAGAAAAUCUAAGAUGCGAAAAAAUUUUGUUGAGAUUCAUUUUUCAUCCUGAUGUUACCGCUGGCCUUUUUUUUUUUUUUUUUUGGCAGAGAAUAAUGCUUAUGUGAUUUCUGAACUUGGUGAUUGUUGAAAUGAGCUGAAAAUGAGCUGGAAAUGUGUUUGGUUAAUGAGAAAGAGAGCAAGAAAAUGAAAGAAAUCUAUUUCACUUUUUAUUUAUCAGCAUGAUUACAUUCACAAUGAAUCUAAGCUGCUAUUUAUACUUAAAUGACUACACACGAGAAUCUUCUUGCUAGAUACUUCUAGAAACUCUACACGCACACUCACACUGAGCUAGUGGUUACCAAAACCGUUACAACGAUAUUGCCAGCUCAGCAUAACCAACUUAUAACUAACACACUCAGCUGCAGGGGAAACCAUCAAGCUUACUGUGCGUCCUCUGUAAUCAAGCUUCUUUAAGCAUGCUCUGCAGAUCAUACGUCUGAAUUAUCGAAACAAGAUGAAUUAUUUUUUGUUUAUUGCAGCAGGCGAUCAAUGAGCGGAAUUUCUAGCUUGUAUUCAAUUCGCGAACACAGUUUGAGAAGAAUCAGACCAUUAAUUUUCUUUUGAGCCAAUCAACAGAAUGUACAUUUCUUCUAAGAACUUGUAACCGAAACCGCAGUUUUUCAGGUUUGAUGCAUCUGGGAAAAUUGUCAGAUGGAAUAAAACCACCAUGCGCCAAGGUACCAAUGAUGUUUCUUCCAGCUUAUGAGCACUUCAAAUAAACUUAGGUCAUAUUUACACAAGGGCGCACAUGAUAUCAAUCUAAUGGCAAUUAUAUCAUCUAAAAUCCAAAACCAAGAGUCUCCCAUUUUCCCGCCCUCUACUCUGUUCGUAUUAUCAUAACUUGAAGAUUGCAAGGCAGCCGCAAUCUCCCAGAUCUUUGCUCCUUCCUCAUAGCAGUUAGUCAAACGAUAAACAGAGAUAUCCCAUGUCAACAAGAAGGUAAUCAUAAAAGAACAACAGAAUUGUUGCAAUAUAUUCAUAUGAAAUGUAAAACAAUUUUGAGAAAAAAUAUUGGGAAGAUGAUUUUUUUUUUCAUAGAAGUUGCAAUCUUUACGUUAUAUGCUAGUUUGACUAUGCUAUAUAAGGAAGCUAUAUGAAAUUAGAAAAAUAAGCUAUACUAGGAAAGAAUAAAUAUAUGUACAGAAAAUGAGGCUAUAAUCCCUGACUUUCAACAAAUUUAAUAUCAAUUUUCUUCUGGAAGUUGUCUCAAAUGGGGUGCAUCAGUAUUGUAACAUACUGUGAGAUGCUUAAACUCAACAAUAUAAGCAUGGUAAAUUAGAGAAAAAUGAUGCAAUUUUACCUUCCCAUUCAUGUAUGCCAAGGCUUUUUGGGCUUCCUCUUCUGUACUGAAAGUCACAUACCCGUAACCUUUUGAUCUAUUCUUACCUUUAUCCAUUAUUAUUGUAGCUGCAAAAAGAAAAGAACCGGAUAUUACAAAAUAGUGAAAGGGAAGAGGGGUUGAGACUUAAAACAGAAAUAGACCAAACCCUCAGUGACUUGGCCAAAUUGUGAAAAAGCAUCAGCUAACAUCUCUUUAGUGGUCGAGAAAGAUACGCCUGCAAAGAAUGCCAGUUAAUUUUAUCAUAAUUAGAUGGUAAGAUUGCAAAUUCUGCAGCCAAAGGUGGUACGGAACUGAAUGAAGGAAAUCAAAUAUGAAUAUGUUUUCAAUCUUAAAAUAUUAAGAGUAGCAUAAGUAACUUGUGAAACAGUUAUAAGUUCAAGGGAAUUAGAUGAUGGCAUGGUUGAAUUUUAUAAAUAUUUGAUAUUUUGGACCGAACAGGGCAAACAGAUGGAUCCAGAUAAUCAAGAAAAACAUCAAUUCCAUGCAGCCAAAUUAGUGUGGGCAAUGCAAUUGAGCAACACUAUAAAAUUAUUCAAAGAAAUCUCUAGGUCAGUAUCCAAAUAUAUGGCUCCGUCCGUUCCACCACCACAACCAAAAAAAUCAGAUCCCCCCAUUUGGAUUCGAUUGAUUAAUUUGAGCAUAAAAAAUCGGGUUUUAAACUUCCCUAAGCAAAAUUUAUAUUCCACAGAAUCAGUUCCUUUAACAUGAUGCAUUACAUAAUAUUUUGUUUGCAAAAUAAAGAAGAAAGAUGACAUAAUAGAAACACUCACAGAGAGAGAAUACCUUUGACGAAAAGCUUAGAAGUGAAUCCUCUGUAAAAUACGAGUUGAGCUGCUGAAUUUUUCGAGUUUGAAUGAGAGACUGCGGCAAUUCUGAAAAUGUUUUUUUCUCAUUAGCGCCGCCAUUUUUGUAAUAGAGGGUAAAGAAAUAAGUAACAAAGUAAGAGGUGAGCAGAAGCGGCCCAAUUUAGUUAUAUGCCAUGCAUGCGAUCAAAAUUGAAUGGUUAAAUGGCAGCCACUAUGUUACAUCUUGUGUAAGUAACAAACCGCCUACAUGGAUCGUUGGAUUUGGGAAUAUGAAAUCCAAUGGAUAAUAUUGAAUUUAACGAAAAAUAGAUUACAGGUUGCAUUAGUCCAAGUUUAUUUCAAACAAACCAGCUGAUGAAAUAGCCGCUAAUCGAAUUUAAAAGGGAAAAAAAAUCAAAUUAUAGGUUAUAGAUCUUAUUUCCAUCUUAAAUCUAUGUCUUUCAUGGUGACUCAAUGUGUAUACUAAUUUAUAAUUUGGAUCUAUAUUAGAGGCUUAGAGCCAAUGCUUCCCUAAAUAACUAAGAAAAUUUUCUUUUCAUUGAUUAAAUAUUUAUUUCCAAUAUCUUGUAUAUGUAGGAUUUGAAAAGAGGGAAAAUAGUAGGGAUGAUGAUGAGAGAAGAUAAAGAUGUCGAUUCUCAAAUCUAAUAUUAAUGCUAUACUUAUAUUCCUAUAGUAAAUAAAUUAUCCAAGGUUCGUGGUUAAUGAUACGUUGCGAAAUUUUAACUGUCUAAUAUGGCUUUUCAUAAAGCUUAGAGAAAAGUAGGGCUUUUACAAAAAAAAAAAUUUAAUUAGAAUUGUCAAUGAUAAAUUUUAAAAAGUACUUUAAUAAAUAAGCUUUUAAAAUUAUAUAUAUUAUGAAAGAAAUGAAAUAAGAUUAUAUAAUAAAUUAAGAGUAUCUUAGAUAAUUGAACUUUAAAAAUAAAACUUGCUAAGAGGUUUAAAAUUUGAGUUUUUAAUAGUGGAUACAAAAUAGUUUAUUUAAUUCUCAAAAGUACUAUUCAAAAUACAACCAUGUAACACAAAAAUUUUUAAUAAGUUUUUUGGACUAGUUAAGUACUUUUUUUGAAAAAAAAUAUAUUUUUUUCAUUGAGUAAAUAAUACUAAACAUGCACUAAAGUGUUAGGACCAGAAGUUGUACAAAUAAAACCAUGAAAUUAUAUGUUGUUGGAUGGAUAUUUUUCAAAUUUGCUGUAGUUUUUUUUUUUUAAUUUUCUGCUGGGAAAUUGAAAUGAUGGCUACAACUUAAAUUAUGAAUGGAGUAAUCGGAGAAUAUUGAAACCCAUUUAAUUUGGAUCGUGCAUUGAGGGACGAAAGGAUAAAAAAUUUAAUUUUGAAAUUGCUGUUGGGUACGGUACAAUGACUUACCGUUGACAGCUUUUGCAACCGGAUUACAAUCGGUUAGUUCAAUAAUUUUAUAUCCCUAUUUAACCGCCACGUGCUGCUGUUACAUGGGUCAAUUAAUCAUGUCUUUACCGAUACUUACAACUGCUGGUUAAAUUCUGUUGUUUCCAAUAAUUUUAUGCUGUAUCUUCUUUAAUAAUAAAGAAAACUUGCAUUAAAAUUAAAAUUAGGGUAAUACCUGAUUUUAUAAAUAGAUUGCAAUGUAAUUUUGAAAAAUAAAACAAUAAUUUACAAAAUGUUUAUAACAUAAUUUUAAUUUUUUUCAAAAAGGAAAAACAACAAAAGUAAGAAAUAGAGAAUAAGGGCUACCAACUUUGUAUCUUAAACGGCCGUUAAAUUAUUUGUAAAUGAAAGCAACGGUCAGAUAUUGGUGGAUUAUGGAAACAUGUAAUCAUAAGGACUACGAGUUUUUUUUGUUACAUUGAUAUAUUACAAUUAAAAUUCUAUUGGUAUUUACAACUAGAAUUUCAUCUGACUAUCUUUGAUAAUUCUAAACUAGUACAGCCCAAAUUCUUAUUCUCAUAUAAUAUCAAAGAUAGAUAUAUAUUCUUUUCCUCCAUUAAUAACGAGACAUUUUUACUUCUAUCCAAUUUAAAUAGAACAAGAAUUAAGUCAUUUUAAUAGUUAGGACUCAGAACUCAUACACACUAGUUUGAGAGUGUGGGGUGUGACAAUGGGCCAAGAGACCAUUGACAAGUACAAAAGAGUGGUAGAAAUUAAUUCAAACCGCUACACACGCUAUUGCAACCAAAUUGAGGGCCCAUUUUUGUUUAUUUCGUUGAAAAGUAGUCUGUAAAAUUAACUCAAACCGCUACAUACGCUAUUGCAACCCAAUUGAGGGCCCAUUUUUGUUUAUUUUGUUGAAAAGCAGUUUGCGCAAUUAAUUCAAACUGCUACACACGCUAUUGCAUCUUUUGAAAAAGAAAAAUGGAAUAGUUUUUCAAAAUUAGUUUAGAGAAUAAGAUUUACUAAUAAUGAUGUUAGAAAUCUUAAUAUUUGAAUCUUAAUAUUAUCUAUCACUCGUUUAUUAAAUAAUAGAUUUCAUAGUUUGUAAAAUUACUUAACCACUUGAUAAAUGUUAUAUUUGUUGGGACUAGAUUGGGACUUAAAUAUUGGAAUAUCUAGUAUUGCAUAAAAAAAAAAAAACUUAACAAUUUAUCUUCACACGACUAAUUGUUUUUACAUCACAACUAACCUUAAUUAUUUUAAAAGUUAUAGUAUUAUUAAAUUGCCCUAACUAGUUAUCAAAAGGUGAAAGCAUGUUUAAAAAAGAAAUUACUAAGAAACAUUUGUUUAAACGAAGGUUAAGGUUAUGAUCAAUUAAUUAAGAAGAAACUUACUAUCAAAGGUUAAGAUUAUGAACAAUUUAAGGAAGUUAUUGAGUAGAGAAAGGGACAGAAUGGUUGUCUGAUUUGUCGGUGACAAGAAUGCUUGUGUUGUGAAAAGAAAGCCGAUGGUUUGUAAAUUUGUUGAAUUGGUCCCAAUUAGUAUAGUAACCAUCUAUUGAGCGGUAAAAUAUUAAUUUAAAUAGUCAUGAAAUCUAAUAUAUAAUAGAUUACUAACACACAUAAAUUAAAACUUAAUUGUCAGAAAUCAUAACAUUAUUCUAAGCUUCAGUGGAGUUCUCUUAACAGAUUAUGUGAGAUUGCCUAUAUUAAAAAUAUGUUGAGACUGCUUGUUGAAAGCAAUAUUCGCUUUUCCAUUAUAUCCAUAACUUUGAAUUGAUAAAGUUGUAUUCAGCAGCUCUUGAAAAGACUAAUUUAUUUUAACUAGUCAUAGAAAUAAGAGAGAAAAGGGGCUAUUUCUUGACUCAAAGUCAAUUAUAAUUAUCAAAACUUGAGGGGACAUCGCAUGCCUAAAUUCCACGCACCCUAAUACGGUUUGAUUUGCUUUCACGCGUUCAUGAAUUUCCAUGAAAGAGCCUGCCUUUCGUCUCUUUCGGGACAGUGACUACAAUAAUGGAAAAAAUUAUAAUUCUCGUUAGAUUGUAACCAAAUUAUUAUCCCUAAUUUUUUUAAGUUACAUAUAAUAAAAUUCAUGCUUAAGUAUUUAGUAAUUAGAGAGAGAUAGAGAGGAUUGAGGGCCAAUGUUUCGCGAUUUGGGGUCAAUUCAAAGUCAACUAACGUGAAAAACACGUGUAUGCAUAGAAAACGCUUAGAUUAUUUGUGUUCCAAGUGCAAGAAAUUAAGAAAAGAAAAAUUGAUUUCCUUUCAUGAACUUCCAAGAAAGAAAGAAGACCCUUCACCUUCUUCGUUACAACAAAUGAAUGAAUGAUGUUGAUAUGACAAAUACAAGCGCUAUUACAGGGAACAACAUAAGACUGAGACUUGAUAAAGUGUUUGUUAAAUUACAUGUUAUUUUCUUUUAACUUGAAUGAUGUUGAAAAUAAAAUAAAAUAAAAUUGUAAUCAGGGUGAUGUGUGGAAUAUAGUGAAAUAAAUAAAUAGAGAAGAGAAAUUUGUUGAUCAAUAUUAAAGACACAUCCAAAGUGAUCGUCAAAGUCUAGAGGUUCGGUAUGAUUAGCAUUUAUUUUAUUUUUUUUGGCUUAGCAUCAUAUAUAGUCACCUGUCGUGUGAUCUAGGACAGGUUUAGAAAUCCUUUUAUUUUAACUUCUGUAUUCUUAUUAUUUAAUUAGUUAUAGGGUUUUUAAGUAUUUGAGUAUUGAUCACAUGUCUCCUAAUCUAAAAAUAUGUUUUUACGAGUACAAAUAACAAACUAGGAUUUUAACAGCCUUUUAUACUAAACCCUAAAAAUACAUGAAUUUAUCAAAAUAAGUAAAUUAAUUUAAAUUAGUAUGGCAUAGUAGAAGUUUUACCUGCCGAAACAAAUUAAAAAAAUAUUACACUUAAAUCAAAUAUUGACAAAAAUAGAUAACAAUCUAAUGAGAAUCUUAACUAGACAUUUUUACUUCUAUCCAAUUUAACUGGAAUGAGAAUUAAGUCAUGUCAAUAGUUAGGACUCAUAACUCAUACACACUAAUUUGAGAGUGUGGGGUGUGACAAUGGGUCAAAAGACCAUUGACAAGUAUAAAAGAGUGGUCGUAAUUAAUUCAAACCGCUACACACGCUAUAUUGAGGGCCCACUUUUGUUUAUUUCGUUGAAAAGUAGUUUUCACAAUUAAUUCAAACUGCUACACAUGCUAUUGCGUUUUUUUUUUUUUUUUUUUUUUUGAAGGGAAGCAAUUUCAUUAAACCAAAACGAAUUACAGACUAUGUAAUAACCACAAAGGUGGAACGAAAUUCCACUCUUGGGGACCUGACAUAGAACCUACUGCCCUUGCAACAGAGUGAGCAGCCAGGUUCGUAGACCGACGUACAAACGAGAAUUGUACUUCUCCUAAAGACUUAGCUAAAGCUCGACAUUCAUCAACUAUUAAACCAAAACCGUUAGGCCCUGAAAACUCCUCAACUAGAGCUUGAAAUACUUGUAAACAAUCAGUUUCAACAAUGACACAAGGAAAUUGUAAGCCUUUAAGCCAACUAAGGGCCUCCCGAAUACCAAGAGCUUCAGCCUCCCUUGCUCCAAAAUUCCCAGCCAUUCCAGCACAUCUUGCUGUUAAGAAAACACCCUCUGAAUUUCGAAGCACACACCCAAAACCAAUAUUUCCCUGAGAUGAAAAGAUAGCAGCGUCAACAUUACGUUUGACCCAACCAAACUUUGGCCUCUCCCAACAUAUUGCCCCAUGGACCAGCUUAUGGACAUCAGUAUCAGCAUAGAAUUGUUGCUUCUUUGCUGCUUGCCACUGAUAGAGAAGUUGCCCAGCAGAAUUGAGCACUUGAUUCACUGAACCAGUUUUGUUAUUCCAUACUUUGUCAUUCCGAUUAAUCCAAACUCUCCAGCAGAUCAUCAUGGCAACAUGGCAUUCUUCUUUGCUGCAGCGUGUAAAGAUGUGAUCAAGCCACUCUAAGAAAGAAUAACAAUGGCCAACAAAACCCACAGAGGAAGAAAUCCAGCAAGCCUUAGCAACAUUACACUCAACCAACGAAUGGAGAAUAGUUUCAUCAGAAGCAAGACACACAGCACAAGUAGGGGGGAUAUUCACCCUCUUAGAAAUUAAAUUAACUGCAGUAGGCAGCACAUUAGUUGCCGCUCGCCAAACAAAAUUCUUAACCUUAUUCGGCACAUUCAAGUUCCAUAGUUUUCGCCACACAUCUGUGAAAGGGCCAGGGGUAAGAGAAUGUAAAACGUUAUAACAGCUACGGACUGAAUAGCAUCCGCGAGAAUCAGCCAACCAAUACCACACAUCAUCAUUUCGGCGGGAACUAAGGGGAAUUUGAAGAAUCAACUCCUUGUCUCUUGCGUUGAAAAGAUCCAAAACAAGAUCAUAAUCCCAAGCUCGUUGAUUAGGCACCAGUAAACUACUAACAGGAGCUGCAGCAAGCUCGGCAUGGAGAUUAGAAGGAACAAAUCCAUUAUUAGUAUCAGGAAGCCACGGAUCCUUACCAAUGAAGAUCGAAUUUCCACAGCCAACUUGCAGUCUACUCCCUUGAAUUACCACAUCCUUUGCAGCCAAAAUAGAGCGCCACAUAUAGCUAGGAUUAUGCCCCGCAGAAGCUUGAAGAACAGAGGUGCGCGGAUGGUAGCGAGCUUUAAUUAUCUUGGCCACAAGAGAUUCCGGACAAGUUAACAGCUUCCACAUUUCCUUUCCUAACAUCGCUAUAUUGAAUAAAUGAAGUUGUUUAAAACCAAGGCCACCAUAUCCUUUUGGUUUGCACAGAUUUUCCCAUUUGGACCAGUUUAAAAAAGAAAAAUGGAAUAGUUUUCCAAAAUUAAUUCAGAGAAGAAGAUUUACUAAUAAUGAUGUUAGAAAUCUUAAUAUUAUGUAUCACUCAUUUAUUAAAUAAUAGAUUUCAUAGUUUGUAAAUUUACUUAACCACUUGAUAAAUGUUAUAUUUGUUUGAAUUGAUCCAAUAGCUCUUGAAAAGCACAUAAUAAUCAUUAUAAAUUUAAUCAAAGACUAAGCAGGUCUUCUUUGCAUUUGAUCACUGGCAUUUCAGUUAAGUUUGUCAUUUAUUUAAAUUUUUCUUGCUUUCAAUUUCCACUGUUGUUUUUUUUAAUAAAAUAAUUUAUUUAAACUAGUCAUAGAAAUAAGAGAGAAAGGGCGCCAUUUCUUGACUCAAAGUCAAUUAUAAUUAUCAAAACUUGAGCGGACAUUGCAUGCCUAAAUUCCACGCACCCUAAAACGGUUUGAUUUGCUUUCACGCGUUCAUGAUUUUGCAUGAAAGAGAGUGCCUCUCGUCUCUUUCCGGACAGUGACUGCAAUUAUGUUAACGUGACGAAUACAAAACGUUAUUACAUACAAGAAUAAGUUUUUGGAGCCGAUACUUGAGGGAGGUUCUAUCUAAUUCUAAAGAUUGUAACCAAAUCAUUAUCCCUAAUUUUUUUAAGUUAAAUAAAAUAAAAUUCAUGCUUAAGUAUAAAUAAUUUUUUUAAGUUAAAUAUAAAAUAAAAUUCAUGAACUUCCUAGAAAGAAAGAAGACCCUUCACCUUCUUCGCGACAACAAAUGAUGUUGACAUGACAAAUACAAGCUCUAUUACAGGGAACAGCAUGAGACCGAGACUUGAUAAAUAUUAAAUAUAUAAAAUAAGUGGAGCAAACGAACAGAAUAAUAGAUUUUUAUAAUAUUCUUCAUAAAAAUCCAAGUUUUGAGCUGGCCUAUAAGCUUAUCUAGUGAAGUCUGGGUAUCCGCGUUGCCCAAGGUUCCGUUUGAAUCCAGGCCGUGUAGAUGUUUAAGACAUCGCAUAUGGACGGAGUGGAAAUAUUUUCAGUUGACUGAAUUAAAUAAAAAUAUAUUACAAUCAUAUUAUAUAUUAGCAGCAAAAAUAAAAAGAAAUGAAGAAAAACGCAUGCAAGACUUAGACAAGUCAAUUAAAAGCUGGGAGUAUCAUCAGUUCAAUUGAUUAUAAAUAGCGUAGAGCCAUCCUCUCGUUGUUGCAGAACUGAAGCAAAGAGACUCAGAAAGAGUGUGUGUAGGUGAUUAUAAUUAAGAAGAUAUAAUGUGUGGUUCAAAAAGAGUGUGGGUGAGUGAGUUAAUUUUCAUAUUAUUAGUAGUAAAAGGGUGGUGGAGUGAGGGAUGUUUGGAGCAAGAGAGGUCUGCUCUCCUACAACUCAGACAUUUCUUCAAUGAUGAUCAACUUCUUCAAAACUGGGUAGACGAUGAGUAUUAUUCAGAUUGUUGUCAGUGGGAACGGGUUGAGUGCAACGACACCACUGGAAGAGUGAUUGAAUUACAACUACUAGAAACUCGAAAACAGGGAUCAGCAGAGUGGUAUAUGAAUGCCUCUCUGUUUACUCCAUUUCAACAAUUAGAGUCUCUUGAUUUAAUGGGGAACAAUAUAGCCGGUUGUGUUGAAAAUGAAGGUCCUUAAUUUACUCUAUUUUAAUUCUUCCUCGUAAUUUCUUACAUUUAUCUGAUCCCUUUUGAUUUUUGUUUAAUUUAUUCGUGAUACAAUAAAAUUACUUUUUAUUUUUUGUCAGGUCUAGAUAGGUUAUCAAGGUUGAACAACUUGAAGUUUCUUUACUUAAACCUUAACCACUUCAACAACAGCAUCUUUUCAUCCAUAGGUGGUCUUUCAUCACUCAGACGCUUAUCAUUGGCUAGUAAUGAAUUGAAUGGAAGUAUUGAUAUUAAAGGUAAGCAAGCUUCAUCCCUUCUCCCGUGUCCCAUCUUUUGUGGAUCUUAUUUUAUUGACCGGCUGGAAGUAUUGAUAUAAGAUCUGGCUAGACUCUUGCUAGUUUAAGCUUCAAGGAUUUAAAUAUUAUAAAAAUAGGUUUAAGAAAUUAUCAAUAUAUGCAAUUUUCAAUGCUUCUCAUAAUCAGACACAAUUCAAUCUAAUUAUUUUGUAUGUCCUGUCUUCAAAAGUAAAGAAUUGUACACUAAAUGGAAAUCGACAUCGUAGCUUUUUAUUUUUUCUAAUGCUCUUUUUUCGUUAACGAGUUUAUAUCCUAAGAGGGAUUGGAUUGAAAAAAAAAAAAGUUUUGAUGUUCAAGGUAGGCCAUAAUAACCCGCAUCUUAUUUGUCUGCCUGUAUCUAAAUUUGUGCACUGAAUUUAGUAUUUUGGUUAUUGUGAAGGGAUCAGAUAUUGGCUUCCAUAGACCAACUUGUAUUUAGUUAAUUAAUUAAUUAACGACAUUUAAUAUUUAACAAAUUAAAAUUUCGUGUUUAAUCUAUUUUAAUUUUUUUAAGAAAAAAGAAAAAGAUAUAGCAAUAGGUAAAGCUAAAAUAAAUUUUAAUUCCUUACAAAUUUAAAUUCAUGGUUGUCAGCUAAAUAUACUUACUUAAAGCCACUCAGUCGAGCCCUUUGAGAGCUGCUUUAAAUUUUUAGCCAUAUUCUUUUCUUAUUAAUAAAAUUCUUUUCGCUGAGAUUUAACAUAAAAAAAGGAGAAAAUAAGUUAUUUAAUUAACUCUGUUUUAAGUGUUGGAAUAAAUACAGGACUGGAAUCCUUGAGUAACUUGGAGGAGCUGGGCAUGAGCGACAAUGCAAUCGACAAUCUAGUGGUUCCUAAAGGUAUACAAAAUGUUCAAAUAUUAAUAAUUUGGAGGACAGUUUAAUUGAUUUGAUUAGGGAAUGCCCAAUGACACUUACCCAAAAUAAUUUAAUCCGAAAUUGUAUCCCAAAUAGAUUACAGAGGUUUGAGGUAGUUGAAUACCUUUUAUUUGGGGAGGGGGGGGGGGGGGAGGGAGGGAAAUUGCAGUGAUAUAUGGAAGCAAGGUGUUGCAAUAAAUAAAGAAAUUCGUUGGUCAAUAUUCAAGGACUCAUCCAAAGUAAUCGUUAAAGUCUAAAGGUCUGCUCUCCUCCAACUCAAACAUUUCUUCAAUGAUGAGAAUUAUUCAGAUUGUUGUCAGUGGGAAGGGGUUGAGUGCAACAACACCACUGGCAGAGUGAUUAAAUUAGAUCUAGGAGCCACUAGAAAUCGGGAAUCAGCAGAGUGGCAUAUGAAUGCUUCUCUGUUUUCUCCAUUUCAACAAUUAGAAUCUCUUGAUUUAACUGGGAACAAUAUAGCCGUUUGUGUUGAAAAUGAAGGUCCUCAAUUUACUCUACUCUAAUUCUCCCUCGUAAUUUCUAGCAUUUAUCUGAUCCCUUUUAGCUUGUGUUUAAUUUGUACGUGAUACAAUAAAAUUAGGUUUUAUUUUUUAUUUUUUAUUUUUUGGCAGGUCUAGAUAAGUUAUCAAGGUUGAACAACUUGAAGUCUCUUUAUUUAGACUUUAACCACUUCAACAACAGCAUCUUUUCAUCUCUAGGUGAUCUUUCAUCACUCAAACACUUUUCAUUGGCUGGUAAUGAAUUGAAUGGAAGUAUUGAUAUUGAAGGUGAGUAAGCUUCAUCCCUUCUCCCGUGUCCCAUCUUUUGUGGAUCUUAUUUCAUUGAGCAGCUGGAGGUACUGAUGUUAGAUCUAGCUAGACUCUUGCUAGUUUAGGCUUCAAGGCUUCGAUUACUAUAAAAAUAGGUGUAAGAAAUCAUCAAUACAUGCAAUUUUCAGUGCUUCUCAAAAUCAGACACAGUUUAGUCUAAUUAUUUUGUAUGUCCCGUCUUUAAAAGUAAAGAAUUGUAUUGUAAUUGGAAAUCGACAACGUAGCUUUUCAUUUUCUGUAAUGCUCUUUCUUCGUUAACAAGUUUAUAUCUUAAGAGAGAUUGGAUUCGGAAAAAGUUUUCACGCUCAAGGUAAGCCAUAAUAACUUCUUUCUUCGUUAACAAGUUCAUUAGUUCAAUUGGCAACUGUUUUUUAAGUUUUUCUGGUUAGCCGUAUACUUUUUUGCUUAUUAAUAAAAUUCUUUUGCGCCGAGAUUUAAAAAUAAAGGAGGAGAAAAUAAGUUAUUUAAUUAACCUUGUUUUAAGUGUUGGCAUAAAUACAGGACUGGAUUCCUUGAGUAACUUGGAGGUGCUGGACAUGAGCUUCAAUGCAAUCGACAAUCUUGUGGUUCCUAAAGGUAUACAAAAUGUUCAAAUAUUAAUAAUUUGGAGGACAAUUUAAUAGAUUUGAUUAGGGAAUGCCCAAUGACACUUAUCCAAAAUAAUUUAAUCCGAAAUUGUAUCCCAAAUAGAUUACAGAGGCUUGAGGAAGUUGAAUACCCUUGUCUUAGGGGGAACGGAAAUUGCAAUGAUAGAUGGAAGUAAGGCGUUGCAAUCAAUAGGAUCACUACUGUCCCUCAAAACACUUUACCUUUUGUAUACUAAUUUUACAGGAACAGUAGUUAAUCAAGGUAAGUAAAUCUUUUAUGUCGAAAAUAAUUGAAUUAAUAUAUAUAGCUAAAAUUUAUUGUUUCUAUUUCUUUCUAAAUAGAAUUACACAAUUUCACCAACUUGGAAGAAUUGAUAUUGGUCGAGUCUGAUCUCCAUGUAAGCCAGCUUCUGCAAAGCAUCGCAUCAUUCACUUCGUUAAAGUAUUUGUCAAUGCAAGUUAGUGUACUCAAGGGUGCCCUGCAUGGUCAAGGUAAAUUACGGGUAUCUGAAGCUUUUGUGAUAUUAAUUCGAUAAUGAUUCUUUCUUUUCAAGUUUAUUUUCUCCCGUAAAAUAAUAUUUUUUUCUUUUAAAUUUUAUAUACUUUCACUGUCCAAUAGUUCUACCUUCUCUAAAUUGUAGGAUUCUUGAUUAAGGUUAAUGAAUUUUUAGUUCUGUUAUGUUAAGAAUAUUUCGAUCGCUUAGAAGAGUAAGGAAAAAUAAGUAAAUUAACCCAAAAAAGAGAAAAGAACAGGACCGGAUUAUCCUUAUUCCCUUGCAUUAUGUGAUCAAUAUCAAAAUUAUAACCAUUUCUUGUUUAUUGCUUGUAGAUUUUCAUAAAUUCAAGAAUUUGGAACAUCUGGACAUGGAUUGGGUGCAGGUUAACGUCAACACCAGUUUUUUUCAAAUUGUCGGCGAAUCGAUGCCUUCUCUCAAGUUUUUAUCACUGGCAAAUUCAAGUCUUAAUAAAAACACCAUUCUUGAUCAAGGUUAAUUAAUGAUUCUCCUUCUCCCUCUCUCGCAUCAUAACUAAAUUUAAUUGAGAAUAUCUAUAAUGCUAGCUAUUUAUAAACUUAAUGAAAGUUGAUGAGGAGCCAUAUUAAUGACAAAAACAACUGUAAAAUAGUGCGCUGUUGUAGCGUUGAUUGAAAAAUAAUGCUAAUGUUUUACUUAACAACACUAUAAGUGAUCAAACUUAAUUUUUAAUGUGUACUUUAAAGAUUUUAUGCAAUUAUUUAAGUUUUAUGCAAUUAUAUUUUUCAGGACUUUGUCGGUUAGUGCAUCUGCAAGAGUUAUACAUCAGCGGUAAUGAUUUGAGAGGUAGCUUGCCAUGGUGCUUGGCAAACAUGACAUCCCUCCAAGUGUUAGAUGCCUCUUCUAAUCAACUUACUGGAAACUUUUCCCCAGGCCUUUGUGAGUUGGUGCUUCUGAGAGAGUUAUACAUUCACAACAAUGAUUUAAGAGGUAGCUUGCCUUUGUGCUUGGCAAAUUUGACUUCCCUUCGAGUAUUAGAUGUCUCUUACAAUCAACUUACUGAAAACAUCUCAUCUUCCCUCAUGCAUCUAAUAUCUAUGGAAAAGCUCAUACUUUCAAAUAAUCACUUCUUCCAAAUCCCUAUUUCACUUAAACCACUUUUCAAUCUCUCAAAACUCAAGACUUUCGAGGGUGAAAUAUGCGCAGAAACUGAGUCACAUUAUAAUUCUUUGACCCCAAAAUUCCAAUUGACUUCUAUCUCACUGUCUGGUUACAUAGAUGGUGGCACAUUUCCCAAAUUCUUGUACCAUCAGCAUGACUUGAAGAAUGCUGAUCUCUCACACCUUAACUUGAGUGGAAAUUUUCCAAAUUGGUUGGUAGAUAACAAUACGAACUUAGAGACGCUUCUUCUUGCCAACAACUCUCUUUUUGGAUCAUUUCGGAUGCCAAUUCAUUCCCACCAAAAAUUGGCAAAAUUGGAUGUCUCCAACAAUUUCUUUCAAGGCCAUAUUCCGGUGGAAAUCGAAACAUAUCUGCCAGUCUUAAUGGGUUUAAACUUAUCUAGAAAUGCUUUCAACGGUAGUAUUCCCUCUUCAUUUGCUGAUAUGAAAAUGUUGGAAAGGUUGGACAUAUCCUACAAUCAGUUGACUGGUGAAAUCCCUGAGCGCAUGGCCACGGGUUGCUUCUCAUUGGAAAUUCUUGCAUUGUCAAACAACAGUUUGCAAGGUCAUAUAUUCUCUAAAAAAUUUAACUUGACAAAUUUAUUAAGGUUGCAGUUGGAUGGUAAUAAUUUCAUUGGAGAGAUCCCAGAAAGCUUAUCUAAGUGCCGUUUGUUAGGAGGAUUAUAUCUGAGUGAUAAUCAUCUCACUGGUGAGAUUCCAAGAUGGUUGGGUAAUUUGUCAUUUUUACAAGAUAUUAUAAUGCCCAAUAACAAUCUUGAAGGGCCAAUUCCAAUCGAGUUUUGUCAGCUUGAUUCUCUGAAGAUUUUAGACCUUUCAAACAAUAGUAUUUUUGGAACUUUACCAUCUUGUUUUAGUCCAGCAUCUAUCGAACAAGUUCAUUUGUCGAAAAACAAGAUAGAAGGACGGUUGGAAAGUAUAAUCCAUGACAGCCCCAAUUUGGUGACAUUAGAUCUCAGUUAUAACCGCUUACACGGAAGUAUUCCAAAUCGGAUUGACAGACUACCUCUGUUAAGCUACCUUCUUUUAGCUAAUAAUUAUAUUGAAGGCAAAAUACCAGUUCAAUUAUGCCAGUUGAAGGAAGUGCGGUUGAUUGAUCUUUCUCAUAAUAAUCUAUCUGGUCAUAUUCCUCCUUGCUUGGUUAACACUUCACUCAGUGAAGGUCAUCAUGAGGCAAUAGCUCCAACUUCUAGUUCGCGGGAUCAAGCGUCUGCCUCUGUACUUCCAUCUGAGGCUCCAAAUGGAUCUCCGAUGGGAAAGGAAGAAACUGUACAGUUCACAACAAAGAAUAUGUCCUACUAUUAUCAAGGAAGAAUUUUGACGAGUAUGUCUGGGAUUGAUCUUUCUUGUAACAAACUGAUAGGUGAGAUUCCUCCUCAAAUUGGAUAUCUUACAAGGAUUCAUGCGCUAAAUCUAUCUCAUAACAAUUUGACGGGCACAAUCCCGACAACAUUUUCAAACCUGAAGCAAAUCGAAAGCUUGGACCUCUCCUACAACCUAUUGCAUGGGAAAAUCCCUUCUCAGCUCACUGUGCUAACUACAUUGGCGGCCUUCAGAGUAGCAUACAAUAACUUAUCAGGCAAAAUUCCGGAUAGAGUUGCACAAUUUUCAACUUUCGAGGAAGAUAGCUAUGAGGGGAAUCCUUUUCUUUGUGGAUGGCCACUGUCUAAAAGUUGCGAUGAUAAUGGAUUAACAACAGUGACAACAGAAGCUUACACUGAAAAUGAAGAAGUUGAUAGUUUAAUUGACAUGGACAGUUUCCUGAUCACUUUUACAGUAUCUUAUGGAAUUGUGAUAUUAGGAAUUAUUGGAGUUUUGUACGUAAACCCCUAUUGGCGGCGAAGUUGGUUUUACCUUGUUGAAGUAUGUAUGACCUCUUGCUACUAUUUUGCAGCAGACAAUCUUGUUCCUAGAAAAUUCUAUGGUGGAUGGAUGUAAUUUCAUUACAUUACAACUUAUAUGUAAUUUUCAAAGAAUUUUCUUUUGCAUGCAUGGAAUAGCAACUCAAUAAAAGUAUUUGAUGCAAAUUGUCCAAGAACAACUUAGUAAUUUCAUUGCUACUAUUCGGUUGUAUGUAUACAGUUAAUGAAAUUUUUAACCAUUCGCAGAAUACCCUUAGGAAUUUCUUUAGAUGGCGGCAAAAAACUAAGAGAUUCGGGGCUCUACACGGUCUGAAUGAAGAUUAACUUAAUGCCCUCAGGAUUAUGUGUAAGUUCUCUUUUAAAUUUAAGGGGUUGAGAUUUCAGGUCCGGAUGAAAGUUGAAUGCAGGUGACGAGACUUCACUGGGACAAACUUAAAAUAAAAAAUUAUAGUCCACAGUAAGAGCAAUGGGUAGCUUAACUUAUGGAAGAUAACUAGAACUUGGAAUAACUUAAAUUAGCUAUAAAAUUAAGACCAUUAUACAACUAAAAAGAAAGAAAAAUUGUUUGCUACUACAUAUCAAAACUAGUAAUAGCAAUGAAAGAUGGCAGACUUCUUACUUAAACAGAUGAGAGGCUACAAAUAAAAAAUUUGUGCAAAUAAAUAUAUGAUAAAGAGCAUAAUACUUUCUUGGGGGCUAAAAAUAAUAUACAACUUGUGAAAUAUAAAUUGAGCUACCGUUACCUUUUAGAUGUGGCAACUUUCGACUUUUGAGGCACUUUGGAAUAUGCAUUCAGAAUCCUGCAUUUGGAAGCCAAAUAAAUAAUGUUAAUAACAAUUUUACAAUAGAAAAAUUAAAAAUUGAUAAAUGGCAGUUGUAAUUUAUGUAUGUGUAAAGAUAGCAUCACAUCCAGGGUCCUCCCAUAAACAUGCUUGUAACAAGAAUUAGUUUGCCUCAACUGCUAGCAACUAUACAAUAGUAAAAAUCACUCUUAUGAACUCAACAAUACUAGGCACCAAUAAGAGUAUGAUACAGCCAUUCUAAAUGGAAGAGAAUACAACUGUUUUACAACUAUGUUGCAUCAGGAGAUAUGUUAGGAGUUUUAAUCCAGAUACCUUCCAACCCAAUUAGGAAAACUCGAGUCAGAAACCAGGAGCUGCAACCGAACCUUACAAUCUUGAAGGAAGAAGGAGACUUGGGGCAUUUUUCUAGAUAGGUGACUUACUAGAUCUACUGCCAAGAAAAUAUCUAUUGCUUUGAACCUCCAUUGAAAUUUCUUUUCCCUUUUUCUUAUUUUGACUUGGAACUUUCCAGCAUCAUCUAUUUGAUCUUUUUUAAAGCUAAAAUAGCAAUCUACGGGUUGUCAACAUCUUAUCCCCCCCCCCCCCCCCCGAGGGGCCCCCAAAAAAAAAAACAUCAAUGAGUUGUCAAUAAAUAGCGCCUACUCAACUUAUGUUCUCCAAUGGAUGACAAUGUGCAAAUCGACCUAGCAGCCACAUUUUUCCCCCCUUUCAACCACCAUUAGGCAACUUUUCUAACCUUUCUUCAUUGCCCACGUCUACAGAACUAUCAUAUAAAGACUACAAGAUAGACGCACGGUAUCUAAAUAAUUGUACCAACCCCCUCUCCUGAUUGUCAUAAAACGGCCAAUAUUUAACGCUCGACAACAAAAUUGCAAAUACUCUAGCCUCUAUAUUAUUGGCAUAUAAAUAUUUUCGGUUAGGUACAUUAUAUUCUUCGUUCUAAAACCUCAAUUAUUAGCUAGUACUGUGAUAAAAUGAUUCAUCACUGAAAUUAAAACUAGUUCACGUACAAAUAAUCAAAACUGAAAUAGAAGCAACGAUAAACCAACCUGUAUUACGUCGAUUCAUCACAACAAACUGAAAUCGAGGCUGUGUGUUCCUGAAAAUUGAAAAAAAUAAUAAUUUCACCAACUUCAUAUGUAAUACAAUCUCCAAAACACUGAAUAUCAAAUGAAAAAAUGGAAAGCAUAAGAUAGAAAAGAAUCUAAUUUUAUUGACCUUUUGACGACGACGAGAGAGCCUUCAACAUCCUUACGACUCCAUUGGCUGAGGUCGAUGUUGAACUCGUAGAAGGUGACAUGAGCGGCCGUGAUGAGGAUCUCCUCAAUGAAUGGAUCGAUUCGCUGAAGAACUGUCAGGUUCAGGAGUUUUGUGCUCUGCUGGUCCAGAUUAAGCAUCAAUUUUCCGUUAUGCGACAUUUUUCAUAGUCGUUUUGGGCUCUGCCCCGAGCACAAGCCCCAGGGUUUUUCUGUGAGCUCUCUCUUUUGUAAAUAAAGUGUUUGAUGAGAUAGCCGAGAGAGAGUGAAAGUGUUGAACAGCCAAACACGGUCUCGAGAUUGAUC
rnacentral:lncRNA from 1 species